CUCUCUAGUACUUCUCAGUGUUCAUCUUCAUUGCUAUGGCGGAAGAAGCUUCAUCGCUUCACCUCAUUCACCAACAACUUCUCUUCGACUUUGAAUCAUUCGAAAGCUUCGUCUCUCAUGUAAAUUGUCCAUCCCAAACUUCAACCUCUGAUUCGAGUGUUUCCACCUCUGAUAUUAUUCCGCUCUCUAAUUACUUGAAUCUCCAUGAAGAUGAAAACAACCCUUUUCUCCUCCACAGUUCUACUUCUGCUCCGUCUGGGUUUUUCCAGUUUGAAACCAAAUGCCACAAAACUUCCACAUUAAGUCAUCGGCGACUUCCACUCAGCAUCUUAGUCCCUCAACCCACCGUUUCUCAGUCGCCGGUAGAGUCCGAUUCAGGCGAUAUCAUGCAUUAUAGAGGCGUGCGGAGACGAUCAUGGGGGAAAUUCGCGGCGGAGAUCCGAGACCCGAAUCGGAGGGGAUCGAGGGUAUGGCUGGGGACAUUCGAAACCGCCAUUGAAGCCGCUAGAGCCUAUGAUCGAGCUGCUUUCAAGAUGCGUGGUUCCAAAGCAAUUCUCAAUUUCCCUCUUGAAGCCGAUAAUUGGUCUGGUUCUGACUCACCAGCGAUAUCUGGCCGGAAAAGGGAGAGAGACAGUAAGACUGAAGAGAGACAACAAGUGGAGAUUAAGGUUUUAAAGAAAGAGGAGCACUUGCCGGAAUCUGACUGCAAAGUGGCGGUAGCCUGUAAUGUUUUGGGGGUUAGUCCGUUGACUCCAUCAAAUUGGAGGGCCGUCUGGGAGGAGAGAGACAUGGAGGGCAUAUUCCAUCUCCCACCGUUAACGCCGUUAUCACCCCAUCCUUGGAUAGCAUAUACUCAACUUAUGGUUUGAACCAAAUGGUUUAGCUUACCAAAGACAAUGAAAUGUUACUAGAAUUCUUAUAUAUUCCAUGAACAAUAUUGAAUUUGUUUAAAUCUUUUAUGGAUGAUAAAUCUCACACUCUUCCUUUUAAACUUCCCCCAAAUCAAUUGUCACAAAAAUACUUAAUUGAGGGUUUAAUUAAUACUAGCUAAUGUACAUAUGAUAAUUUAAUUAGUAAAUUAUCAUUCUAAUUUUUAUCAAAUUAAUAAUGAAAUAAAGAGGUAAUUAACUACUCACAUAAAAUGAUUAAACACCAUAGAGUAGAGAGAUUCCCUCAUUCCCUUUCAUAAAUAGGGUGUUAUGUUGCAUCCUUCAUAAUUUUGAAAGCUUGAAUCUCCAUAAUUUUUGUAUCUAAAUUUGGAAGAGAGGACUGAAUCCAAUAGUUGAACAUUGCCAUAAAGGCACCUUACUUUAAUAUAAUAAGAAGGUAUUGAGAAAAAUAAGAGAAUAAUACAACUAUAUUUUCAUUAUGGUACACAUAAAUAAGAUUGAUAAAAAAUGUUUAAUAAAAUUAAUAAAGAUAAAUAACAACCUAAAAUAAAGACAAUUAAAUGUGGUUAUAAUUGAUUAAGACUAUGAAAUGAGUGUUUCACCAUCCACCACUUCAACUCACUUCUAUGAACAUAUGCAAUCAUAUGUCCAAAUACACAUAUUUCCUAAAUAGCUUAAUUUAGCUUUUAACUCAUUUAAAUUUUUCUUUGAAUAUAACCCAAAAUUGGUCCUAGGUGAUAUUUAAAUUUUUAAAUCCUUUGGGUUAGUGAUUUUAAGCCUUUUUUAUUUUAUUUUAUUUCUAGCCCAUUUCUCAAGUUGAAUCCAGGCUACCAACCCCACCCCCCAUUCCCCUGCCUUUCCUUUUAUUUUCCUUUUCUCAUUUUCUUUUCUUUUCUUUUUUUUCUUUUUUCCCUCAUCCCCACGACAACCCUCUCUCUCUCUCUCUCUCUCUCUCUCUUUCCUCCCCUCCCCUAAUUUCAAUUCAAAUUUUCUCACCCAUAAAGCCACAUCCAUGGUUGUUGUUGUGAGGCUCUUUACCAUUCUCUACUUCGCCACCAUUGUUUCAUUGGUCAUUUCUCAUAGUUGCAACCCAUGACACACGUCCCUCCACCUUGAUCUAUAGAACCAUGCAUCACCAUUUGUUGGGCUAAGUUUGUCUAGCCCAUGAGCCCAUGUACAUAUUAGGUUAUUUUAUAUUUUGGUAUUCUCUAAGCCCAAAUGUAAAUAGCAUUUAGGGUUUUGGUAUAUUGAGAGAGAGAAAAAAAAGGUGAUUGAGAAAAGAAAAGAAAAUUAGGAUUGUUUUAUAAGCACUAUUCGAGGGCUCAAGGGUGAAGUUACAGGUUACUUUAUAAACCUUUUGGGGAAUCCCUAUGAUAUGUUUUCUCUUCGAUUUUUUUUUCUUUUUUUGUUUAUUGUUUUUUGGGAUGAUGGAUUCCCACCUCAAGCAUUGAUAUAUAUUUAUAUAAGUUUUCAAUGUGAAGAAACCUAUGAGGACUUAAUUAAUGUAUCCCCGUUUUAUUAAAGUAGAAGAAAUUUUCUCUAUGAUUUUUUACCUUAAUUUGGAAGGUUUUUCCAUAUUAUAUAUGGUGUCCCAUUUUUUGGUUGAAUGUUCUUGGAUUAUAAUUGUUCAUUUUUGUUAGGUUGUUAUUACUAUGGAAGAAUCUUUUAACUUUGGUAGGUAUAUAGUCUAAAUCUUUUCCGUUUAACUUCGCAACAAGUGGUAUUAGAGCCUAGUUGUGAGAACUUUUAUUAUUGAAAAGGAUGGAAAUAGAAGGGAACUCAACCUCCCUGGUAAAACUUAACAAUUCAAAUUGGGUUAUGUGGAAGUCCAUAAUAGAGGUUUUCUCACCAUCAAAGAUUUGUCAGAUACUCUUAAGGGUGAAGAAGCCAAACCCAAAGAUAUUUCUGAUUUGGAAUGAAAUAAGAUGAACAAAAAGGCAAUUGCCUUCAUUAGGUAAUGGAUUCAUACGUCCUCAUACUAUCAUAUGGAAAAUGAAACAAAUGCUUAAAUUGGAAUUAGUGUUUAAACAAAAAAUUGUUGGGAAUAAAAUUUUAUUAUUAAAGAAGUUAGAGAACAUAAAGUUAAGGAAAAAAACACUAAUGAUAGAUCACUUGAAUGAUUUUCAGAGUAUUGUAAGUCAAUUGGUUGUUAUGAAAAUGGUUAUAGAUGAUACGAUGCAAGCAUCCUUGUUGCUAUGUUCAUUGUCAAAACAGUUGGGAAACUUUUGUUGUGACUAUUAAUAAUUUUAUUCUAAAUGGUGAAUUAUCUAUGGAGCUUAUGAAGGGAAAUUUGUUCAAUGAAGAGAUGAGAAGCAAGACUUAUGACACAGAAAAAGUAUAGACCCUCAUCACAAAAAGUAGAGGAAGAAACAAGAAUAGAGAACAGAAAGGUCAUGACAAGUUCGAGAGGAGGUCCUAGUCCAAAGAUAAAAUCAAAUGUUUCUAUUAUGGAAAAUAGAGGCAUAUGAAAAGAAAUUGUAGAUUUUGGAAAAGGGAAUAUAAUAGGCAAAACCAAGUGAAAAACCAAAAGUUUGAUAGGGAACUCCUAAAGAGGGGGUGAAUGGGUGAUUUUAUAUGACCAAAUGGGUCGUACUUGAAAUCUUUUACAUAUAAAAAUAUGAUUUUAUCUUCUAAGGAUAACCUACGAGAUGUUGGGGAAAACAAUGAUAAUAAACCAAUCAAAGAUAUAGUAAUGAAAUUAAUAGAUAUGCAAUAGGCACCGGAUUUUUACGUGGAAAAUCCUCAUACUAAUUGUGGAGAUAAAAAAUCAUAAGGUCUAAGACCUACUAAUCUAAAUCCACUAUACAAAAUCAAGUUACACAUAUUUACUUGAUUGUUUUACCUUAAAGACUUACUUCCAAUACUUAUAAUUUAAUUCACGUCUGUGACGUAACAACUUUCAAUUGCUCUAGUGGAUCACUUCAACCUUGCCGAAGGAAUGAAGGUCUUCAACCCAAGAUUCAAAUAUCAACUCCUUGAAUGAGAAAUCGAGAAUGGUGUGCCACUUUAGGCUUUCUCUCUAAGAUCUCUAAAACAAUCUCACUCCAAUCUCUAUGCGAUCUCUAACCCUCAAGGGGUUAAAUGAGGUAUUUAUAGGAGUAAGUCCCAAUGAGGUUUGGUUUUAAAAGACUUUCAAAUCAAAUUUGCAUGAAAGAAUCUUGAUUGGAAACUCAUGACCGCUCAAGCCCACUUUGGUGGCUUAAGCUCUUUUGGAUCUAGAGCGGUGUGGGGCAUUUGAGUGUUGCUCCCUACUUGAUUGUCUUAUGUUUUUCAAUAACUUUAUAAAAAUUGAUUUGAAAUUCAAAACAAUUAUCAAUCCUCUUUAUACUUCAAUGGAGCCUAAAUUUCCAUAAGUCAAAUCUUUUUAAAUGUAUCUGUGACUUCCCAGUUGGAUGAACAACAACUCUUGGUCUUUAAUAGAGAGUAAGUCACUAUCUAAAAAGACUUCUAUGAUCAAAUAUUAAAAGGAACAAAAUUGUCUACAAUUAAAUAAAACUUUAAGUCUUAACAUAAGGAACAAGAAUAUGACAAGCAUAUCACAACCUCUAUAUCCAAUAGUGAUGAAGUUUUAGUGCUCUCAAAUGAGUAUUUGCAUGCAUGUAGAUGAGUAAAGAGUUAAAUGGAUUGUAGACACUAUAGCCUCCUACCAAGCUACUUCUCACUUGAAGUUGUUUUCUUAUUAUAAAGUUGGAGACUUUGACACAAUCAAGAUGGGAAACUCUAGUCACUCCAAGAUUGUAGGGAUGGGUGAUGCUUGCUUUGAAACUAAUAUGGGGUGUAAGUUGACAUUGAAACAUGUAAGGCAUGCUCUAGAUUUACGCCUUAAUUUGAUUUCAGGUUUUGCCUUAGACAACAAGAUUAUGAAAACCACUUUGACAAAAGAAAAUGAAAGCUCACUAAGGGCUUAUUGGUUGUUGCAAAAUGAGAAGCAUGUUGCACUUUGUAUAAGACCCAAGGAAAAGUUUGUAAUGAUGAGUUAUAUGUUGUAGAGGGUGCUCUCUUGGAUUUGUGGCAUAAAAGGUUAGAGCAUAUGAGUGAGAAAGGAUUCCAAGUUUUGGUAAGGAAGUUCUUAAUUCCCUUGACAAAAAAUGAAUCCCACUUAAGGGUCUUUGGGUGAAAAAAUGAAUUCCAAGUUUUGUUUUAGAAAAUGUAUGGACAGGAAAAGAUGUUUCUUAUUCCCACUUAAGGGUCUUUGGGUAUAAAACAUUUUUGCAUGUUCUUAGAGAACAAAAAUCCAAACUUGAUGAUAAGAAAAUUCAACAUGCCUUUAUUGGGUAUGGUAAUGAAGAGUUUGGAUUCAGAUUGUAGAAUCCAACUGAGAGGAAAUUGGUGAGAAGUAGAGAUGUGGUCUUCUAAGAGGAUCAAACCUUGUGAGAUUUUGACAAAGCUAUUUAGUCCAAAGGUACAAGUGAUGACUUCAUUGAGUUGGUACCUAUUCCUCCAUCAUUACAUCGACAUAGAAAUGAAGAAAAUGAAAUUGAUGAGCUACCAAGAGAUGAUAGUGCAAAUGAUAUACUCGCACAAGAGGCAGUUGAGCAUGAGGAGUAGAGGGAGUAGUCACUUUAUUAGGAGGAUUUGUUACCCCAGGCUAAGAGGUCUACUAAAGAGCAUCAUCCUUUCACUAGAUAUCCCUCAUUUGAGUACAUGUUAGUAAUUGAUGAGGAGGAGUCACAAAGUUUUUAGGAAGCCAAGUCUCAUGAGGAUAGUAGCAAUUGGUUGAAAGCUAUGCAAGAUGAGAUAGAUUCCUUAUAGAAAAUGAAACCUAUGAGUUGGUACAACUUCCUAAAGGAAUAAAAUCGUUGAAAAACAAAUGGAUAUUCAAGUGGUUGAGGGAUAUAGUUGAAGAAAAUGCAGCCAAGUUGAAGAAGAUUCACAUAAAUAAGAAUGCCUCAAACAGGUUGAUAAAAUUUGUUCCCAAGCAAAAGCUUUAGUUGUGUAUUAGCCCAAUAGGUUUGAACUCCAUGUGAUGGGGUUAUAUAUUAGCAUUCCUCCCACAUGUGUUGGAAAGGGAGAUUGUUGGGCUAAGUUUGUCUAGCCCAUAAGGCCAUGUAUUAGGCUAUUUUAUAUUUAGGUAUUCUCUAAGCCCAAAUAUAAAUAGCAUUUAGGCCUUUGGUAUAUUGAGAGAACAAAAGGUGAUUGAGAAAAGAAAAUGAAUUUAGGGUUGCUUUCUAGGCACUGUUUUAGGGCCUAAGGGUGAAGUUAUAGGUUCCUUUAUCAACCUUUAGGAGAAUCCCUAAGGUAUGUUUUCUCCUUUAUUUUUUUAUUUAAUUUUUUUUUUUUGUUAUUUUUUUCUAGAGUGAUGGAUUCCCAUCUCAAGCAUUGAUAUAUAUUUACAUAAUUUUUCUACAAUAUAAAAGGUAAAGUAGGAGAAAAUAUGGGAAGUGGUUUGCUUUGAAAAGAGCAAGGGAAGACCAAACAUCAGAAGGCUUUCAGCUCUAAUUCCUCAAAAAAUAGCUUUGGGGAACCGAGAAUGGCUAGUAGGCAUGAUGGUCAAUAGAGGAGAGUCAUAAUGAGGAUUUAUGAUGAGAUUGCUGAAGGUUGGUGUUUGAGGGUGGCAGAGAGGCUCAUGUUUCUAAACUCUAGAAAGCCAUUAGUAGAGUGGGGAGACUUUCAUGUAAGAACCAUCAUUUUUUUCAGUCACGGCCUCUGGACCAAAUUCUGGUUAGAUGUAUGGGAUGGCUAGGCAACUAUUAUGGUUCAUUUUUUGGUCCUCAAAGUAGGCAACUCAUAAGAAACUUGGGUGGUGGACUAUUGCAAUCUUGAGGAUGGGAUGUAGGGUGGUUGGAGUCUUAGGUUUAGGUGGAGAAUGAGAAAUAUAGCUACUAUUCUACAUAAAUUUCCAACCACAAUUGAACUUAUUGGGUCACAGGUUAGAUUUCCUAGUCAUAUGUACAACGAUCAGCGAUGCUCCUAUACUAAUAAGACCAGUAGUUGUAGUGCCAUCCUUUGUCAUGACUGCAACAGAUGUGGGAUCAGGACCACACUAAGCAUAAUCUCUCACUUUCAUUCCCUCUGCAGUUGCUCUUGGCAACAUGAUUUCCCAUUUUCUUCCAUUGGGCUCUAAGAUAAUCCAAUCACACAUCUCUCAAGAGCGCAGAUCACAUGGACUAGCCAAGUACUAUUUUUUGACAACCUGAUUGUCAUCAAGGGAGUACCUCAUGCCUUCUCAGCUUGAAUGUACACAUUACUAGGCUUUGCAAGACACUUUUUCCACUUACUUUCCAAUGAAAAUUGCAUACCUAACUACUGAAGACCAAGGAAGCUAGAGCUCACAUUAGAAUCAUUUAAUAUAGGAAAAGGUUUCAAACUCAAAGACAAGGCACUCUGAAAAUUAUUAUCAACCUAACUAAAUUCUCGCUUUGUACUGUCCAUGAAGUGUGAAGGUUGUGUUAGGAUGGAGCUCUUAAAAGCAUGACAUGAUGUGAUAGAUUUGGAAUUCCUUAUUUAUUUAAUGGUAUUCCAAUUUCACUUUUAUCUAUCCUUAUUCUAUGCAUUACACUUUAUGAGUAUUCUUGUUUACAUCUUUUGUAGUGUGUGUGACUUGAGUGCAUUUAUGAGUUAUAGGGAAGAUCCAAGUCAUGGGUUCCUUUUAAAUAGAUGACUUGUUCAAAGUCGGUUGGUGGGUUUAGACAACUUAUUAGAGGCUAUAGUGCACCACCACCUUCUAAUUGGAGGGAUAACUGGUCUUGAAUAUCGAGAUGAGUUUUCCAUGGUGAGUACACUAGUGUGUAUGGUUACACAUUAGACAGGACUUAUGGUGAGUCAUGACUUAAGGCUAUCAAGUAUUCGUGACCUUACCAAGCUACUUCAUUGUGUUGUCUCUCAAACUUGAGAGAAUAUUGAAGUUUGUGCCAAAGUUAGCAAUGGUUUUAACCUAUGGGUGAGAUCGUAAGUUGAUCAUAUAUUCCUUAUGGAUUGGAUCACUAUUGAUGGAAGUUGGUAGCAAUAGGUAUUCUUAUUAGAAGCACCAUGAUAUCUCAUAAGAUUGAGACAAUGUGUCCCGUUGGGUGGUUCUAAGGAGGUGUGUUAAUGGAAACUAUGGUUAUAGUAGUUCCUUAAGUGGAACUUGACAUAGGCUCUUUGAGAGCUAAGACAUGUUAGUUAAACACAUAACAGAAGGAUUUGUAACUCAAUGAUAAUAGAGGUAGUGUUAAAAGAUUGACAAAUUUUACCUUGUUAGACUGCGGACAUUAGUUCAUAAGGAGAUUAAACACAAUGGAUAGCAAGUCACGGACCCGAGUAUACAGUGUCUUGUUGUUAUUUACAUAAAAUAUUGGAGUUAUGGUCCCUGGUUUGAGCUCAUAUACCUUGUUGGCAUAGGUUAUGAGGGUGGGAUUGGUUUUAGGUUCGCUUUUAUGCAUAAGGGCAUUUUGGUAAUAACAUAAGGUUAUACAGGGGUAAGUGAACAAGGUCUUUGGAUUAAGCUAAUUGAUUCAUUAGUACACCCUAUUAGGUUAAUUAAUCAAUUAGGAUCCAAUUGGAGAUUUGUUAGGUUCCCUCGUAUGUGAGGGAGUGGGCCCCAUAUUCUUGGGGGCCAAGUCAAUUACAAUAAAAUAAAUAAAUAAACAAAAACAUAAAUAGAUUAAAAAAAACAGAGAAAAGAGAAAAGAAAAAGAAAAAAACACAUCUCACUACCCAAAUUUCAUCAAAGAGCCGAUACUGCUUCAUAUGUGGUUUGAUCGAGUUGAAAUUUGGAGGAGAGGUUCAAAACUCGAGUAGCUACAAUUUGAAAGGUGGAGAUCAUAUUUUGAGCUCGAGAACUGGUGUUACUGCCCGUGAACAGUAACAACGUGUUUUUGGGUAUUAUUUCUCCAACUUUCCUUGUUUUUUUACCAAGAGAGAUAAUCCAAGGCUAUAUAUGCUCUUGAUGUAGUUGGUGGCCUCUAAAGAUUAUUCUAGAGAAGACAGGUGUAAUCCAUUGUUGUUGAUAUUGGAGUUUGAACUAGACUAGGUCUCGUGGUUUUUUCCUUCGCAUUAAGGGGUUUUCCACAUAAAAAUUUUGGUGUCUGAUUUAUUUUUCCAUUCCAUGAGUUUAUUUAUUUAUUACUACUAGUUACUAUUACCUAUUUAAUUUUACACAAAGAAAUGGUAGAAAAAUCCUGGUGUUUAUUGGAAUAUUGUGAAUUCACCCUAACAAUUAUGAUAAAUGAAGAUGGAUAGGGAACUCAAAAUAUCCAUUCCUGGAAGGGUCUUUUCUGUUUCUCUUCUCUUGAUGUUAUUCUUCUCCUUUACUCAAAACCAAAAACCACCAGAAGAAAAAUCUUUUACUCUCUCCAACGUCUCCUCUCUUACUCUCACCCAGAAGAAAGAAGAAUAAUGUCUCCCUGAGAUGGCCUAUAGCUUAUGUCCUUCUUUUCUAAGACUCCCCACUAGAAUAGAUGGUGCCCCAUUUGCAAUGUCUUACUCUGCAGCCUACUCACCACCACAAUGCCUCGCCCACAACUUUUCUUCGCAUGCUACUUUUCCCAAAAACUCCCUCAAACCCCCUACUCUUUGCCUCACUAUCGCUGUAAAAACCAAUUCUCUACCCCUUGUUCCUUAGCUAUAGAGAGCAUCUCCACUACCUUUAAAAGGUGGCCAGCAAGCCCCCUCUAAGAAAACUUGAGCCAAAAGAGUGAAAAAAAAACCCUUCACUAAAGGCCAAAAAAGAGACAAAAGAAGGCUAGAAUGAGUACACAUGUCCUCAUCCCAACCCAACUACUCAAAGACUCUAAAAUUCCAAAAGCAAACCCUAAAAAAAAACUAAUCCUAAUGGGUGUCCGAUAAUCAUGCUAGGACCUGAAAUAACCCUUUAAGUGGUCUCCAAAAUAUAGCUCAAAAAUCAAUGAUGUGAAACAUGGACCAGGAUGAUGAAAAGCUGAGCAAAAAUGGAUCUAAAUACGUGUUAAAAAAAGUGGGGUGAGAGAAAAAAAAUAUAUAUAUAUAUAUAUAUAUAUAUAUAUAUAUAUAUAUGUGUGUGUGUGUGUGUGUGUGUGUGUGUGUGUGUGUGUGUGUGUGUGUGUGUGUGUGUGUGUGUGUGUGUUAGGGCCAAAAUAGAGGAUCUAUAGUGUUUUUGCUAAAUAAUAAAACUAUUUGAACAUAUGAUUUACAAACAAAUUUGUUUUUAAAAAAUUUGUACCACUAUUUGAUUAUCGUACUCUAUAAACAAAGCAAAAUAGAAAACCAUUUGUUUUUACUAGAAAUUCAAAUUAAGGAAGACUUUGUAUUAAAUUUAUUAAUAAGUUUAAUAAUUUUUUAAAAGAAAAUUUGAAACUCAAAAAAUAUAUAUAAGGACUAUAAAAAACAAUGGAAAUAAUUAAUAUUUUGAAUCCUUUAAUAAAUAUUUUAAUUUUUAAUAAUAAUUUGAAAUUCAAAAAACUAAUUUAUUAAUUAUAAAUUAAAUAAAAAAUUUAAGAAUACAAUGUCUGAGUAUUAAAUGUAUGUAUGUAAUUAAAAAUUUGACCCAUUUAUACUUAAAAAAUUAAACUUUAUUUAAUUUUAUAUUCAUUUAAAAUAAAUUAGUAUUAGAAAUUAUUAAUUUUGAAUUAUUAUUAUUAUUAUUAUUUAUUAACAAAAUAAAUCAAUUAUGUUAUCAUAUUUUUAUAAUAUUUAUAAAAAUAUAUGUCACGCCCCAAAACCCACUCCAUGGGCAUGAUAGUCAUUUUACACCUCAAGCCCAAAUGCUCAAAGUGGAAAUGACACAAACAUUCGUAUUGUAGGUGGAAAUUUACCAAUUACCAAAUUCCUGUUCAGAGUAGUAGAACAAAAUUCUAAAAUCUCCAAGUAUCAACUUUAAAAAAAACUAACACAUCAACCAGAGUGUUAUUAUCCAAAUAACUACAAAUUCAAAUAAUUUAAACGGAAAUUAAAUUUUAACAUCUAAACAAUAUCCAAAAUAAAGUUUGAACCAAAAUCCUAACAAAGAAAAAUUCCCAAGUCUAGCCAUCACUCUUCGCUCGAACUGAAAGUACCUGAAAAAUUAUCAAUAAAGGAGCAUGAGCUUAAAGCUCAACAAGGAACAUUAAUGCAGUUUCAUGGAUCAAACAUUUUCAAUCGUGUUUGCAAAUAGGAGAUAUAACAUAUACUUAUUUUCAUAAAAACGUUUAAGUUCAAAAUACUAAUACAUUCAAACUUUUCAACAAAACUUUCUCAUAUCUAUUUCAAAACAAUUUCUCAUCAAAACCAAAUCAAAUACAUUCAAAAUAUAUUUACUCUGGUUAUCAAAUAACAAAUGGUGCCCAAUUAGGUGGGACUUCACAAAUGAGUGGCUAGUUUCAAAUUUGUUCCAUUUAAGGUGAAUAAAUCCAAAUGUCAACAAUUAUAACUCAUUGACUAGGACCAUAAAGUCAACAAUUACAACUCAUUGACUAGGGUCAUAUAAUAUCAACUAUUAUAACCCAUUGAUUAGGGCUGAAUAUGUCAACAAUUAUAACCUAUUGACUAGGGUCAUAUAAUUCAGAGUCAAACAAAUUAUUUCAUAAAUUCAAACUUCCAAAACAAAAUAUCAUAUCUCCAAAAAAUUUCACUUUUCAUAAAUAAACAAAGAAAAUUCUCAAAAAAAAUACUUUCCAUACAAAACACAUAUUUGAUCCAUGAGAAAAAGAUAAAAAUAAUAUUUUUACACAUUUCAAAAUACAACAUAAAAUGAAAAUUAUUUUCUUUUAUAAAAAUCUGUAUUAAUUUCCUUUACCUUGGAAAAACACUCAAAAUCUUAAAGUAUAUAACUCUGAAGAAUUUCCUCCUCAGCUAACAUAAUAUCAUACACAAUAUUGAUUAUUGAUUAUUUAUCCAAACAUAUAAAUUUGAAAUCCUAAAAAUAUUUUAUUUAGUAUUAAGGAUCCUAAUUAAUUUCUCAUGCUAAUAUUAUUACUACCCAAUAUUAUUUGUUAACUUACUAAAAAAUAAUAAAUUAAUUUAGUGAGUUUCCAAAUUAUUAUAAAAUUCAUUUUCUUUCCUAAUCUUACCCUCACUAUUUAUUUCUUUGUAUACUUAACUUAAAUUAAAACCUAUAUAAGAAACUAUUAUUAUUAUUAUUAUUAUUAUUUCCUUUGUUAGCUUAAAACUAAAUAUUAUAAUUUUUAUUAAUUUUCAAAUUCAAUACAUAACCAACCCAUUACCCUCAUAUCUUCAUUAUACGCACAAAAUCCUAAGAAUAAAACAGUAAGCCCCAUGUUUCUUCUCAUUAUUUAUUAUUAUAAAAUAUAUUUACAUAUACAAUCUUUUCCAAUGCCUAAGUCGACACAUUGGCAACACACGCAUACUCCAUUUUUUUUUUCAAAUCUAAAGCCUACAUAAACAAUUUAUUUAUUUAUUUUAUAAAUCUAAAAUUUCUUUUCUUCCAUUGAUUUUGUUUUCUAUUUAAUAGAAAAUUUCUAAAUUUUCCUAUUUUCAUCACAAAUUAAUUCACAUUCAUAAAUUUUCAGUCUUUUGAUCUAAAAAUUAAUUUAACAAACCCUAAUCUAGAUUGAGAUCUUCCAAAGAAUAUUUAAAGUUUUUAAAACUAAUUAACGAAAAAAUUGAUCUUCAAACCCUAAACCUCCAAAUCUUCAGUCCUAUGCUCUCUGAUCUUUCUGAUCUCUGUGUAAAAGGGUUUUCUAAAUAGAGAAGAUAGGAAAAAUCUAAUUUAUAUCUAAGGAUUUUAAAUACGAAAAGACCUUUUUACCCUUAUUAAAUUACUUUAACUAAUUAUUAAUUUCUAAAUUUUGAUUUUACCCCUAAAUUGGGUUUGGGGCAUUACAAUAUAAUUUAUGAUUUUAUUAUAAUAUUACUAUUAAUAUUUUAUUUAAAAUAUUUAUUUUUAAUAAGGCACAAAUUAAAUUUAGUUUAUAUUAUAUAACUUGAAUUUAAAAUUCAUUUCUUAUAAAAUCAAAAUAAAAUAUUUUUAAAAACAUAUUUUUAAAAACAACUUAUCAAUAAAAGGUUUAUAUUUUUAACUUUUUGAAAAAUAUCUUUAAAAAUAAAUUGUAUUAUAGAAUUAAAAUACCUCAAAGAUAAAUUGAAAUAUCAUUUAUAAGUAAAAUUUCAUUUCCUUUGAAAUUAAUUUUUAUAUCAUUAUCAUCAACACUUGAGUUAUCUAAAUAUAAAAAUGAAUAAGAUAUCUAUCCUCCCUCUUCAUUCCCACAUCAAACAUAACCUCAAGAUAUGACCAUUUAGUUUUGUUUACAUCAUUUUUUUUAAAAGAGAAAAUAAAAUUAAAUAAAUAAAAAAUAUUUUAAAAAUGGAUCCUAGUUUGUAGGUACUUGAAAUAAAGAUGGAUUUUAGUCUCAAAUUAAUAUAAAAUAUAUAUUUUAAUAAUGUGAUUUUAAACAUCUUUUAAGUGUGUGAUAAUAAAGCGUUUAAUGGAACUAGCGCUAAUGAAUGGUAGUUAUUUCAUAUAAAAUAAUACAAAACACAUUUUUUUAUUAUUAUUAUUUUUUAAUUUCUUGUGUUUUUUUUUUGUCACCAAAAAAUAUUUAAGAAAAAAAAUUCUUUUUCUUUUGACCUUUUCUACCCACACAACAUUUCCUUGGAUAAAUAUUAAUAAAAAUAUUGUUUUAUAUUGAAGAUAUUAAGAUAAUAGAAAAUAAUAUUUAAAAAUUAUAGAUGUAAAUUGUUCUAUUUUGCAUUGCAAUAUUAUAUUUUUAUUUUCUUGGGGUGAAAUAGGAAGUUUCUUUUUUCUUUUCUUUUUUUUGACAAUAAUUUUUAUUUUUCUCUAAACAAUUAUGUCCAUAUAAAAUAAUUUUGCGAAAAAAUACAAUAAGGAAUAACAAGAGUGAAGAAAAUAAGAGAACCAAAAAAAAUAACCACGAUUUGUGAGGUUCUGUUUAAAGUCUACAUCAAUAGGCAAGUAUACAUAUAUAAACUCCUUUAUUCAAAAUCUCUUAUUUCGAUAUAUAAAUUCUUAAUUACAUAGAAAAGAUUUGGUAUAGGAUAUUAAUUGUCUAAUUGUGAAAGAUACGUAUUCCUAUACAAAAUUAAUUACAUAAUUAUUAAAGAUACUUAUUCCUAAAAAAACCUUACAAUAGGGUGCUUCCUUUAUAAAAUAUACAUUUUUUAAGGGCAACACAUAAUGGGAAAAUAGUUAGAAGCUUAUAAUAUUUUAUUUUCUUAUGAUGAGACCAUGCUACCAUUCAAGGUCAAAGAAUAAAGUUGUUUUCAAUUUUGUUCAUAAUAUUUUGUACUUUCUUGCUAUCCACCGUUAUUUUAAUUUAUUUGAUAGAUGGUAGUAAGAGUACAUUUGAUAGUGAUUUUAAGAAGUGUUUUUAGUUUUUUUUUAUGCUUGAAAAAUAAAAUUUUUUAAGUAUUAAAAAAACUAGAAACACUUCAUAAAAUCACUGUCAAAUGCACUCUAAAUAGAAUUCAAAAUGAUAUUUUUUAAAAAUUUAAAUAUUGAAUAGAUUAUGUUAUUACUCUAAAUAUAUAUAUUAAAAUUGACAACAAAUUGUGUAACAAUUUUGAAUCUUCUGAACCAAUAUUAGUAAUUAGAAGACAAAUACUAAAACAUUAAAAAAAAAAAAAAAAAGGCCAAAAAAGAACAAAUUGAAACAUGGACAAACGUAAUGGUAAAUAGAACAUCAAUGCAACACAUUGUAAUAAUCUCAGGUUUUUUAAUCUUUGAUUUCUUAUCAUCAAUAUAUUACAUUUUUAUGAAAAAAUAUUUGAAGUAUAACAAAUUUAGAACUUACAAUGUUGAUAAAUAUGAUACAAAUUUAAUUUAUAAAAAAAAAACUUUUUACCUUUUUCUACAUCAUAUUGCAUUUUGGUGGUCCAAAUAUAAACUAUAAUAUUGUUUUGUAUCAAAGAGAUAAAAAUAAGAGAAAAAUCAAAUUAUUGUUUUGUACCAAAGAAAUUAAAAUAAGAGAAAAUUAUUAUUAUUAUUUUUUAAAAUGAGACUACGAAGUAGAAUACCUAUAAAUACGAUUGAAAGAUGAGUCAUAGUAAUAUUCAAAACUUAACUUUCUAAUAUCUUUAAGAAAAUUUGACCACCAGAUGAUUGAUUCUAAAUUACAAAUAAUUUUCUUUUUUAUAAAAGGAAACUAGAAAGUAGAAUACCUACAAAUACAAUUGAAAAAUGAGUCACAAUAAUAUUUAAAACUAAUCUUUCUAAUAUCUUUCAAAAAUUCAACCAUCAAAUGAUUGAUUCUAAAUUGCAAAUACCCUUUUUAGUUAUGCAAUUGUUAUUAUCAACUUUUUUUUUGUAUCGGUUCAUAUUUUUUUCACCCAUUAAUAUUAGAAUUUCUUCAAUGGAUGGAAAUAAGUAUAUAUAAUUUACAUAAAUAUAUUUAAAAAAUUAAUAUUCGACGUAUUAUGUUAUUACUUCAAGAAUUUUUAUUAUAAUUUAAUUAUUCCUAAAAAUGUUUACCAAUAAAAUUAUUUAAGAAUAUUUUUAUAGUAUAAACACCUAAGACAACGUGACAUUCAUAAAUUUCCUAAAUUUGUUCAAGAAAAAAAAUUAACUUUGCUAAUUUUGAAGUUGGGAAUUUAUCUCCAAUUGGAUAUCAUCGUGUUUCCAAAAGCCAUUUCAGUUACUUUCUUUAUAAUAAAUAAAAAUACCAAUUGUACCCUUCCUUUACGUAAAUUUUUAAUUGUAAGGAUGAUGAUAAAUUGGGUUGACGAUGAGUUACCCAUAUCAAUCCUAUCAAGUUUAUACAAAGUAAUUUUCAUGGCCAUCAUACUCAUUGUAUUUUCUUUAUUUAAAAAAAAUUAAUAAUUUUAGAAUUUUUAAAUUACAUUAAAAAUAAAUAUAUUUUAUAAAUAAGUAAAAUAUUAUAGUUUUUAUAACUUAUUUUAUUUAAAAAUAAUUUUUUUAAUAUUUUGUGUUAAAAAUGGUAAUAGAAAGAAAAUCAACAAAAUUAUUUUUUAAAAUUAAUUUUAUAUAUAAUCGAGGUUAAAUGGUACCGAACAAGAUAAUAUCUAAACCGCCAAGAGCCCGUAUCUUCAAUAUCACUUCCUCUUUUUUAUUCGAUUUUGAUUCCUAACAUUGUUUUUUGAUUCGACUUUGAAAGGUGGUUAAGGACAAGUGCAUCUCAUUGUAGGGAAUAUACUCCAUCAAAAACAUGUUUUUUCCUAUUAAGAGUUAAGACUUCGGACAAACACAAGAUUAUGAAAACAACGUCCAAUAUGCGGUCUCCCAAUACUGUUUUACAGAUAUUUGCAGGCUCCCAAUACCUACAAAUUCCCAUUCAACCUUCAAAUCCAACAGCUAUUUGCUCCAUUGACAACCCUAGGCUCAUCUUUAUACCAUUCUCAACCCAAACCACACUGUUACCAUAGGGCAAGUUGCUAAUACUAAAUAUUUAAGAUAAGUAAACAUACCAUUGCCCUGAAGCCAUGUUUGGUAUAUGGGAAUGAGGAAUGAAAAUAAAAACUUUGUUUUCAUUCCUAUAUCUUCUUGAAUAGAAAUAGAUUUGGUGAUUCCAAUUCUUAUGUUUGGAUGCAUAUAAGAAUGUAAUGUUGGAAUGAUUAUUUGUUUCCAUUGAAGUUUAUACAUACCGGCUCCAAUUCGGGAUAUGGAUGUUGCCGAGGCUCCAUGUAUCAGCUGCAAACCCAUAACCAUCGUUCUCUCGUUUGUCCUCAUUAAUGACCUACAGUGGCACAAAUUAUUUGUAAAAUCAACACUUACAAGAAACUGUAAUGCUUGGAGCAUCCUGUGCCACAUAAAAAAAUUUUCAAAUAUGGUUAACACAAAUACUUAUAACAUGUUUUGGACAUGAUUUAGAACAGGGAUUUAAGAGUUCUACUCCCAACUGGUGCAGGAUUUAUAAAUAAACACAGUUGUAAGACUAGGGUGUUUGAGCAUGAUUUGAAACUAAAAACUGAUUCAAAUCCACAGAUCUGGGCGGUUGCAAAACCACAAUACAUUCUCAGGGGCAAAGAGUCAGAAAUUUAUUUCAGAAGGGCAAUAUCGAGCUAAAAUUUAGAUUGCUGGUGACCAUAUUUUGUUGAUGCUUGAUGCUUAAAUUCUCAGAUUUGAAUGGAAAAUCCUCAUCAAUUGAGCAUUCAGUGGUUCCAUGCAUCUAUUAGUGUCAGUAUAUUGGCAGUUGUACAGAAAGAUACUAAUGACUGAUGCUAAAUCAAAAUGCAUUGGUAAGACUAAAUGCCUUGUAGGAUAAAAUCUUAGAAAGAGCAACAGUUCGGAAAACAACUUAUCAAUUUGUUAGUUGGCAUAGCUCCAGUCCAAUAGUCGGGGCUAUUCAAUAACCCAAUUCAAUCAUGUGAUUUCCUUUUCUGACGCAACCACCUGCUGAAAGACAAGGGUUUCAGAGCCUACAUUUUAAGCAUGCUUCUUCAUGGUAUAAGAAGAUUCUACUGAGUACAGUUCCAUAAAAUAUAGUUCUCAAUUCAAAACCAAACAUGAUUUGUUAGUUUAAGAAAUGAAGGAAUGAAAGAGAGGAAGCAUACCUCAGGGGCCAUCCAGAAUGCAGUCCCUUUAAAAGAUUGUCUUUCAAUUUGCAAAGCUGAAAAGAUAUACAACCAGAAAUAUAAUAUUUAGAAGUCUAGCAUUUUGAAACAAUAGAGAGAUAACUCUAGUAAAAAGAAACUAACCUUUGCCAAUCCAAAAUCCACAAGUUUCACGGUUCCAUUUACAUCCACCAGAUAUCCCUCAAAGAUGAUACAGAACCAAUUAGUAUUACAACAUAAACAAUUUAUGUGUAAGUAAAUGUACAGCAUUGUGGCUUCAACUGUCAUUCCAAAUGUCUAAUUUCCUGAAGUAACCUCAAUUGAUUCCCAAUGUCCACCCAUCUCUUCUUAACAAUGCAAUUAUUGGCCUUUGUUGCGCAUGACCAAAUCAAUAAGCCUAAUUUCCCUUAUGACCUACUGGUGGCACUUCUGAGUCCCAUGAUCACAUCCCUCCAUGGUUCUAGCCUUGCUAGUUAUCUCAAUCACAUGAGAGAGAGAGAGAGAGAGAGUUUGUAGCAUUGUAAAUGGCUUUUGCAUUAGGAUUCUUUCAAUUUUCAGGUUUCCAUUCUGUAAUCAUGACCCAAAAACUCUCUUGAAGAGACACUCAAAUCAAGUGAAUCAGAGAGAUAGAGAGAGUUUGAAUCAUUAUUAUGUAUUUUUUCUUAUAUGUUGCUUUUAAAGAAAAUUUUGACUUACAAAUUAAAAAAAAAAAGAGGAUAUUAUAGCAAGAUCAAGCACUGAGGCAGAAUAUACAAAGUGAUAUAUAAUACAGCUAAUUGCAUGAAGUCAAAUGGAAAUGGAGUUCUUUAUAGUUGAUGCAGAUAUGAGGUUGUUAUUUGAUAACUGGACCACACCUCAUAUUAUAAUUGACAUGGAGUUUUAUGAAAGGAUUAAACUAUUAAGAUACACAAUAAUCUCAAAACAAACAACGUAAACCCCACAUGUGAAGACACAAUGUAAGGUACACAGAAAAUUGGGGAUAUCUAUAUCUACACCAAGGCUUUGGGUAGGCUCAUCUUAGUUAUCAGAUAAUGACCAUGUUUAACAUCCAUGCUCCUAACUCUUCUUUUUGUUUUUGGUUUUUCCAUUUUUCUUUUCCUGGAAGAGGGCAGGUGGGAGUGUUGAACUUUUCACUUCACCAAGCAGUCUGUAAUCACAGAAUUCAGUAAGUGGGCUAACUGGUGCAAUCCAAAUAAUAUUGAAUGUUUCAAGAAGAUAAAAACAAAAAUAAAUUAAUAAAAUAAAAACUGAAGAACUUUCUCAGCAGAGUGAACCAAUUUUCCCUGAGUAAGAAGGCCAUUUAGUUUAUGCAUAUGCAAUUCUCUUGGUAGCAAAGGCAGAUAAUUGAAAUAAUCAGCACAUGUUUCAAGCAGUAAUGGCAUGUCGAUAGAGCAAGGUAUAAACAAAUAAAGCACAAGCAAUAUAACCAAAAAAUGUAGUAGUAAGAUCAUUUGAAUCACCUGUGAACUACAUUAUGCUCAUGUAGAUAUUUCAAACCUUUCACAAUCUGCCUGGUGUAUUUAGAGGCUUGGGAGUCUGACAGUUUAUGCUCUUGAUAGAGAUUUAAAAGUGAACCUUCAGUUGCAAGCUCAAGAAAGAUAUAAAGUUUGGUCUUGUCCUGGAAUGGCAAGACAUUUUGUGAGUAAGCAAGAAAAAAAAUGACAUGAACUCCAAUCCUCUUGAUGCAGUACCAGAACCAGAUCAUAAAGGAACAGACAACAACAAAAACAUGAAAAAUACUAAUUCACCCCAAAGAACAGAAAAAUGUAACUACUGAGUAUUUAGACUGUCAAUUAGACAGCCUGCAAGGGAAAUAAAAGAUGCCUAUGAUGCAUGAAUGUUUAGAAACAUGCAUUCAGAAGCAGACCUACAAGACAAGAACAUAGCUUGAAACAACAAUAAGGCCAAAUACCAUGAUAAAAUAGCUGAUACGAUAAGUAGAUGAGAGAUUAAAAAAUGAUUCUUUAGAGGAAAAAGUGAACUUGAAAAAUAACAGAUGGGAAGCUCAAGAGACCCCCUCAUGAAUUUUAGUCCAAGGUUUAGUUCUCAUCAAGCAGCUAAAACAGAACAUGUCACUUUAAGAGUCAUCCAGUCAGGGCAAUCCUUCUAUAGCCUCUGAAAUAAAAUUUUGUGAUUAAGUACUCUGAGGUACGAAGAUGCCAGAGGACUCAUGCAACAACUCUACAAGACCCAGAUAAAGUUCCUAAAUUUGUGUCUUGCUUGCAGCAAUAUGUAGGUUUUUUAUUUUUUUAUUUUAUUUUAUUUUAUAUAUAUAUAGACAAAUUCUCCCCUUUAUUCAGGUAUGAAAUUGACAGGAUUUCAUGAAUAAACACAAAAUAAAAGAGAAAAAAAAAAAUCUAAGAUUGCCACAGUUGACAAAAUGCAAAAUUGCAAAUGGUAGCCCUAAUUCCAAGAAUGGUACAUAACAUGAACCCAAUCCAACAAGAAAGAAUUGAAAAAUACCUUGAACGAGCCAUAAUACUGAACUAUGUGCUUAUGUUGGAACUGACUCAAAAGAGAGAUCUCCUGAACCAUUAUAAAAGAAAUUAGGAAAGAACCCUCUAGUAUGCAGCCUGGAUCAAUAUGAAAUUGCUUUUGACUGCAUAAUCUGAGUAUGCAAUUACUUAGAGGUUAAUCAAGAUGUAUGGAAAACAGAUUUAAGGAAGAAUUGAACUAAUACACAAUCAGCACAUUUCAUCCUUCUAACCUGUUGAAGUUGAUCAAUGCUUUGCUGCCCGGCCCAGCCCGUCCUUGAUCAGUCAACAAAACCUCCUUCACAGCAAAAAAGCGUCCAUCACUGCAAGAAAAAGACAAAAAAAGAAAAAAAAAAAAAAAAGUUACUUGAUGAAAAGGGUCCCAUCUUUUAAAUCUAACCCAUCACUUUUUUUUUCCCUAAGAAAUUUGAGGUUGAGAAGUUUGAUGGAAGAAACGAUUUUAGUUUGUGGCAUGUCAAGAUGCGCGUCUUAUUGGUUCAACAGGGGUUGUCCAAAGCAUUGAAGGGUAGAGAGGCUCUACCAACAACAAUGUCUGAUGAAGAGACGGAUGAACUUAUGGAGAAAGCACAUAGUGUUAUUCUAUUGUGCUUGGGUAAUGAGGUGCUUUGUGAGGUUGCAAAAAAAGAUACGACUGCCAAGUUAUGGUUGAAGUUGGAAAGUUUGUACAUGACGAAGUCUCUUACAAAUCGCUUGUAUUUAAAGAAGCGAUUGUAUACUCUCCAGAUGAAAGAAGGUACAUCCAUUAAAGACACCUUGAUGAAUUUAAUAAAACUAUCAUGGAUUUGAGGAAUAUUGACGUUAGAAUUGAUGAUAAAGACCAAGCCAUAAUUUUGAUGUGUUCCCUACCAAAAUCUUAUGAGCACUUUGUAGAUACUAUGAUGAAUGGUAGAGAUAAUCUCACCAUAGAGGAUGUUAGAGUAGCCUUGAACUCUAGGGAGUUGAAGAAGAGGGUGUCUGAAAGUAGAGAAGAUGACUCGGAUGAAGGUUUGGUGGCUAGAGGGAGAACAUGAAAGAAAAAUAAUGGUAGAAAAGGUCAAUCUAGAUCAAAGUCCAUGGGAAACAACAAAUGUUUCAAGUGCAAGAAAGAAGGGCACUAUGUGAAAAAUUGUCCAGAUUGUAAAUGAAAAAAAAAUGAGAAAACUUCUAAUUUUGGUGAUGCAGCAGUUGUAGAAGAAAAUUCAGAUACUGCAGAUGUUCUUUCAGUCACUGUUACAAACUCAAGUGAUGAGUGGAUUCUUGAUUCAAGGUGUUCCUAUCAUAUGUCUCCCAACAGGGAUUGGUUCAGUAUCUACCAACCCAUAAACGGGGUGGGAAGGUUCUCAUGGGAAACAAUGUGGCCUAUAAGGUUGUUGGGAUAGGCACAAUUUGAAUUAAGAUGCAUGAUGACAUUAUAAGGACAUUAACUGAUCUAAGGCAUGUUCCAAAAUUAAAGAAAAUUUUGAUUUCUUUAGGGACACUUGACUCAAACAAAUGCACAUAUAAAGCUGGAGGUGGAGUUCUGAGGAUUUCAAAGGGUGCUCUUGUUGUGAUGAAAGGAAAGAAAAUUAAUGGUCUCUAUACAUUACAGGGUAGCACAAUUAUAGGUGCAAUUGUAGUUUCAACCUCAGAAUCAAUUAUAGAGACUACUAGAUUGUGGCAUAUGUGACUUGGGCAUAUGAGUGAGAAAGGGUUAACAAUUUUGAGCAAACGAGGUUUGCUUGAUGGACAAAAAACGGGAGAAUUGAAUUUUUGUGAGCAUUGUGUAUUCGGGAAACAAUGCAGGGUGAAAUUCAGUGCAGGUGUUCAUAGAACUAAAGGUACUUUGGAUUAUAUCCAUUUGGAUCUUUAAGGCCCUUCUCAAGUUGUAUCACAUGGUGGUGGAAGACAUAUGUUGACCUUUAUUGAUGAUUACGCUAGAAAGGUUUGGGUAUAUAUCUUAAAACAUAAGAAUGAUGUCUUUGGAAAGUUCAAGCAAUGAAAAGACAUGAUCGAGAAACAGACUAGGAAACAGAUCAAGCGCUUGAGAACCAACAAUGGCAUGGAAUUUUGUGGGAAAAAGUUCAAUGAGUUUUGCAAGAAUGAAGGUAUUUUGAGACAACGCACAAUUAGGCAUACUCCACAACAAAAUGGUGUUGCAGAACGAAUGAAUAGAACUCUUUUAGAGAAAACACGAUGCAUGCUUUCGAAUGUAGGGUUGUCAAAGGAAUUUUGGGUUGAAGCGGCAAAUUUAGCUUGUUAUCUUAUGAAUAAAUAUUCUUCAAUUCCUAUUAAUUGUAGGACUCUUGAAGAGGUAUGGUCUGGUUAACCUUCUAAUUAUGCUAAUUUAAGAAUUUUUUGUUGUCCUGCUUAUGCUCACGUGAGUGAAGGUAAGUUGGAACCAAGGGCAAGGAAGUGCAUAUUCUUAGGAUAUGCCGAUGGAGUGAAAUGGUACAGGUUAUGGUGCCCAGAUUCAAAAUUUUCAAAAUUUCUUAUUAUUAAGAUAUAACUUUUAAUGAGUUUGCAAUGUUAAGUCCUAGGAAGGAGCAACUUCAUACAGAAAACGACCCCCGUAUGAGAGAAAAGGUGGAGUUUGUGACUAAAGCUUCAGAAACCACAGAAAAAGCAAUUUCAAUAAAGCCAAAGGAAGAAGAAGUGCAACUUCUUGAUGAUAAAGAAAGUGCACCACAAGAGCAACAAUAUUGUUUGGUUAGAGAUAGAAUAAGGAGGCAGAUUAAACCAUCACAAAGGUAUGCUUAUGCAGAUUUGGUUGCUUAUGCACUUAGUGUGGCAGAAAGCAUUGAAAAUGAGGAACCUCAAACUUAUCAUGAAGCCAUCACUGGUAGAGAGUCUACAUAGUGGAUUGUUGCAAUGAAUGAAGAGAUUGAAUCUCUUCAAAAGAACCACACUUGGAAACUAGUUGAGAAACCUAAAAAUCAAAAGAUUGUUGGUUGCAAAUGACUCUUCAAAAGAAAUGAAGGAAUUCCAGGAGUGGAGGAUGCUAGGUUCAAAACACGCUUGGUGGCAAAGGGUUACACACAAAAGGAGGGUGUGGACUUCAAUGAAGUGUUUUCUCCGGUUGUGAAACAUAGCUCAAUCAGGGUGUUACUUGUUAUGGUUGCUUUAUUUGAUUUAGAGUUAAAGCAACUUGAUGUCAAGACUACUUUUCUACAUGGUGAGUUGGAAGAACAAAUUUAUAUGCAUUAACCCAAGGGAUUCAUUAUUUCAAGAAAGGAAUACCAUGUUUGUUUAUUGAAGAAAUCUCUUCAUGGUUUGAAGCAAUCUCCUAGGCAAUGAUAUAAAAGCUUUGAUACUUUUAUGAUUGGUAAUAGUUACCAUAGAGUAUGAUAAUUGUGUUUGUCAUAAGGAAUUGUUUGAUGGUUCUUUCAUUUAUUUAUUAUUAUAUAUUGAUGACAUGUUAAUUGCCUGCAAGAAUAUGUCUGAGAUCAACAUGUUGAAAACUCAACUUCAAGGAGAGUUUGAAAUGAAAGACCUUGGAGCUGUGAAGAAAAUAUUGGGUAUGGAGACUCACAAAGACCGAAAAGUAUGGAAAUUGUACUUAUCAUGGAAAAAGUACAUUGAGAAAGUGUUAGAACGCUUUGGAAUGCAAGGGUCAAAACUAGUGAGUACUCCGUUGGCAGCUCACUUCAAACUUUCUAGUGCUUUAUCACCAUAGACUGAAGAAUAGAGGGAGUACAUGUCACAUGUUCCUUAUGCUAGUACAGUUGGGAGCAUUAUGUAUGUCAUGGUUUGCACUAGGCUAGAAAAAUCACAUGCAGUUAGUGUGGUGAGUAGAUAUAUGGAUCACCCUGAAAAGAUUCAUUGGCAAGCAGUGAAAUGGAUACUUCGACACUUGAGAGGAACAUCACAUGUUGGCUUAGUAUAUGAUAAAAAUUUUGACAUCUCUAGGGGAAUUGUUGGUUAUGUUGAUUUUGAUUAUGUUGGAGAUUUGGAUAGAAGAAGAUCUUUAACAAGGUAUGUAUUUACUUUAUGUGGUAAUGUUAUUAGUUGGAAAGCAACUUUGCAAUCUACAAUUGCUUUGUCAACUAUUGAAGCAAAAUGUAUGAUAGUCACAGAAGCAGUGAAAGCAGUUAUUUGGCUUAAGGGUUUGGUUAGCCGAUUUAGGCUUAUAACAGGAGUUGACUGUUGUGUAUUGUGAUAGCCAAAGUGCCAUACAUUUGACUAAAAAUCAGAUGUUCCAUGAGGGGACCAAAUAUAUUAAUGUCAAAAUACAUUUUAUUAGGGAUGUGAUUGCACAGGGUGCUAUUGUACUAAAAAAAAAUCCCUACAACAAUCCCGUAGAUAUGAUGACUAAGUUUGUUCCUAUGAUUAAGUUCAAGCAUUGCUUGGACUUAAUUGGUGUUAGCAAUAUCUAAAGGCCCCUAUGGGGUAUGAGAGUGAAAUAACCGGGAAGACUUUUGAGUUUGUUUGAAUCUUGGAAAUUUGAGUCAAGGUGGAGAUUGUUGGAAAGUGUCUCAAAUUGUAUUUUGAGUCAAUUUGGAAAAGUUAUUGAUAGUUUCCUAAUACAAGAUAUUCUUGAAAGUGGGUUUCCUAUUAUUAUAGGAAAUAUCUUAUUAUGAGAUCUUCUUUUUUAGGAAAAGGUAUCUUUGACAAUUAUACACUUUGUUACCUAUAGAGAAACUUCCUUUGUAAUUAGGAAAAAAUAUAUGAAGAGAUUUUGACCAAAAUAGUAAGUCUUUUUUUGGGUAUAAAUUAGGGCUUUGGGAUUUAAGAGGUUCGAGAGUUGUAAUCUUGUUUAACAAUAGUGAAAGUUCUUCUUCUUCUUCGCUCGUGGAUGUAGGCUUAAGGUUGAACCACGUAAAUCGUUGUGUUUUGAUUUUCGUUUUUUCUUAUUCUUUUCUCCCUAUUAUUAUUCUUUGUUGUGAUCAGUCACAACAUAUGUACAUACAUGAACAAAAUGGGAUCAAAAUAAUAUUAUUAUAAACAAUAUUUUUGCUUUCUAAAUGACCUUUGACUUAAUAAGAAAUAAUAAAGAUCUCAAACCUCAAAAUGAAAGAAUACGACACAUAAAUGAUUGCCUAAAAUGGAAAGAACUAAUGCAAGUAGGAUUAAAUUCAUUGAGUCCAAAUGCUUAAAGAUGUAAAACCCAUUGGGUAUAAAUGGGUAUUUAAUGAGAAAAAUAAGAUUGUAAGAUAUAUAGUGUGAUGAGUAGUACAAUGUUUCUUGUUGAGAUCUAGUAUUAACUACGAGGAAAUACACUCUCCCGUCAUGGAUGCAAUCACAUUUUACUUUCUAAUUAAUUUAAUAGUCUUAGAAGGACUAUAUAUUCAUCUCAUGAGUGUUGUUACGACAUAUUUAUAUGGAUUCAUAUAUAAUGAUAUAUAUACAUGAAAAUCUUUGAAGGACUCAAACUGUUUGAAACAAAUAUUACAAAGUCUCCUUUAUUCAAUUAAGUUACAACAAUCAUUUUAUGGCUUGAAGAGACUAAGACGCAUGUGGCACAAUCACCUUAGGAAAUACCUAUUAAAAAAAAGAUAUGUGAAUAACCUUACAUGUUUAAGUGUUUUUAUUAAGAAAUUAAAAAAUGAUUUAUAAUUAUUAUAGUGUAUGUUAAUAACUUAAAUCUUGUUAGGAUUACUGAAAAACUCAAAAGAACAAUAAAUCAUUUGAAAAAGGAAUUUGAGUGGUUGACUUCUAAGUCACCUUCUCAUUCAAGUAUAUCACAUUUGAACACUCAUCCCAAAUGCAUCUUACUUAAAAACCUGUGUGAGUUAUUUAGUAGGACUGGGACAAUUUUGGAAGCUAAGGCGAAACCAAUUUUGAUAAUAGAAAAAAAAAAUCAAAAUGUACCUUAUUAUAAGAUUUGUUGAAAGGGGAGUUCUAUAAACAAAUGACAUGGUCAUAUUAGUUCUAAAAUCCUUGAGAAAAACAAAUUGGACAAUGGAUUAUGCAUCGCACACUAGGUUAAGGAAGUGCAAUAUUAGGUUUUGCAUUCAUAUAUAUAUAUAAGAUUUAAAUAGAAUUUCUCAUUGUCAUGUUAUUUUUGUAAUAUAUAAUAGGAACAAAGAAUUCAAUAUUAUGUUCUCUAGUCAAACAGUAAACAAGCUUUUAUGAAAACUUAUGGACCAAUGAUCCACCCAAUUAAUAGUUAAGAAGUGUGGUUCAAAAUUGGAAUAACACCAUUGCCAGUUCUAGUAUACAAAAAUCAACCUAGAAAACUUAAGAGAGUGAGGAGAAGAAAGCUAGACAAGAUAAUGCCACCAAAUCAUUCAUAUAAAUUAAAAGGGUUUCAUAUAGUUAUCGGGUAUACAAAAUGUGACCAAAAAGGCCACAACUUGAGAUCAUGUUCUAGAUUAAGACAACAAUAAGAAAGAGAAAAUAACUCACAUAGCAUGGGAUGCCCACCAAACUCAUAAUAAUAAGACAACCAUGUAAUUAUACACUUUUUCGCUUUCUUUUUUUAUUUUGUUUGCGCUUCUCCAUUAGGAGUUUUAUACAAUGUUUAAUAUUCUUAAACUUUGCCUUAUAAUUAGCAUGGAAGCCAAACUGAUAUUUUUUUUCUUUGCCCUUUAUUAAAGAUUUGUUUUUUCUUUGUUUCAAGAAUUUUUUCAAUCAUUUAAUUUUUAAAACAUAUGUUCUUUUUGUAGGGAACCCAUAUUACUCCUUUCCUAGGCCAUGGAUCAUAAGGGUGCAUGCAAUCUAUCCUAGGCUCCUCUAGAUCUAUCUCAGUGGAAAUAUACGAUAUCAAAAGCCAAAAUGGAUAGUAGAUUAAGAGUUUCCAUAAAGCGUAAAGAGUACAAAGCUUAGACGUGUGUGAUUGUGAGAGGGAUAAAUUCAAAACACUGGAUUAAAGCAGGAAGCUGAUGGUGUUGAAGAAAGAUCAUAAAAACACAAUAAUGAAGCCGAAUAAGACUAAUGCAGAAUCCUACCACUUGGGUUGGGUGUGAGUGCAAAGACUUGCAUAUGGUCCCCUACACAUACACAUAUUACCAUAGUUAGCUGGAGAACAAAACCUCUGUUUCGGUAAUGCAGUAGUGUUUACAUCUUCAUGAAACAGCCAUGAAUAAGAAGCUACCCAGUUUUCAUCACCCUAACACAAACCUCAACUCAUGAUGCUGCCAGUUCUGCCUUUUGGUCCUCCAAAAGCUUUAGCUCCUUUCACCAACCUUCCAGUUUCAUCAUCUUGUCCAAUUGCUCUGGGUUCAUUUCUUGUUGUGAUGCUUUCUGCUGUUGGGCUUCUGUGAGCUGAAUCUGCAGUUGUAAAUAUGCACCAUAGCAUGAUUACUGACAUUUAACUGAAACUAGAUAGAUAAAAAAAUAAAAACAUUCACUUUUCUUAUUCCUUCUCGAAUUACAUUCUUAAUUUCUUUAAAGAGGAAAGUCAUGGAUUAAGAUGUAAACCUAUUGCCUUACAGGAGUAGAAAGUAGUUGAUCUAAGAAUGACAAUGAAAUUGAGCAUGUCGUCAACUGCUCCACCCAUAAUUACUCAAAAGGCCCAAUUCUCUCACUCAUGAAAACUAGGUAACCGUAGUAAUUCUCUCCCAAUGAAAGCUGGGUGACCAGAUAUAUUCUCUCUAUCCCUCUCUCUCAAACUAGCAAUUACUAUUGUGCCAUUCAGCACAACAGCCAAGAGCCACAUAAGAGAUCCUUAUCCAACAGAUCUGAACCUUGAGUGAGUGAGUGAAUCCCUCUCACUCUCAAACACCUAAGCAGAAGAGUCAAGACCUGCAUAAGAGACAGUUUAUACUGCAGGUCCAUAUUACAGUGGUCGUGAUCAACUAAGGCUUCUUCCCACAGGUUUCGUUUGGAAUUUGCAUGCAUCCCCAUGUAGCAUUUUUCAUAUUCACAUCAGUCUUGAACAAGAUCAUUUCAACUCUAGAAAAAAAUAAAUCCGCUCCCUUGACAUAACAAAUAGAAUCCCAGAAAUUGAAAUAUUUAAAAUCUCAGUAGCAUUUUCUCACAAAAAAUAUUCCACUAGAGUAUGUUCAUUAGAAACUGCAGUGAACAAUAUUGACAUCAAACCAAAAAUUAUUUUUUCUUUUUUUUUUCUUUUAAAUAAUAAGAACAGACGAAAGGGCUCAGUUAGAACUAAAUAAUAGAAAGGAUCCAGUAAUGGACCUUAAGCGAUUGGGUUAUAAAACUUUGUUGAGUUAAACAUUUUCAAUAAUGAUUGAAAAAAAAAAAAGAACAGAGCUAUAUGUUCCUUAGAGAACAAGAUCAGUUUGUUGAAGAUAAUAUAAUGUUUAAAAAUCAGUGAUUACCAUUCCUAGGGAACACAGGAGCAUAAGAAUUCAUACCUUCUUUUUUAAUGCUCGGAUUCUUUUAUCAAUAUCAGGAGCAGCUCCCCCUGGAUUUAGACACUCUAUUGACUCUGAAGGAGGAGUAACUGUUAGCUCAUUCAUCUGAGAUGCCACUGACUCGACAAAUUCUGAUCCAUGAUUCACAUCUUCAGCAGAAAGCACUCCAUCUACCAUUUGCUCCAAGUUCUUACCCUUAUCAAGUGCAGUCUGCCACAAGUAAUUUAUUAAAUUUACCUCCAAUCAGAGAAAAGGAAAGAGAAAUAGGCAAGCAAGCAGCAGCUUACUGUCAACUUCACAAACUUUAUGAAAUUUAUUUGCCUGUUAUUGAUAAUAUAGGUGAAAACUAGAAAUAUGAAAAAGAGUACUCUAUUCCCAGUAAUUGUGAGGCCUGUUGCAAACAAUAUCCAUCUCCCUACUUGAUUUAUAAACUUCAUAAAACCUUUGAUGAGCUGACAUGUCAGCCAUUUGAUAAAAUAAGUUCUACAUCUUAUGGAAGUUUUCCUUCAAUGUAUCAAAAAUGUAGUGCACCAGAAACUGGGGACUGUUGGUAUGACAAUGAUUUCCAUCCAAGAAAAUCAGAUAACUUUGUUUACCAUACAAUUUCCAUUCAACCUUCAGAUCCAUCCCAUGCUCCAUUGUCAACCCUAGGCUCAUCUUUAUGUUACCAUAGGGCAAGUUGCUAAUACCAAAUAUUUAAGAUAAGUAUACAUACAAUACAAAUCAGUCCAUUACCCUAAAAGCAAAGGAAAAAGAAAAAGAACUUGUGUCACAGAAAGGAAUAAUCUAUUGGGUCAGUGGUUUGUAUCCAAAGUGAUACCAAACUGUGCUAACAAGGAGCCUUUGUAAGAAUCUGAUACAGCUCCUGCUGUUUCUGAAAGGUUGCACUUCAUCUCUGAAAUUUUUGAUGCCAUGUGCUCUUUGUAUUUUGAAACUGAAUCAACCAAAGCAUAGAGUUCCCAAGCACACAUCUGAAUUUCUUCCUCAUUUUGCUUGAUUGCUUCCUGCAACUUCAAUUUGGACGUCUUCAUGACAACAUCAAAGUCUAGUCAGAAUCCCUUGAAUUAUAAAACCAGGUAGGAAUUUUUCAGUGUUAUUCACAUUAAUCAAGAACAAUUAUAAAGCCAGGUAGGAAUUUUUAGCUCUGAAAAGGGAAACCAACCUACGUUAGAAUAAGUUUCUUUCAGGUUUACGAGAUCCACCCUGGCAAUAUUGAUAUCCUUAACAUACUAGUUAAGAGAAGAAAAACAAAAUUAUACCUCCAGAACAUCUGCCACUUCUCUUUCCACAAUAUCUACAUUAUGGGUUUCUAUCUCAACAUCCUCCACUAACUUCUUAGCUUCCGUUGCACAUCUGGAGGUGUAGUUUUGCGAUUCCUUCUUCAAAAAAAUUAAUUGAGCUUCCACCUGACAAAUUGAUCAUUCAUCCAUGGUUAACCUCAUACAACAAUAGCCCAAAAAGUAUUCAUUCUGAUUCCUUGUCAAAAAUCAAACAGAAGAUAAAUAUCCAUGAACGAAAAACAAUUAGAUUAAACAAUGUGUAACCCAACAAUUUAUGUUGCAAAAUCAAGUUAAACAUCAGAUCCAUCAGAAACAAAGAGUGAUUCUGUGAUGGAUGAUACUAUUCAAUAGCUUAUUAAUAAAAUCACAUUAUUAGGAAGACACUACUCAAUAGCUCUUGACACUAAUAAUGGAGUUCUUUAAUAAUGGAAUAACCUUACAUGGCAUAGUUAUGCAAGCAUUGUUUAAGCUAAUGUCAAAUAUAGUCAAAGCCUUAACAAUAAUUUCCAAUCAACAAGUUGGAAAAUUACUUGCUAAAAAAUAUACUUGGAAAAAGAAUCAAAUAUAGUCAAUCUUUUGUAGGGACUAAUUAUCAUCCAAAAAUAAUUUUUCUUAAGUGUUUUAUAGGCCAUCAAAGCUACUUUGAAAAUUUGGGGCCUGACAACCUAUGUGCAAUAACAAUUGACGUCUCCAGCAGAUUUUCUUUUUUUUUUAUCCAAAACAAAUCAUUCAUUGAUAUGAAUUUUAUUACAAACCAAGGAUGAAAAACCCUUUCAAAAUAUAAAGGAUGAUUAAAAAUUGAGGAAAAACCUAACAAGAGUAGCAAAAUAGCUAUACUAAUCAAGGAUGAUACAAGAACUUGUACAAAAUAUAGAGACAAUGUACACUUGAAGGGGGCAAAACAUACCUUACAAAAGUGUCCAUUUGCAUGGCUCCACAUUUAGCCAAACAAUCUGCAACCUGAUUCGCUAAAUGAGGGGACCAAUAGAAGGAACAACCCAAGCUACUAGCUAGAUCCAGGGUUUUAGGGAGCCACAUGUCAUACAUCCCAAGAGAUGUGAUGGGGGAAAGCCUUUCAAAGUAUAUUCAAAAAGGAAAGGAAGGCACAAAUAAACUUUAAGUGGGAUUAGUAUUAGUUGGAAUAAAAAUAGAAUUAGUAUUUAUUGGAAUCAAAUUAGGAAUAGCUAAAUAAUUUAUUGGAGAAAUAGAGUCAUAAUAGGUUAUAUUAGAAUCCUAGUAGGCUUUGGAUUUUUUAGAGAAGCAUGUAAAUAAAGCUAAUUGAUGUAAAUCAAAGUAAUGGAUUGAUAAUUAAUAAUAUUACGUUUUCUUGCAUACUUUGCAAUUUUCAAUGGUAAGACUCUUGAUUUUCUUCCAGGUGAGACUCUUAUAAGGCCUUAGUGAGACUCAAAAGUUUCUAUCUCUUCUUCUUCGUAUCUUCUUUCUCAAUGUUUUUUUAUUUUAUUUUUCUUUACCAUAAACUUUAUCCCUUGUUCCUCUCCUUAAACCCUAAAAAAUAAAAACCGUAACCCACUUAUUUGAUUGUAGGCAACCAUCAUAGGGUUGUCCUACAUCAAUAUGUCCAACAAUUUAAUCAUCCCUUUUAAUCCAAUUUGAAAAUAUCGCCUAUUCUCAACUGAAUUAUAUUAAAGCAUAUUCGGGUCACAUGUUUGAUUUCCAAAAGUGGACACAAUUCUAGAAUUAUGCAUUUGGAGUAUAUGUACAUCUAGGGCAUCCUGAAGAUGUGUGCAUUCUGAAAAUGAACACGUAUUCCUAUUUCUUAUUCUUUCUUCUUCUCCCUCUUCCCUAUAUUUGUUAUUCAUCAUAUCUUCACAUCACCUCGGUACCAUAUCAAAACCAUACAACAAGCUGGCCCUUGAUCAGCAUCCAUCUGACCCUUAUCAAUGGACUUCAGAAACAAUGGCAUGCACCCCAGAUAGAUACUAUUGGACAUUUAACUUCCAAGUCCCCUGGACCAAUCUGACAUAACUAUGGUAGCACACUUUUUGGGUCACACUUUGUAUUAGUUCAAAGGAACAUUACAACCUGAGCUGUCCAUUGAUGCCAAAAAGCUGUAAUGUGGGUAAUACAUGCUCCGCUCAUAUACAAUAAUUGUUUUUAGCAACGGAUACGAAAUGGAUGUCUAUCUAGGGCAUCCAAAAGCUAAGAUUUCAUCUACAACCAAAAGAGUACAACCCCUAAAGCUGAAUGGAUACAAAAUGCCCAUGAUUGUCCCUUAAUAAUAACCCCCAACCCACAACCGGCUCAGAUUUCCCAAAAAGCAACCUUCCCAGGAAGUGUUUCUAGGAGGAAUAACAAACUUAUAUCUCAACUUAUCCCCUUCAUCACCCAUUCACCCAUUAGGCGGUUAGACCAGGCAGCUCUUGCUAUCAAAUUUUGAGUGACAACUGCUUGUGUAACUGACACAUCAUUUGCCCUUUGUACCAAAUUUUAGAUCGACCAUUAGGUGGUACUAUGCUCCUUUCCAAUUAUUUUCUCUCCCAUAUUUCAUUUGAGUCAUUCUGGAAUUUAGCAGUAUUCCAUCCCCAUGGAAUUUCUAGGAACAUUUUUCUGUCAAAAUUUGAAUACAUCUAAAUUAUCACCUUUUUGAAUUCUAAAUGUAGUCUAAUCAAUUUAACCACAGUAAUUGAUUUUCCAAGAAAUUUUCUUAUUGUGCAUUCAACUACUAACAAUUCAAGAAAUUUUUUUUUUUUUUUUUGGAGUGGUAAAUCACAAUUCAAAAAAACAAAUUAAACGAAGGGGAAAGCAAGAUUCCAAACAAUUUUGUCUUUUAGAUUGCAAAGAAAAUACCAGAGAAGCUUACGGUAACAACUUUAGUUUUCCUAGAGUAGCAUCCAUGCAAUAUAAUGACCAUGCAAUUGUAUAUGCUACUGCUGGUACUUUAGAAAUGGUAUUGCUAACAAGUUAGACCACUAGGUAAAGAAGACCUGCUUUGAUUUGUUAUAUAGAUAGAUGGAUAGAUAGAUACACAGAGAGAGAGAGAGACAGAGAGAGAGAGAGAGAGAGAGUUUGGCCUUUUCUAAGAGCAGCAAAAAGAGGUUGAGUUAAUUUGUACUUCGGUUAAUUGCAUAUUCAAUAGGGGACCAUUGGCUCCAACCAUGUGCACGCUCCCUCCAUCUGUAUCCCUAUGUAUGUGUGUCUGAGAAUUUUAUGGGUUAGUCAUUCUUUCCAAAAUUUUAUGUUAUGCAGAGUUCUUCUUUCUUGUAACAUGAUCAAUCUUGUUAUUUGUACCAAAGAUAUUCAGGAAUGUCUUUGAGAAUUUUAUGAGUAGAGGAUUCAUCAUCCUCUCCAAAAUUUUUGUCUCCUAGAGUUAAUCUGGAUCUAACAUCACCAAUACUUUUACCCUUCUUUAAAAUUUUUAGGAAAACAAAGUGAAAAUCCGGCUGCUCCUGUUGACACCCUAAAAGCAUAUAAAAAAAAGGCAUAGUUUUCUAUUCUUCAUGAGAGGUAUAUAAAUGCAUAGCUGCUGAACAAGAAAAAUGAGUUCUAAUUCACUUACUUCAUCACUACUGGAUUGAAGUGCAGCAAGACGAUUUCUUUUUGCUUCAAUUUUAGCAGCAUUUUCAACUGAUUGUUGCUGAAGAGAAAUCAACUCUUCCAACUUUGACAUAGAGCUUUUAUUUAUGUCAUCAGCAAAGGAGUCAAGUGCAGGCUUAAGCGUUGAUUUGUAAUCAAUUCCCAAAACCUCAGCAGGUGAAGACCCUUUGGCAUUCAACACAUACUGCAAACCAUUUCCUAACUUUAACCUGGAAACCAUCCAAGAGAAAAUACUUCAAUCACACAAUAGAUUGUAGUUUAAUAGGUUGAAAGAGUUGCAUGAGGCGGCAUGCUAAUUUGUCAAUUCAAAGAUGCUCCUGAAAAUUAAGUACUUAGUGUUGCCUCUUCAUGACUAUUAGUUUACUUCAAAAAGUUAAAGAGAACAUGGUCCAAAGGGAAACAAUAGGCUCCUAAGGCAGGGCUCAGGAAGCAAAGGGUUGGGUGGGUAUGGGAAGGUUCCAAGUUGAAACUCAUAUACCGAGAGAUAGAGAGAGAGAGAGAGAGGGGGGGAGGGAGAGGAGAGGGGAGGCUACCUCAAGAAAAGAGGUUGCCAAGGGCAACUGUAUCACCUAUCUCUGUCUAAAUAAAUGAUUAGAAAACUUGUGAGGAUGGAAGUGUUAAAUGGAGAUUUUUUUUUAAAAGCCAAAUCGAGAAUGAACAUUAACAAACCUUAAAAACCUUUUUAUUUUUCUUACUUUGACAAAGCUGUAAUGCACCCCAAAGAUAAAUGCAGGUAAGGCAAAUUACAACUCAGAAACUACCCAUUGUUGGUUUUGAAUCACAACCCAAGUAAACGAAUGAAGUUUGAGUUGGCUACUUGGAAAUAAUGCAUGUGACUCAAGAAGACAUAAGCCAUUGAAUGGUUCAGCAACUAUAUUCACCUGGUCUGAAUUUUUGUCUACUGAAAUUUUAUUUUUUUGUUAGGUAAAUUUUUUUGUCCCUAUUAGGAUUUGAACCCGAACCUCCACAAACCCUCCCAACCCUUUACCUCUUGAGCCAGGCCUCAAGGGCGUGUUCACUGGAAUAAUUUAAGCAGAGAACAGCAGCUGGAUCCUUCUUAGGAAUCACCGACUAGUCAUGCUAUAACUACAGAGCCAGAUCCUAUGUUCUCACUGAAGUUAUACUAAAAUGUUGUAUAUGUUAAUGUGUUUGCUAAGAACAGGAAAAUAUUUCAUAUCACCCAUAAAUGACAGACUAAGUCAAAACGAAAAAAAAAAAAAAAAAAAAUCUUGUAAUCUAAUUCAUGGAGGUAGAUAACCUAAUGUUGAUAAGAAUCACAGUAGACUUCAAUGGAAUAGAGAAAAUCAAUUCCAAGCAACACCAAACCUAAGAAAGAACACGAUUCUACCAUGUUCAUUAAUUAUCAGAAAGCAUACUGAAGAUUGCUAGAAAGACUUUAGAGUAUGCAACUUAAGAAAUUAAGAAAAUCCUAGUGGAGUGGAUUAUAGAGGUAUGAAAGCCAAACAAAGAGGAUAAGGAAAAGAAAACCUCCUGAGAGCUUGGUUGCAUUCAAUUGAAAGAGCUUCAAGCUCCUUAAACUUGUGCCCAAUUGUCGUGUCAAGAUCCCAAGACUUCUCCUCCCAACCAUUCCUUGCAACCUCAGCCUCCGUGAUAUCUCUCUCAACUGCCUGCAACUCCCUCUUCAUCCUCUCUGCAUCUCUUGCAUUAAACGUCUGCAACUCAACCCUCUUCUUCAGCUCUUCAUUCUCCUCGCAAAUUCUAUUAUUCUCCUCAACCUUCACCCCCAACUCCUUCUCCUUCUCCUCCAAAAUCUUCUCCACUGAUGCAAUCCUUCCUGAAAAUUCUGCAAUUAUUGCAUGAAAUUUCUUCACAUCCUCCUCCAACACCCCCCUCUCCUUCUCCACAACCUCCUUAGCCGAAGGCCCCAACCUCAAUUCCUCCAACCUCCCCUCCCUCUCUGCCACCUCCUUCUCCAAUGCCUUCACACCUUCCGCCACUGCAUCCCUCUCCCUUUCCAACUUCCCCAUAAACUCCCUAUCCACCGCCUCCAUCCCAUCAUCAUCCCCGCGAAUAUAAUGCAAGUAACUAUCCAAUGCAUACACAAAAGUAUUGUCAAAACACUGCAAAUUCGACACAAGAUGGUCAUUAUACAAUGCGAUCUGGACCAACCAAUGCAUUACGCCUAAAAGGGAAGGCCAAGCAUGUGGGGUUCCGGGGGCUUUGAGAGCGGACUUGUUGAGCUUGAUCGGGCAAUUGAGGUGCUUGAGGAGGAUAGGAAGAUCGUCUUCAAGUUUGGUUGUGGGGAAAUCGAGUUGGGAGAUGAGGAAUUUUAGGGUUUCGGAAAUGUCUUUGGCGGAGGGGAGAGGGGGUUUGAGGGAGAGAGGAGAGGAAUGGGAGGCGAGAAAGGAGUUGAUGGUGCGGAUGGCGGAGAGUUGGUAGGACCGGUCGGUGAGGGCAUCGCCGGCGGACGAGCGGCUGAUUCCAAGGGAGGAAGGGCGGCUGCCAGCGAAACUAGCGUCAGAGUCGCGGCUGAGUUGGCGGUGGUGGUCGACGGAGGGAGGUGGUGGUGGCGGUGGGCGGAAAGAGUCCUUCGGACGGCGGCGGCCGGUGGCUUUCAUCUCCGGCUACGUCUCUCUCUUCUGUUCCCGCCUAUGUUGCUUAUGACUUUGAAUCCAAUAAACUUUACUAAGAAAUACAAAAUCCACCUACAAGCUAUAACAAUAAAAAUUAGGAUCCAAAGGAAGCUUAUGACUUUGAAUGUUGCUUAAAAGAUGAAUUAUACCAACGAGCAAAAGAGAACCACAUUUUCUAAUUAAUUUUUAAUAUAAAAAUUUAAUUAAUUUUUAAUAUAAAAAUUUAAUUAAUUUUUAUUAAAUAGCUUACCGUAUUAUCUGAUUAAUCAAUUAUUUUUUUACUAUCUUCCUUAUCUAAAUAAUCACUAAGGCUAUGUUUGAUUCUCGAUAAAUACUAAGGAAAUAAAAAAAGUAUUAAUAUGUUUGAUUCCCGUAAACUAUAAAGAAAAUAAAAAAAUUAUUAAGGAAAAUAAUUUUCUCAUAUUUGAUUUUACUAUAAAAAAAUCAAAUAUAAUUAAAGUUAGUUAGAAAUUUAUGUAAUUUAAAAUUAUUUAAUCUUAAUACAAUAGAAAAAAAUAAGUUAUACAAGUUUAAAAAAACAUAUAAAAAUAAUAAAUUAUUUUUUAAUCUAUUUUUUAUUUUUAUUUUUUCACUUUUUCUCUUUAUUUUCUUUCCCUCAAAAUUUCUAAAAACCAAACAUAGCCUAGAAAAAUGAUUUUCUCAUGUUUGGUUUCACUAUAAAAAAAUAUAAAAGAAAAUCAAAUAUAAUUAAAAAUUAGUUAAAAUUUUAUGCAUUUUAAAGUUAUUUAAUCUUAAUACAAUAGAGGAAAUUAAGUGAAGUAAAUUUUAAAAAGUAUAUAAAAAUAAAUUAUUGACUUUGAAAGUAAUUUUAAUUUAAUAUGUUGACUUUUUUUGUUUAAACUUAUUUAGUCAUUCUAAUUAAAUAACUAAAAAAAGGAAAAAAAAAUAAUAAUGAUAUGUAAUCUAUAAUUCUAAACUUCUUUUUAAAUCUUUAUGCACUUCCCUAAUCAAAUCCUAAAUUUCCAAGUCAAACCCUAAAUGGGAAAUUUUUUUUGAAACCCCAAUUUUUAAAUCCUAUAUUUAAAAAUAAUAAUAAUAAAAUCUUUGUACACUUCCUAAAUUACAUUUAUAACCAUAUCUUACUUUAUCUUAUCUCAUUAUUUUAUAAUACAUUUAAUAAAAAAUAAUAAUGAUGUAAAUGAAGUGGUGAAUGACCAUAUUGAUGGUUAGUUAUAAACUCCAUUUACUCAUCUUUAAGAUGAGUAACGAGAGUUCAUAUGGUGAAACCUAUAAAAGGCUUCUUAUACCCCAUGUAAGAAGCAUCCCGAGUAAAAGAAAUAUAUUCUCUUUCUUUCAUUCUCUUUCUCUUUCUUUCGUUAUCUCAACACUUCUCUUUUUUUAUUUCUUUCUCCCCUCUAUAUAUAUAUUAUUAAAGUAAUACAUAGUCAUCUCUACUUUUACUUGAGUCACAUUUAUUCUCAUUUUAUAACAAAUAAGAAAUUAUUAGUUAAGAUUAAUAUAUUUUGAGGUUAUAUUAAUUAUAAUUAAUUAAUUAUGUAUAUAAAAUCAUAAUUAGGUAAAAGGGCAUUUAAUGUUUUUGACUAAUUUAAUUAGUAACAAUUUGAAGAUAAUUAGGAGUAGACUAUUUUAUAGAAAGUUCAAUUAAAAUUAACAAAAAGGUGCACUAAGUUAUAAAAAUAAAAAUAAAUAAAUAAAUAAAAGAUGAGGUGUGUCAACUUCUUCCUUCUUCCUUUGCUUUUUGCCAACUUACUUGACUUACCUUUUCACCUUUGUUUCUUUAUCAACAUACUUAAAAAGUGAGUCAUUGGUUUUGUCUUCCUCAUUUCUCAAAAUUCUUAUGGUGAUCUCUUCGAAUGCUUCUAAUGUCUUCAAAAUCAACCCAAUUAAUCUUUGGAAAUUUGGAUCCUAUUCUACAAAUGGUGUUUGAGGAGGAAUUUGAAAAAAAAUGAAGGAUUAAUGUUUUGUAAUUAUGGUUAGAGAUUGAUUCAAUGACUUCAACAUAUUGAGAUCCAGAAAGAAAAAUUUAAGAUUCUUAAAAAGGUUAAAAGAAAAUUAUAUUUGAAUCCAUUAAAUUUCCGUUCACAUUUCUUAUAUUUUUGCAUCCACUUUAAAGUAUUAGCCUUAUAAUUUCUAAUAUACCUAAAACACCCUUCUCAUUAUUCCCUUCCACACUCGUCUUUUUCUUUUUCCAUCAACUUUUUUUUUUUCUUAAUAACAAACCUCAUAAGAAAAUAUUUUUAGGGCUUAUUCUUUCUUUAAGUUUUGACGAAAAAAUAAAAACUUGUAAAAAUAAUUGAAAAACAUUUAUGAAGAAUUUAGAAAUGAUCUAGAAGUGAGAAAUCAGUGAUGCCCCAAUCAAAAAAGGGAGUGUACAGGCUUCUCGAGCUUGACUCAUGAAUGAUCCAAUCUUUGGUCUAUGGUUACACUAAUCUUCACAUACAACACUACUACAAGCUUUAGAUACUUUCUUCCUUGGGAUUUUCUUCUUAGCAUCUCCUUUACCACGAGUUAUGCUCAUGGACUUCAAUUCAGGAACCAAACGGCACUGGGCACAAGCCACAGAAGGAGAUGAUCUUUCUCUCAACCAAGCAUCAAGCAUGGCCUUACCAAAUCGGUCAAUAUCCUUGUCUGUCACUUCCCAUAGAUUGGCAACUCUAACAGGGGUACCAGCUGAUAGAUAGGAAAGAUGAGUACCUUGUGGAGUGUAUUGCCCAUUUAGAGACAAUGAUCCACUACUGCAUCCCAUUAGGAGAGUAGCAGCACAAUUUUCCAGUUUCUGAAUCUCAUGCCUGGGAAUAUACUGUGCCCCUGAACCACCACAAAGAUAAAAUUCAAUCUUUAAUAAGCUCACAGGGGCAUAGUAAUAAAUUGAUAGGAAUGCCAGGAGGAACAACGUGAGUAAAACAGAGAAGAAAUCAAAGUGAUUAACAGUUUCAAUCAAGCGUACCACUUCCAAGGCCAAUAUAUAUAAAGAGGUCGUGACUUUUCAAAGCUCCAGCCAAUUCUUCGACUGUGGGUGCAAUUCCAGCUUUACCCUGAAUUUCAAGUGCAAAACAAUAUCAUCUACAGAAACAAUAAAAAUCUACUUAGAUGCAUAUACCUUAUAUUAAGUACUUUCUAAGUCAAAUAUUAAAUGAUAUGGCCCUAUUAGAUGGCUGGAACUGCAGAGAGGAGGAGGCUGUUGGUGUUGGGUAUGUUACGGGGCAUGAUUAGAUGCAUAAGAUAGUAGAUUUGCUGUCUUUUUCUUACCAUUUAACAAAGCAGCUGAUAUUAGUUAGUACAUGGUGUCACUAUGUCAGCAAAUGAGAGUUUUCAUAUCAGCCUAAGGGGAAUAAAUUUUAUAUUAUUCUGCCAUGACAAUGCUGUAUCUGCAGAUACAUCAAGUGGCAAAGAGGUGGUACAACCAGCAUUUUCCAAAGCAUAAAAGCAUGCAACUAGUAUUUAUGAAUAAGCAUGAUCAUAAUCUAGCGAUCAGUUGGCAAUCAUUCUAUUCUAAAAUCCCAUCAAAUUCUUUUAAAUGGGAAACAGCAAGGCAUUUACCUCUAUGUUUUGAUCUCUAAACCAUUUUUCAAAUGCAGCUUGUGAGCUGCUGAGAUCACCACUAGGAUUCAACAAAUAAAAUGCAUCCAAGGGAUCAAUCAACGGAAAGGCAGCAGCAUUCAUUCCAGCCUGCUCUUGAUGGUGGUGGCUUCUGUCAAGUAUGGCAGAGAUGCUGCCAAUUGAAGGCAUGCGAUAAACCUCCUGUGUUCGUAGCACUGGUAUGUUCUCCCAUGGAAGCAUCUACACAAUCAAUUAGCUUGAGGUUGAGAAUUUUAUUUUGAUAUGAUUUCUAAAUUUUUUAGAGAUAAUUAUAUUAUUUAUUAUGAUGAUUAUCAUUCAUUUUAAUUAUGAUAAUUAACUAACUAAUUAUGAAAAUUAUAAUAUUUAUUUUAUGUGACAUGUCAAUAUAUUAUUAGCAAAUUAUUAACAUAUGAAAAAUAACUUAGUGAAAAAAUUUAUUUCUACGUACACACGUAUAAAUAUUAAUACAAAUAAAUUCUUUUUUAUUAUCAAAGAUUUAUUUCAAAUUUUUCCAACAAAAUGUAUCAUAAAAAUUUGAAGAAGGGACAUGUCAUUCGACCUUGAAAAUCUUCUUUUAGCCAUAAAAUUUGAAACAAGAAAGACACAACAAAUUAUCUUUUUCUUUUUUUCUCAUUCAAGAAAACUUUUUUCUUCAACAACGUUAAAAUCUGUACUCUUUCCCAAACCUUAUUCGUUAUGUGCAUGCACAAUCUUAAAUAUAUAAAAAUAACCCCACAUCUUAUGCGCAUAUGAUUGAUUUUCAUAGCCUUCCCCUCUUAGUUACAAUUAUGCAAUUAUCCUAUUUAUUGUUAUUUUUUCUGCAGAAUUUUAGCUUUAAAAUGUUAUAAAGUUGAAUUAAAUAAAUAAAAAAUAGUUAUUCAUUGGGCGGUAGCAACUGGGCACGCCAGCUGGUGGGCAUGUGGUUGAGGGGGAAACUAUGCGGAUGGAACCCAUAGGAGAGACCCAAGUUGAGAAAGCUGUCCGGUCCAAGGGGAUAAACCAGCUUCAUCCAGAGUCAGAUCUUAUCAUUGAAUAGUAUUGGACACAAAAUAAGUCAAAAUAUAGGAUCUCAGAGUCUCUGUAUUAAACCAUAAGUCCCUCUAUACAUGUGGGAAGAACCCAAGAAACCACUGUCGGACUAAUAAUAUAAACCAUAAGUUUGAAUAUAUAAAUCCCACUUGCGAUGUUGACAUAUGGAUACCACAAAGAAGUUUCAUUCCCCCGACUUGGAACCUCAUCUGAAGCCUCCUCUUUCUAUCUAUCGUGUUAUAUAUAGCUCCACCACACUCUCUCCUCUCCACUCACUCUCACUCUCUACUUCUCAGUGCUCAUCUCCAUUGAUAUGGCAGAAGAGGCUUCAUCGGUUCACUUCAUUCACCAACAACUUCUCUUCGACUUUGAAGCUUUCGAAAGCUUCGUCUCUCAUGUAAAUGAUCCAUCCCAAACUUCAACCUCUGAUUCGAGUGCUUCCACCUCAGAUAUUAAUCCGCUCUCUAAUUACUUCAAUCCCCAUGAAGAUGAAAACAACCCCUCUCUCCUCCACUGUUCUACCUCUGCUCCGUCUGGCUUUUUCCAGCUUCAAACCAAAUCCCCCAAAACUUCCACAUUAAGUCAUCGGCGACCUCCACUCAGCAUCUCAGUCCCUCAGCCCACCGUUUCUCAGUCACCGGCGGAGUCCGAUUCAGGCGAUAUCAGGCAUUACAGAGGCGUGAGGAGACGGCCAUGGGGGAAAUUUGCGGCGGAGAUUCGAGACCCGAAUCGGAGAGGAUCGAGGGUAUGGCUGGGGACAUUCGAGACUGCCAUUGAAGCCGCCAGAGCUUAUGAUCGAGCUGCUUUUGAGAUGCGUGGCUCCAAAGCUAUUCUCAAUUUCCCCCUUGAAGCUGAUAAUUGGUCGGGAUCUGAUCCACCAGCGAUAUCUGGCCGGAAAAGGGAGAGAGACAGUGAGACUGAAGAGAGACAACAAGUGGAGAUUAAGGUUUUAAAGCAAGAGGAGUACUUGCCCGAAUCCGACAGCACGCUGGCGGCAGCCAGUCAUGUUUUAGGGGUUAGUCCGUUAACUCCGUCAAACUUUAGGGCCGGCUGGGAGGAGAGAGAGAUGGAGGGAAUAUUCCAUCUGCCACCGUUAACGCCGUUAUCACCCCAUCCUUGGAUAGCAUAUUCUCAGCUUAUAGUUUGAAUCAAAGGAGUUUACCUUACCAAAGACAUUGAAAUAUUACUAGAAUUCUUACAUAUUCUAUGAACAAUAUUGAAUUUGUUUAUAUCUCACACUGUUCCUUUUUUGUCGUCCUAUAAAUCAAUCAUUACAAAAAUACUUCCGCCAGGGCUUAAAAUACUAGCUGAUGCACAUAGCUGACAACUUUAUAAGAUGAUAUAAGUUCUUUUUUUUCUUUUUUCUUUUUAAUUUAUCAAAUUAAUUAAUUAAUAAUAAAAUAACAACAACAAUAUUUUAAUAGGGUUGAUAGAGUAAUUUUUAGCUGGUCCAUUAGCAUGCAUGCAUGCAUGCAAGUGGAGUAUGAAAUGGCAUAGGUAUCUUAGUAGUGAACUUGGUAUUAUUAUUAUUUUUUUAAAAAUGAAAAUUAUUUAAAAAGGAGAAUAUUUUUAAAUAAAGACAAUUAAAUUUGGAUAUAAUAGAUCAAAACUAUGAAAUGGCAAAGGAAGAAAAGUUGAUACUAAUUUUAGGCCUACAAUGGGGAAACCUAAAAUUAUGGGAUCAUAAUUUAUUCUGAUCUAAGAGUCUUCAAUAUCUUCAAUAUUCACCCCCAUAAGAUGGCAUGUGUAAAUCUCUAAAACCCAUCUUAGAUGUCAAAUUAUAAAACCUAUAUGUUGGUAAAAAAAUGUCCACCAAUUUUUGUUGCAAAGGAACAUAAUACUAUGAACUACAACCCUUCUUUAUUUUCUCACGAGCCAAGUGACAAUCAAUUUUAAUAUGCUUUAUCCGUUGGUUGAUAGAAGAUUGGACUGAUAGGAAUUUGUAAAGUAGCUUUAUUAUGAUAGUAAAGGUAUGUUGGUUAGAAGUGAUCAAACUUAGGUCUUUAAGAAAGUAACAUAGACACUUAGUCAAAUCUAAAUCACAAUAACCAUGUAAUUGAGUUGAUAAUAGAAUAAUGUCUUACAUGGGUCUCACUUUGGAUAACACAACAUUCACAUAAUAUAAUUAAAGUGAGCCUAUCUCGGCUUGUCAAGGAAUCGGUAUAGUGUAUGGACAUAUAUAAUAGGUGAUAUAAGGCUUAGUGACGGAGAGAUAGAUAGACUAGUAACCAAUCAAGCGCCAAUAAUGUGAAGGAUCCAAAAGAAGUUACACAGUUGAUUUGCUUAACUUUUGCAUUUUGUUUCAUAGGUUUUUUUUAGACAAAUUUGUUCCAAGAAGUCCAAAUUUCUUAAGGUCAUGUUUAGUUAGAAAACUUUUCCUUUGAUUUGGAUGUUCCCAAAUUAAAUCUAUUUGAAGAAAAUCAAAUGCGAAGCUGUCGAAAGUCUCAUAAACCCACAAUCUUUUACCCAAUGACUCAACCUUGAACCUUGGCACUCUAAAUGGUUGGGUGCUUGAGAGGAUGGAGGCUAAACAUUUCUCUAGUCUCUGAUGGUGGAAAAUGACUGAUUGGAAACCCUAACCCCUUAGGGAGUAUUUAUUGGAUUCCCCAUUAGGUUUAAGUGACUUGAGUCCACAUAGGUUUUUACUUAAUUUAGCCCAAAAAGGGUCUUAAUGAAUUAAUUAACCUAAUAGGCUUAUCCAAUUAAUCAAUUAGCUCAAUCCAAAAAUAUCAUUUCACUAACCCUUAUGCAACCUUAUGUAAUUACUAAAAUGCCCUUAUACACAUAAGUGGACCUAGAGUUGAUUAAAUUCUUAUAAACCAUGUUAUUAAGGUAUAUGAACUUAAACGGGGACCACUAGGACCCACAGGAUAGUACCGACUCCCUCAUAAUCCAAUUUUGAAGGUGAAUCAACAUCCCACUAUAAAGAAUCAAUUGCACUCCAAUAUCCUAUAUAUGUAAAUAAUUAUGAGAUGAAGCUUUGGUUUGUGACUUACUAUCCAAUGCAUGCAAACUCCCCAUGUGUCCAUAAUUUAAAAAGGUAGUGUUAUCACUUAUCUAGAUUACCUUUCCAAUCCUUAAGUUAUAGAUCCCACCUAUUAUGCGGUCAAUUGACACACUCUAGCUUCAAGGAGCUUAUGUCAAAUUUCCACUAAAGAAAAUACUAUGGUCAUAGUCUUCUAGAUCACAUGUCCUUUGAAUCACCUACUAUCUCACUCCCAUAUAUAUCAUUAUGCCUCUAUUGAGAAUAUUUAUUUCUACCAACUUCCAUUAAUAGUGACCAAAUCCAUAAGGAUGUAUGACAACAUUAGGGUCUCAUUUAUAAGUCAAAGCCUCUUAUUAAUUUUAGAACAUACUCAAUACACUCUCAAGGUUGAGAGUUCAUGUAAUAUAGUAGAUUGGUAAAUCAUGACAAUUGGUAGCCUUACAUCAUGAUUUACUAUAUGUCAUGUCUACUGUGUAACCAUAUACAUUGGUUCACUAACCAUGGGAAACCCCAUCUUGACGGUCAAAACAAGUCAUCCCUCUAAUUAGGAGGUAGUGCACUAUAGUUUCUACUAAAUUGUCCAAAUUCAUGAACUGAUUGUAAAUCACUUAUCAUCUUGUAAGGAACUCAUGACUUGUAUUCUCUAUGCAACUCCUGAUAUACCUAAGUCAUGAACAAUGCAAGUGAUAUGAGUGUGUAUGCUAAACUAACAAAUUAAUGAAAAUGAUAUAAUAUAGGGAAAUUAAGAAACAUAGAUAAAUAAAUUUAUAAAUGAAUUUCAAUAUGUUAAAUCAUGUCAUAUUUUCUAGGGCUCAAUCCUAACAAAAAGUUCAUCCUUAUUAUGGAAGAAGUUAUUAAAAUGGAAUAGAAGAACCACAACAUUCACUAAACCAUCUUGGUGUCGUAUUUGUGAUAUGCUAGCUCUAUGUGGAAAUGAAGAAGAAAUACAUUGAUCUCCGAUUAAGCAAUAAGUUUAAUCAAUGAAGGCAAAAGCAAAGGGAAUUCAAGAGGUUAUUAAAUUAGUAUAGGGUAUAAUUUAAUAAUUGGAAAAGCUACUAUAAUUGAAUAAGUAUGAGAUAAUCUAUGUAAGGUAAAACAUUAUUUUUAUAAAGUAAAUAUUUAGUCUUAUAUGCUAGUAUAAUACAUUUAUAGUAGGUUGUAACUAAUAUGCAUUUGAUAUAGGUCCAUAAAUUUGUUGAAAGGUUAAAAAAGAAAGGAUAUCAUUAUAUGAGAAAUUAUGUACCAUUUAUGGGUACACUACUACAACAGGGCCAAUGCUUAUCUUUCUGAAGGAAGUCCCUCGAUUAUUAUUGUUCAAAACAUGUCUGAUUAAGAAUUCUAACUAAAUCAUGAGGCACCAUUGGAUGAUCAUGGUGAUAAGGUAGGUGUUACUCAUGCUUUGAAGCAUUAAAGUCAAUCCACACAUAUGGGCCCACAUCUUUUAGAUGUGUCCCCACUUAACAACGAGACUCGUUUUUUUUUUUUUAGUGAAAAUUUGAUUAUUUUAAAAAAAGUUGGACUCACCACUUAUUUUUGUUUAUUUUUAAAAAAGAAAGCAAAAUAAGAAAUAAAACCCUAAGUGAAUAUUUUUUUAAGGAUAAACAUGUCCACGAAAACUGAGUCCAAGUCUAGAGUUAGGUUACUUAUUGGGAUGGUACCAUAUGAUAGCACCCCUCUGAGCCCUAAAGAGGUUUCUACUAAAUAAGUGGAGAAACAAUUAACUAAUAGACCAAUGGAUACCAAGAGACAAUAAUAAGAAUACAACUAGACAAUAUAUGGUAAUGAUAAACAAAAGCAUAACAAGCAUAUCAAAGGGAACAAGCAAACAAAGAAGGAAGGGAGCAUACCUUAAUAAUGCUCGAAAUAGGGCAACACGCUUAUAUAAGGAAAAUAAAGUGCUAGUUUACAAGCAAAAUAAGGGAUAUAAUAUCAAAGCUAGAGUCAUCCAAUAUAUACAAGGUGUAUACAAUCAAAAUGAAGCAUCAAAGAUAGCUAAACUAGCAUCUAAGUGGAUCAAAAUAUACUAAACAUGCAUAGGGAUUAGAACAGGACAACAAGCAGGUAUUCACAUCUAAUAUGUAUAAGAUGUCAAUAAUUUAAAUCAAAAGUCAAAGAAAGUUAAAGCAUGCUAAGAGGGACUAAAUUAUCAAGUUUAUAUAAGAAAUAUAGAAGUUGGAUAACAAGUAGAUAGUUAUAAAAUAAAUCCAAAUAAAAUAGUUAGAGACGAGAUAAAAUAAAAACAAAAAUUCUAAAACAUACUCAAAGUGUCUAGCUAGAACACAACCCAAAACCCUAAGGAACUCAAAUGUGCAUAAAUUAAUCCAAAUAUAACCAAACAUCAUAUUACGUAGGUAUAAGGUAGAACAAUAAGUCAUGCAAAGAUUGAAUUAUUUGACAAGCAUAGAGGUGAGAUAAAAAUAAUAAUAAAUUUCUACAACAUAUUUAAAGUGUCUAUAACAUAUUAAAAAUUUCUAUGAGGCCCAAACAUGCACCAAUUAUCCCAUAAUUCAAAGAAAAAUUUCAUAACUUUAUUUUUUUAUUUUUAGAAUAUGUGACUAAUCCAGAUGAUAAGUUUCCUUUAUCUUCACAUGGUAUGUUUAUAAAAAAUUAAAGUAUAACUUACAAAAUAAUUUGCAUAUGAAGAACUCAAAUGAAUAUAUUUUAGACAAGAAAAUAUUAUCUUAUUAAUUUAGGAUAUACCAAUAUGCCUAGUUUCCUUUCUCCAUAUCGUGAUGAAAGAUAUCAUUUACAUGAUUACAAGGGAAGAGGGUGUCAUUCUCAAAGUUUAGAAAAGGGCUUUAAUUAUAGAAAAUCAUCAUUGAGGAAUGUCAUUAGCAAUACUUUGAAGUGUUAAAUGCUCAACUCCUAAAGACUUUGCAGAUGUAAAAAUCAUGACAUCAAAUACCAUAGAACUAUAAUCCAUUAAAUAUGAAGAAGAGGUACACAAAUUUAUCUGGUUGUUGCUAUUCCUAGAGAUUUACACCCCAAAACCUAUAUCUAAUCUCACAUCCGCAACAUAGCACCAUGUGUGCUCCAUAAUGAAUCCUUAGUGCCUUGAGGGGAUGCAAAUCUCUCUCAUGAACUUAAGAAUAAAAAUCAUAAACUUUUUCAUAGUUUUAGGUUAAACACAAAAAAUAAUGACUUAAAGUUUAGGCGCAUUGGUUCUUAAGAGAACUUUUCCAAUAAACAUACGUAAGAGAAAAUUUAGUGAAAUCAAUUUAGAAAUCAUAUUUUAUCACAAAAUAUAAUUUAGAAACUUAAGAAUUUUAGAAAAUUUUUGAAAAUUUUCAUAUUUUAAAUUAAAAAAUAUUUGAAAAUAUUUUUUGUUUAAAAUUCUUAAUUUACACUGCUUUCCAAAUUUCUUAAAAGAUUUUUCUUUUUUAAAAUUCUCAAUUUAAAAAUUUUCCUCAAUAAAUUUUAUUCCUAAUUUCCAUAAAUCCACUCUAUGCCUAUCAGAGUCAUUAUUCUCACUUAAUUCAACCAUGCAUACCUAUUGAAUCUUUGGUUGGUUUUGCAGCAACUUUGAAUCUACAAAGAAGUGUAAUCAUAUGAAAGUACGUAGAGUCCUAAACCAAGAUGAAUGACACAAAAUUGCCAACUUAUAAUCUAAAUAGCCAAUGCAUUAACAAUCUCCCCAUUUGACAAUUUUUUGAUAAUAUAAUAAUGAUUUCAUAAACUCCCCAAUACUCUAAAAUGUAGUUUACAAAUCGCUCAAUAUCACUUUUCCUAACCAAACAUCCUAUAAAUUGAUUUUCAAUAUUUGCAACUCGUUCAAAAUUCUUGAAAUCUAGAGCCUGUGAUCGCCAUACACUUAAUCAAUAAAACUUGUGAAAAGCAAUGUGUGAGAAAAAAAGGAUAAACCAAAUUAGUCUAAUCACAAUCUAUUAAUCUAAAAACAAACAAUAACAUAUUAAGAAAAAUAUUAAUCCCCAAAUUGUCAAUCAUAUACCAAAACAAUAAUAUGAAUUUCUCCCCCCUUUUGUCACAAAAUGACAAAGAUAAAGAAAUAAGACAAUUAAAACCAAUAUAUCCAAAAAAGAGUUUUUUUUUUUAAAAAAAAAAACAAACAAAGGAUGUUAAUUCACAUCCUUAUAAUUUUCAAAAUAAUAUUAGAACUCAAUAUAUUAAAAUAAUCAUAAAUAAUGUAAAUAAUAUAUUAAAAAACUUAUGUAAAUUUUUCAUAAAAAUGAUCAAAAGUAUCAGGUUAAUUCCAAUUUAGACUCUAAAAUUUAUCAAGAAUAAAGAAGACAUAACAAGAAUAAAAUCAUCCAAAGAAUAUAAUCUCAAGAUCAUCAAGUUAUUGUUCUAUUAAAGUUAUAUAGUUUAAAAAUCAAAUUGCUUUUAGAUCAUGCUUAGUUGUUAAUCAAUUCAAAAUUGAUUUAAUUUGAAAAUAGUCCAUUGGAUUUCUGUUUAAUAUGAUAAAGUUUUGAUUUUUAAAGCACAACUUUACUCUCCUUCAAUUGAUGUGUUUUUUUUAAUCAAUUUUUUUUUUAUCUUUUUCAUUUUACUUUAUUUUUUUUCAUAGUGGAGACAUUUUAUCAUAAAUAGCGAAAUCAUAUUUUCAUGCAUAGGUAGUGUUUUUUCACUAAAGGGUUUUCCCAAUUUUUCAAGUGAUGAAUUUCGCAUUGUUUAAAUAUAUAUAAUUUAGAUUUUACCAAGGUAGACCUUUUGACUUUAGGAAACAUUUUUGAAUUAUAUCAAAAAUGAUAUUUCAAAUCAAUUUAAAAUUAAUAGGUAUAAUGCUCAUGGAUUCCCUGAAUUUGAAUCUUUACACAAGAAUCAAACUUAAGAAGAUUUUAUCAAAUAGUCAUAUCAUAUUCUCUAUUUACUUUAUUAUUAAAUUCUAAAAGGAAAUUAAAAUGGUCCUAAUGAUCACAAAUAGAAAAAUAAACACUUUAAAUGGUAACAAAAUUGAAUGAUCACUCAAAAUAUUUAAGCAAAUAAUAAUAAAUUAAGUAACCACAAAAUUCAUCUAACCACAAGUAUGAAAAGUAAAAGACCAAGGAUCUUAAAAAAAUGACUCCCCCUAAAGCAAUGAUCCUAAGUCCUAAACUCAUAAAUACAAAUAUAAUCCCCCUAACCAGGAGGAAGAUUUUAGCACACUAAUAACAAAGUCUUAAGAAUAAAAUAUAUAUAAAUUAAAAAAUUCUAAGGACUCCUAAAAUUGACAUAGCACUAGGGAUAAGGAUGAAACACUAAUGAGAGACUCUAUGCUAUAAAACAAAAAGUGCUACUGAGAAGGGAAAGUUCCUAAAGAUUUUCCUAGGAGGUAAAAUCCUAAGAAAAUCUUUAUUUUUAAGUUCAACAAGGACAUCUUUCCUAAUCCAAAUUUGUCUAGUCUUAGGGACUCCGAAAGUCAAAUUUGAAUUAUUAACAUGGGAAUUAUGAAUAUUCAUCCUAAGCUUAAAUUGGGUAAGAGCUUUUGAAACCAAUUAAAUAUUUUUUUUCCUAUUAAAAUAGAUUUUAUAUUUUAAUAUCUUAGACUCAACUACAAGCUUGUUAAUUUGCCUAUAAAUUCUUCAAACUUCUUAAUAUGACACCUAUCACUAGUGUGACCGCUUCUAUGACAACAUGAACAUUUGUACAUAAUCUUAAUAGGUGUUUGGACAUGAUUACUGAUAUUUUUAAUAAAAAACAGGGUCAAUUAUUGCAUCUUAAGCUUGAGUAUAUCAUUAAGAGCACCCUUCAACUAAGAAAUUGUAUGUCACCUUGUGUAUACUUGGUUUUCUCAUGUUUUCUUUAAUUUUUUUUUUAUGUUUACCACCAUAUUUCAAGAAUCAAGAUUACCUUGAGAUCCUUUCGGGACAUUCUAUGUGCAAGGAUGAAGGGUGAAUUGAACAAAAAAAAAAAGAAAUUUCAAGGAGUUCUUAGGUGUUAUCCUUGUUUAACCAAUAAAAUGUUUUAAAGUGAUUGAAGGGGUUAGACUUGUCCAAUCAAGCUGAAAUUAAUUUUCUUAGAUUCCUCUCUUUCCAAAAUUAAAUCUGACCAGUUUUAAAAUUUUUAGAGGUUAUUUGUCUGAUAAAUAAAUUAGAGAAAUGUGAGUGAUGUUCCAAUUCAAAAGAGUGUCACCAAGGGCACCACUACUUAGUUGUCAUCGUCUUAUUUUAAGGAGCACAUGAUAGCCUAUGAGUGAGCUUUUUCUGAUGUUUAAACACAAGGAAAUGGGUUAAUUACAAUGGCUUACUAAUUCCAAACCAUCAUUUGACCUUUUUCACAUGAAAGGUCACUUAUCUCAUGUGAGGAGAACUUGGAGCUUGCUUGGGAAGGAUAUAAAGGGGGAACGGGUAGCCAUUGAAGGGUUUUUUUUUUUUUUUUUUUUUUUUUUUUUUUACGGGUGGGGAGUGAGGGGGAAAGGGAGAGUCGUGGACGUGCUUGCUCGAUUCUUGGAGUUUAUCUUGGGAAAGAGGAAAUCUUGGAUUUUUUUUUUGUUUGCAUUUUAUGUUUUCUUUACAUUAUUGUUUUUGUUAAGGUUAUUUUCUUGUUUUGAAUUUGGUUCCUUUGAAAUUGUAUUGGAUCUUUUCACUAUUAUUGAGUUCAUGUAAUUUUAGUUAUAAGUUCUAAAAUUCUUACUUUAGUUUUCUAAUCUCUAUUUUAUUCUGUCAAUUUAACUUUCCUUCAAUUUCCAAUAAGUAGUCAUCUAGGUUGAGGAAAGAGAGCCCUAGAGAAUCCCCUUCCACCAUUAGAAUGACUUCACUCAUGAGAUUUUUAUAGUAUUUAUCACUUGUUAUUUGGAUCCCUAUUAUAAAAAUCAAGGCAAAAUUUAUUUGUUACUUAACAUUUGAAGAUUAGGGGUUCCUUUAGGGUAUUCCAGUGCCUAAGGGUGAUACCCUUUUGACUUGAAAUGACCAUUAGUGAUCCCUUAAUACUACAAUUUAACAAAUAGAAUCACAUAGAACCUAAGUGAAAUAACCAAACAUUUACAUAUUUGAAAAUCAAAGUUUAAAGGUUCCUUUAAGGUAUUCCAAAUGUUUAAUGGUGAAGCCAUUUUGGCUUGGAAUGAUAACUAUUGAGACCUUAAUAUUGAGAUUUUGGAAAAUAAAUGAUGUUUUAUGAAAAAUGAAUAUAUAAAUGGAGAUCUAACAAAUAGAUUGAGAUUUUCAAUUUAAUGUGAAUGAUUAUAUUGGAUAGCUUCCGACCAAGGGAACCUUAGGGUAUCUUGGUUGAAAUAAUAAUAGUAAAGGUCAUUCCGAGGUGACAAAGGGGAGCCCAUAGGAUAUACCAUCUCCUCAACUAUUUAUUGCAAGUAGUUAAGAAACUAAUUCUUGUUAUUCACAAAACCACUUUCCAACCAUUUUCUUGCUCAAAGCAAGAUUUUAAGAAAGCGUUUUCUGAUUGAAGCCAAACUAUGUGCUCUAAUGGAACUUGUUUGAUAUGAUUUAUGCACCAUAAGACACUCAAAUCAUCUAAAUUGACCCAAAUUGAUGCUAAGGCCCUAGCCAUGAGUUUUACUUUUAUUUUGGAGAUUUAUAUCAAGUUUAAGAGAAGAAAAUGGUGGAAGUUGAAUCACUUUAGAUUUUGAAAAAUCAAGAAGGAGUUAAAUGAAGAAAUGAGCGAGUCAAGACUUAUGAACAAUGAGGAAAGGAAAGACAAGGAUAUCAUAAGCUUGAGAGAUGAGUAAUGACCAUUAUGAAGUAAGAAAGAAGGCACACAAACAUGGGAAAUGAGGCAUGAAGCAAGAUUCAUCAAGUUUGCAUGGAAAUUUAGUACUCAAAAUCUAGUGGCAACAUGUACUUUGAAUUUGAGGUGACAUUUUUCCCAAGUCCAUUUUAGGCAAGUUGUAUUACAUUUUUCAGGAAAUUAGGAAUCCAAUGCUUCAAAUGAUGCAUGAAUCGAAGCUGAAAUGAGAAAGUUGUGCAUGUUUAAAGCAAACUGGUCAAAGAAUAAAGUUGAGUUCAAAAUUAACAACUUGAAUUCAAAAUGGUUUUUGGUCAUUUAAAACUCAAAUAAAUGCAAGGAAGGACUAAGUUUGAAUCCUACUACGUAUUUCAAGCACACAUUUUGAACCCAAAAACAUGGAGUUUUUGCAUGGGCAGUGGGUGAAUUUGAAAUUCACUGUGAAUUUUGAACUCACCUUGUUGAUUUCGAAUUGGUCCUAUUUUCUCCCACUUAUGAUUUUGAAAUUGAUUUGGAACUCACCCAAAUUUCAAACUCAACCAUUGUUGAUUAAGUUUAAGCCUUAAAACACGUCAAAACAAGUUCCAAAUGCCUUCACCCAAUUUGAAAUGCCUUAUACUCAUUUCGAACUCGUAAUUUUUGAAGUUUUUUAAGUUGUUCAUGACUUUUUCUUGUAAUAAGUGACCAAUGAGAGUGUGCCACAUGUUAUUUCAUUGAAUAUACUAUAUAAACUCUCUUAGUUCUAGGGUUUAGGCAUCUUAGAUCUUCCACGGGUGGGAGUUUGACAUUUUACGGGGAAGAAGACGAAAACUUUGACUUGUUUUCUUUUCUUCUUUAUUGAAUAUGUUGUUUUUAGCUUCUUUUGAUUCAAAUUAUGGAUUGUGAAUGUGACAUUGAUUCGUGCCCACUUGGUGUAUCAGUUGAUUCAUGUCCAGCUGGUGCUCCUUGAUUGAAGGAGUAAUCAACAAAAUUUAUAACCUAUUGCACCAUGAACUAGGGUAGCAAAAACAAAGCUACUAUAGCAUAGUGGCUCUAGGAUCGUUCAUUGGGAUGGGUUUUCACUUCACAAUUGAUAUUAAUUCAAAGAUGAAUUGGUGCCUUUUCAGUUCAAGGUUAGCUUUAAAAGAAAACAUAAAGAUGUUUGAAUGAAAAAGGUUUGGUUUUAAUCUAACCAAAAAUAGUAACUGAUUUUACUUACAAAGAAAAGUGUUUCUUGGAGUUUAGAUCACUAGACUCAGGUUCCUCAUACAAAAAGGAAGUUCCGAUCACUUGUUUCUUUUCCUCGCAUUGGGGAUUUAACAUAUAGUUAUUUCCCGAACCGGUGUGGUACAGAUGCUUCCCUUUAAUGGGUUCAAACACUAAAUCCCUCUCACUGACGCAUCUUGCAAUGACUCAUACCUCUCACCUAGCACUUGCCAUUCAAGGUGAUCUUUAACCUUGGAUUACCCGUCAAAAGCUCGCAAAAGAUAACUAAUGGAUGUCACCUUAGAGUCCAAAAGCUUACCAAGUGUUGGCUAUUCUAGAAAAUCCUACCUUCAAACCACCUCCCAAAGGCUCGCAAGAGGUAAACUAGUGCAUCUCAAUGGACAGAGAUCACUUGCCUUACCAAGUGUUGGCCCAAGUAAUUUAAAGGCGUUUUAAGUUAACUAAAAAGAUAAAAACCAUUAACGGGUCACACUUUCUCUUCAUUAAAAACCAAAAUAACAAAACUUCCAAUUUAUGCAUGAGGAAACUUACUCGGCUUUCUUCACUCCAAGAGACGAAGAACCUAGCCUCUCAUCCUCUGAGGAAAAAUCCUCAGAGUUUGAUUGGCUAGAAAGAAAAAUAACGAGAGAAAAAAAAUAUAUAUGAAAAGCAGAGCAAGUGCUCUAUAUUUUACUACCUUGCAAAACUGUACAAAGGAUCCGUCUCUGAGAACAAGCUCCCGAGAGAUUGAUAUUUAUAUAAGGGGUUAUUCACCAUUUUUCUAAACUUAAUAACUAAGGAAUCCUAUAAUUGGUGGGUUACAAGGAGAGUUUGCGAGGCCACACGUUCCGCCGCCCUCCGAUGGUGUGUCCAGACGCCCUGUCCGGACAUCUUUUGCCAUGGAUUCCAAAGAACUCUCCUCAAUCUCAGAUUGCUUUGGUGAUAAAAAAGCUAUCAAAACACCAAAACUUAACACAAUUUGAUUAGAAUUGAUUGCAAGUGUCCUUAAUAUGUUAAUUGGGUUAAAAGGUGAUCAUUACUACUCAAAAGUGUUUAAAAGAGUUAAUUACAAGCUAUGAAAUAGCACUUUUGGAGUAGUAAUCAGACAUCACCUCCAUAAGAGGCUAAAAGACUAAAUUGGGGCUUGGAGCAUGAAAAUCUAAGGGUUAGAAACUCAUAGGAACAAUAGGUAAAUUGUUAUAAUAAUGAGAUUAAUUAUUGGUUGGGUCACAAUUUAUCAAUUUUUUUUAUCCUAUCCUUGUGAGUUAGUUUAGGGAAUGAUACGGUAAGUUAUAAGCAGAUACUAAUGAUUCUUGGUAACUCUUGAUCAUUAGUUAUCUUGAUUUUCCUAAUCGUUAUUUGUCGCAAAACAAAUGUACAAUGAGUAGGAAGGGUUAAAAAGCCAAACCUUAAACCAAUAAUCAAUCUUAUUCAUUUGAUGGUUUUAAGAAUUUGUUUUAAAAAGGAAAAAUUAGGUUUCAAAUACAAUUUUGAGUUAUAGAGCUCAAGUUGAUCACGAGCGGCCAACGAUCCCAAAACCGUAAGAUCACUUUACUUAAAAAACCUUUGUUCUCUCUAUUCUAUAACUUAAGUUAGAUUGUGGAAAGCCCAAGACUUGAAUCAAUUGAAUUAAAAAUCGAUAUUCAUUUUGUUAUUAAUUUAGUUCUUCUACUUAGUUUCACUUCAUUCACAUAUUAGCUUUCACUUUAGGAUUGAAAUAAAAGUGAUUCAUUUAUCCUAGUAUUGACAAAUUUCAUAAGUCAAUCCCUAAAGACGAUACCCAAGGUACUACAAAAGUCAUAGUGACUCUUUCUUUGGUUUUUCUUGACCAGAGUUGCUAUAUAAAAAUUAUUUUGGACAAUAGAGAAGAUCAUUAAUUUUCCUUCACCAAAUUUUCAUCCUCUUAACUUUUCCACUUCACCUACAUUCGAAGAUCACCUAUUUGAGGUUCGACACCCAACUCACCAUUUUUUUCUUUUUUUUAAAAAAAAGAAGUUACAACUACACCCUACACUUAGGGAAUUGCCAUUUUAUUUAUACAUAGUAUAGUGUGGUUACGACACUAAGACUUACCUUUGUGGCCUUAGCAAAAUCAAUCUUUCCACUACUAGGAGCAAUAGACGCAUCAAGAUAUCCUAUGCCUCUCUUGUCUCCAGUAGACUUCUCCUUACUAAUGAUUUCAUUCAAAAUCUUAGUUCUAGGGUAGAAGAUCUCAAUUUUAGAGGGAACCUCUUUUCUUUGUUCUUCAAUUUCUCAAGAUAGAACAUUAUUUCUCUCAAGUUGAAAUCAAUGUUCUUUCUCUAAAAAUAAAAAUUUUUCUAGAGAAUUUAUUUUCUCUUCUUUUAACACAUCAUGCUUAGUUUUUAUUGAUUUAUAUGCAAUUGUUAUCUUGUUGUAUUUAUUCAAUAGAAAUUGAUAUUUUUUACAUCAAUUUUCAAUAAUGGAGGCAUUUUCAUCAAAUCACUAUCACUAUCAUUGAAGUAAUCAUUAUCAUAAACAACUAAAGCAAUGAAACCAUAAUAAUCAUUUUGAUUAUUCAUAUUCUCACCCAAAUUCAGAUUGACUCUUACUUGACUCAAAAUCACUCCAAGUCGUUUCCUUGACUUCCUUAUUUUUCUUGGGACUAACUUUUUCCCUACACGAUACUCCUUUCUUGAAAUUAUUUACUUCAAGUGUUAAUGACUCUUUACUUUUAUAACACUCAUAAUUUUCUUUUUCCAAGAAGACAACUUUAUUGAAAAGUGACAAUCUUUCUUCAUUCAAAUUAGCAAUUAUUUCUUGUUGUCUUUUCUAUUCAAGGUACAAAGAUUCAAAAAAAGAUUCUUUCUUCUUGAGUGUUUUUAUUCAAUUGUUGAUUUUUUUUUAUGCAAUUGUUCUCAAUCAUAAAAAAACUUUUUCACACAAGCCAAAAGGAUAUUUAAAAAAAAAAAAAAAGAAAAUCCAUGAAAACAAGAUGAAAGAUAGGAAUAUAAGAAAAUUUUGAUUUGUAAAUUUCUUCAUACUUUGAUAACAAUUGAAAGUUUAUAGAUCUUGCUUAUGGAAUACCCAAAAAGUGGUGAAUAGAUGUUUGAUACUUUUUAACCCAAAAUUAAUUAUUUUUAACUUUAUCUUUUGAUAUAGGGAAAUGGAAAUAAUAAAUAAUGCACAAGAAACAAAACCACCAACAAAGCCUAUCAUCUCAAAGAUUUUGCAAAUGUAAAAACGAUGGAGUCAGAGACCAUAGAGCUAUAAUCCACUAAAUAUAAAGAAAAAAAUACACAAAUUUACUUGACAAUUGCUACUCUCUAAGACUUACACCCAAUAAACUAUACCUAAUCUCACUUUCAUGACAUAUUACUAUGCUUGCUCCUUAGUGAACCCUUAAUGCCUUAAGGGGAUGUGAAUAUUCCUCACAAGCCUAAAAAUAAAAAUCACUAACUUUUUGAGAGUUUUAGAUUAAGCGCAAAGAAUACUAACUUAAAGUAUAGGCACAUUCGUUAUUAAGAGAACGUUCCCAAUAUGCAUGUAAAGAGAAAAUCUAGUAGACUUAGAAUCAAUUUAGAAAUCAUAUUUUACCACAAAAACCAUUUAGAAACUUAAGAAUUUUAGAAAAUUUUGUAAAGAUUUCAUAUUUUAACAUAAAAAAGAUUUGGAAAGAUUUUUCUUUUAAAAUUGUUAAUUUGAAUUCCUUUCCAAAUUUCUUAAUUUUUUUUUUUAAUUCUCAAUCUAAAUUUAUUUUUAAAUUAAUUUUAUUUCUAAUUUUCAUAAUUUCACUCUAUGUCUUUUAAAGUCAUUAUUCUCAUUUAACUCAACCAUACUUACCUAUUGAAUCCCAAAUUGAUUAUGUAGCAACUUUAAAUCUUCAAAAAAGCAUAAAUCAUACGAAAGUACAUAAAGUCCUAAACCAAUGGAUGAAAUAAAAUUAUCAUAUUAAUAUAAAUAGCCUAAUGCACUAAAAUAUAAAUAAAUAUAUUGUUAUUGUUUAUUGUGCAAUUUACAACUUUAUAAGGAUGCAUGAUCAUAGAGAUCUAUAAUUAAAGAGUAUAUGAUGGGUUAUCCUUAUUUAUCAUCCAAUAGCACACAAGUGGAGGAAAAUGUAAUCCUCAGCUGCAUUCUAUGGCUCACUUUUAUGAUGAGAUUACUUAAGAAAUAUGCAUGUUAAUUAAACAAUAAUUGACUCCUUUUGAACUUUGUUUGCAUUUUCAGUUAUUAUUUAUAGCUAAUUCAGAGUUAAUUGGUAAAAUAACUUUUCAUUUCCUUUUUAUUCGUGUUAUUUAAUUAUUUAUUUUAGUUUUUAUUAUUCGUAUCAUUAUGAUAUACUUUAUUUAUUUUUAUUUUUUAAAAAAUAAAAAAAAUGAUAAAUUCUAUAUAAAAUAUAAGAACUCUCGUAAAAAAAAAAAAGGACUUUCCAUUAUAUUCAUUAAAAUUGCUUUAAAAUUUUUAAAAUUUGGUAUAAUAAAUUUUUUUCAUAUCUCAAGUUUUAAUUUUUUUAUUUAUUAAAAUCAGUAACUUUUCAACAUAAAUCUUUAAGAUUACUUGAAUUUUAUAAAUAAUAUUAUUAAUUUUAAAAAAUAGUGAUAUAAUCGAUUAUUUUAUAAAUAAUAAUAUUAUUUUGAUAUUGUAAAAAAUAGUGAAUUUUAUAAAUAACUUUUCAACAUAUAUAUAUAAUUUGUUCUCACUUGGGUGGGUUCAAUUAAGGGUGAGGAUUACGAUGAUGCGUCAUUAUAAUCGAUCCAAACCCCAAAGCAUAUAUAGCCUUUUCUAUUGGUUGUGGUCCCUUUUGCAUUCUAAAGAAAGUACCCUCUGCUCGUCUGUUUUGAUGGAGGUAAAAAAAAAAUACAUAUACAUGCAUGGUCCCUCCACAGAUUAAAGAAUGUAUAUACGAACCCUACUUUUUUCAAUGGAAAGAAGCUCCAUUCCCCCAACCAGGAACCUCAUCCGAAACCUCCUCUCUCUAUCUAAGAUGUUACGCACAACUCUGUUAUAUAUAGCUGCACCACUCUCCUUCCCACUCACACUCACUCUCUUUGAUUGUUUAGUGUUGUAAUACUUCACUAUUUCUAAGUGCUCAUCUCCAUUAAUAUGGCAGAAGAAGCUUCAUCACUGCACCUCAUCCACCAACUACUCCUCUCCGACUUUCAAUCUUUCGAAAAUUUAAAUGAUCCAUCCCAAACUUCAACCUCUGAUUCCAGUGUUUCCACCUCAGAUGUUAUUCCGCUCUCUAAUUACUUCGAUCUCCAUGAAGAUGAAAACAACCCCUUUCUCCUCCACUGUUCUACUUCUGCUCCGUCUGGGUUUUUCCAGUUUGAAUCCAAAUCCCCCAAAGCUUCCAGAUUAAGUCGUCGACGACCUCCACUCAGCAUCUCAGUUUCUCAGCCAACCAUUCCUCAGUUGCCGGCGGAUUCCGAUUCAGGCGACGUCAAGCAUUAUAGGGGGGUACGGCGUCGUCCGUGGGGGAAAUUUGCGGCGGAGAUCCGAGAUGCGAAUCGGAGAGGAUCGAGGGUAUGGCUGGGGACAUUCGAGACUGCCAUUGAAGCCGCCAGAGCUUAUGAUCGAGCUGCUUUCGAGAUGCGUGGUUCCAAAGCUAUUCUCAAUUUCCCUCUUGAAGCUGGGAAUUGGUCGGGUUCUGACCCACCAGCGAUAUCUGGCCCGAAAAGGGAGCGAGAGAGUGAGAGUGAAGAGAGAGAACAAGUGGAGACGAAGGUUUUAAAGCAGGAGGAGCAGUCGCCGGAAUCUGACAGUACGGUGGCGGGGCCAACCAGUAAUGUUUUGGGGAUUGGUCCGUUAACUCCGUCAAAUUGGAGGGCCGUGUGGGAGGAGAGAGAGAUGGAGAGAAUAUUCAAGCUGCCACCGUUAACGCCGUUAUCACCACAUCCUUGGUUAGGAUAUUCUCAGCUUAUAGUUUGAGGAGAGGGUGUGCUUUGACUGUAAUUAUUGAAUUUGUUCAUUCAUUUAAUAAUUCGUCAUUUUAGUUGUUGUUGCCCUCCAAAUCGAUCUUCACAGAGAUACUUAAUUAAGAGUAACUAUUUAUGUGCAUAAUAGGAAUAUCUACGUACAUAUUUUGAGUAUAAUAAUCGGUAGAACAAUUAAAUUGUUGAACUGAAAUUACUAAUCUUUCCAUAAUUAUGAAAGAAAAAUAUUGGAAGCUCACAAGAAUAUAUCUCAUAAAUUUACAAGCAAGAAAAUGAGAAUCUAACAAAGUUUAUCUUCGUCCAUAAGUUGCAAACCUUCUCUUCACAUUUUCCUUUCUUUCUCAUAUAAGCUGUCCAUCUUUCCCUUCUUUCUCAUCAGACAACAAUUUUGUGUGAUGGCCAUAAUCACACCAAAUUAGAAAAGGGCAAACCGAUUAUAAUGAGCCCCAAUUGUCUAAGAAACUUUAAACACAUACUCAACUAAACGGAUAUACAUAGGGUUAACCUCUUCUUUUUUACUUCAUCUUUAAAAAUUGUUGGCACAACCUAGCGUUGACAUAUUAGGAUUUUGGCUUCUUUGUUUGGUAGAGCAAGAGUAGAUGCAAGCUUUUUUGAAACAUCAACUUGCUUGUUUUCUUUCCUUGGAAUAUGUUCAAUGGUGAUAUCCUAAAAUCAUCCUAACAAGCCAGUUGUGUAGCAAUAGUAUGGAAUUAUCUCUAGUUUCUUCACCUCAUAGAGGCUAAGGAGCUAAUUUAUGAUUAAUUUUGAAUCACCAAACACUUUAACUUGCCUUCUCUUUGUCUCCAUAGCCAUCUCCAACCCAAGAAUUAAGGCCUGGAAUUCUACCAUAUUGUUUGAACAAUUUUCAAUAAGGGUAAAGGAGUAUGGGGAAAUAUCCUCCCUUGGGGGAAAUGAAUACUACUCUAGCAUUUUCCCAUUCACAAUGAGAUGCUCCAUCAAAGAACAUUUUCCAUGGAGAUAAAGUUUCAACUAAAAGUACUUCCUAAUCAGGAAAAUCUUUAGUUAGUUCCUAAUCUAUUAGGAUAGGAUGAUUAGCUAAUGCUUGGCCUUUUAUGGAUCUUUGAGUGAUGUAAAUAAUUGCAAACUCUUGUAAUAAAAGUAAUCAUUUUGCUAGGCAUCUUGAUAGGAUUGGUCUUGUCAUGAUGUACUUCUAUUGAAUGACAUGUCCUAGGAGCUGUUGACAUGGAGCUGAGUAGAUUGAAGUGGAAGUAGUCAAAUAAGUUAGUCAUGUGGAAGAUUUACCUAUUCCUUAGGAAGUAUUUGUUGAUUUGUUUCUAUUCUUUAGGAAAUAUCUAUAGGUAGCAGGUUUGUUGCUAUUUUUUAUGUUUUUCUGUUUUAAGCUAGCUGUAUAAAUAAGUACUUUGAAGCUUAAUAAAAUAUAUCACUUCAGAUUCCUCAACGUUCUGUUGCUUCCUGAGAGUUUCUACACUUUGUUUCUAUCAAAACCCACAAAUUGGUAUCAUAGCCAAGUUCUUGAGUAACUUGUGAGGUGAGUGAGCCUAAAAAAAACCUACAAACAAUAUCCAGAAUGACCUUAGAAGCUUCACUGAAUGCACUGGCACCUCCAAUGUUUGAUGGAAUAAAUUAUCAAGUGUGAGGAAUAUGAAGUUCCUCCUCUGUCCGACAAUCCAACUAUGGCUCAAAUAAAACUACACAAUGAGAUGAGGCAAAGGAAAUCAAAGGCAAAAGCUAGUCUAUUUGCAAUUGUCUCAUCUACAAUUUUCACCAGAAUCAUGACACUGAAGAUAACAAAUGAAAUAUGGAACUUCCUAAAGAAGGAAUAUGAAGGAAAUGAACAAGUCAAAGGUAUGCAAGUGUUGAACCUGAUUAGAGAAUUUGAGAUGCAAACGAUGAAAGAAUCAGAAACAAUCAAGGAUUACUCAGAUAGACUUCUUAAUAUUGUUAACAAAGUAAGACUUCUUGGUACUAACUUUUUUUAUUCUAGAAUAGUUCAGAAAAAUUUUAUAACAAUUCCUGAAAAGUUUGAGACUACAAUAUCAUCUCUAGAAAACUCAAAAGAUGUGUCAAGUAUCACCUUGUUAGAGCUGUUGAAUGCAUUACAGGCUUAAAAACAAAGGAGGCUUAUGAGACAAUAGUGAUCUGUGGAGGGUGCAUUUUAGGUCAUAUCUCAUUACAAGAAAGAGAUGCAAAGCAACAAUAACAACAACACUCAAAAGUUUCCACCAUGUCCUUACUGUAAAAAAUCCAAUCAUCUAUAAAAAAGGUGUUGGUGGAGGUCGGAUGUAAGAUGUCACCAGUGUGGUCAGCUAGGGCAUGUGGAAAGGAUAUGCAAAUCUCAACAGCAACAAGGAGAAGUCAAGGUUGCUGUGGAAGAACUUUAAGAUGAGCAACUAUUUGUGGUAUCAUGCUUUACCAUUAGCAGCUCCCUAGAAACUUGGCUUAUAGACAGUGGUUGUACAAACCAUAUGACUUAUGAUCAAGGGCUCUUUAAGGAACUUGACAAAACUGUUACUUCCAAAGUUAGAAUUGGAAAUGGAGCAUAUCUUGCAGUAAAAGACAAAGGAACGGUGGAAAUUGAAGGCCACACAUGUUUGAAAUUAAUCUCUAAUGUCUUAUAUGUUCUUGAGAUUAAUUAAAAUCUGUUGAGUGUUGGUCAAUUACUGGAAAAAGGCUAUAAGGUGCUAUUUGAGGACAAUCAUUGCAUGAUUGCUAAUGCACAAGGUAGAGAGGUAUUUAUAGUCCAAAUGAAAGGCAAAAGCUUUGCCUUGGAUUUGAUGCAAGAAGAGCAAGUUGCAAUUCACAAAGAAGAAAGCAAUACAAUGCUUUGGCAUAGGCGUUUGGGGCACUUUCAUCAUACUGCCCUUCUCUUUAUGAAGAAGAACGAUCUUGGAGAAGGCUUGCUUGAAUUAGAGGUGAAGCCUUCUACCUGUGUAGCCUGUCAGUACGAGAAACAAACAAGACUUCCUUUCCCACAAAACAAGGCCUGGAGAGCUACUCAGAAGUUGCAGUUAGUACACAUUGAUGUAGGAGGACCUUAGAGAACACCAUCACUGAAUGACAGUAAGUUCUAUAUUGCUUUCAUUAAUGAUCACACAAGAAUGUGUUGGAUUUAUUUCAUGAAAUUUAAAUCUAAAGUUGUUGACAUCUUCUGGAAGUUUAAAGCUUGGGCUAAAAAUCAAAGUAAAUGUAAAAUGCAAGUGAUCAGGUCUGAUAAUGGAACUGAAUACACCUUGGAGAAAUUUAACAAAUUUUGUGAGGAUGCAGGCAUUGAGCACCAGCUUACAACACCUUAUACCCCUCAACAGAAUGGAGUCGUUGAGAGGAAAAAUAGAACACUUAUGGAAAUGACAAGGUGUUUGCUAUAUGACAAAGGACUGCCAAAGAAAUUCUGGGUUGAGGCUACACAUACAUCAGUCUUUAUGCUGAAUAGAUUGCCAACAAAAGCUUUGCAACAAAAGACUCCAUUUGAAGCAUGGUAUGGCUAUAAACCAAGGCUGCAAAAUUUUAAAACAUUUGGUUGUCUUUGUUUCUCUUAUAUUCCACAUGUUAAGAGAGACAAAUUGGAUAAGAAAGCAGAAGCUGGGAUCUUUAUAGGCUAUAGCUCAAUAUCAAAGGCCUAUAGAAUCUACUUUCCAGAAAACAACAAAGCAAUAGUUAACAGAGAUGUCAAAUUCUUCGAAUAAGAAAGUUGGAGUUGAGAUAAUGAUAAGAAGCUUGAGUUUAAAGAGAAUCUUGAGUUCCAAAAGGACCUUGAGUUUUAGGAAGAGAAUGACAAUGUUAAUGAUGAACUUGUCAAGGAAACCAAAUCACUUUCUGACAUCUAUCGGAGGUGCAAUGUUGCUAUAAUAGAGCCUGUAGGGUAUGAAGAAGUUGCAGUUGAUAAAAAAAUGGAUGGAUGCAAUGAAAGAGGAGCUUAAAAUGAUUGAAAAAAACUAGACUUGGGAGCUAGUGGACAAACCGACACAUAAAAGGGAAAUUGGAGUCAAGUGGAUUUAUAGAACCAAACUCAAUUCUAAUGGUUCUAUAAACAAACACAAGGCAAGAUUGGUUGUCAAAGGAUAUGCUCAGAUAUUUGGGAUGGAUUUCUAUGAGACUUUUGUCCCAAUUGUUAGAUUGGACACUACAAGAAUGUUGUUGGCUCUUGUUGCUCAAAAGGGCUAGAAUAUACAUAAGAUGGAUGUCAAAUCAGCCUUCUUGAAUGGAUACUUGGAGGAAGAAAUUUUUGUGGAGCAGCCUGAAGGUUUUAUUGUUAAAGGAAUGGAGGAGAAAGUAUAUUUGCUGAAAAAUGCCUUGUAUGGUUUAAAACAGGAACCAAGGGCCUGGUACAACAGGAUUGAUUCAUAUUUGUUAGGCUUAGGCUUUACAAAAAGCCUAAGUGAAUUUACUCUAUACUUUAGGAAGGUUUGUGAUGAAACACUUGUGGUAUCUUUAUACGUUGAUGAUCUACUUGUGACAAGAAGCAGUAUGGAGCAAAUUGACAAUUUCAAAAAGGAAAUGAAGGAUGUUUUUGAGAUGACUGAUCUUGGGAGGGUGACAUUCUUCCUUGGCAUGGAGGUACAACAAAAUCAGAAUGAGAUCUUCAUAUGUCAACAUAAAUAUGCCAAUGAAAUCCUGAAAAAGUUCAAGAUGGAAGAGUGCAAUCCAAGUGCAAAUCUAAUGAAUCAAAAUGAGAAGUUUUGCAAAGAAGAUGGAGUUGCAAAAGCUGAUGAAAGGCUUUACAGGACCAUUAUCGGGUGCUUGAUGUACCUAAUAGCAACUAGACCAAAUAUUAUGAAUGCUGUAAGUUUACUCUCAAGGUACAUGCAUUGUGCUAGUGAAAUUCACUUUCAAGCAGCAAAAAGAAUUGUUAGAUAUGUCAAGGGUACAAUUGACUAUGGUAUGAGGUUUUGUCAAGUUAAAAACUUUACUCUCCAUGGUUAUUCAGAUGGUGAUUGGGCAGGUUGUGUUGAUGACAUGAGAAGUACUUUAGGUUAUUGUUUUAGCUUUGGUUCUGCUAUUUUUUCAUGGUUCCAAAAAGCAAGAAGUCAUAGCUCAAUCCAUAGCAGAAGCAGAAUAUGUAGCUGCUACUACUGUUGUGAAUCAGGCUUUCUGGAUCAGGGAAUUGAUGGCUGGCUUGUUUAUGGAGCAAAAGGAAAGCACACAAAUACUCGUAGACAACCAAGCUGCAAUUUCAACUGAAAAUAAUUCGGUGUUCCAUGGAAAAACAAAACAUUUCAAGCUGAAACUCUAUUUCCUAAGAGAAGUAUAGAAAGAGGGAGAAAUACAACUAGUUUACUGCAAAACAGAAAGUCGGAAUGCUGAUAUCUUAACCAAGCCACUUUCCAAAGCUAGAUAUGAGUUCUUGAGGCAAAGGCUUGGAGUCUACAGCUCCAAAGACAAGGAGGAGUGUUGAAUGACAUGUCCUAGGAGCUGCUGACAUGGAGCUGAGUAGAUUGAAGUGAAAGUAGUCAAAUAAGUUAGUCAUGUGGAAGAUUUACCUAUUCCUUAGGAAGUAUUUGUUGGUUUGUUUCUAUUCUUUAGGAAGUAUCUAUAGGUAGCAGGUUUGUUGCUAUUUUUUUAUGUUUUUUUUGUUUUAAACUAGCUAUAUAAAUAAGUACUUUGAAGCUUAAUAAAAUAUAUCACUUCAGAUUCCUCAACGUUCUAUUGCUUCUUGAGAGUUUCUACACUUUGUUUCUAUCAAAACCCACAACUUCAUAGGAUUUGCUUCUAAAAUCAAAUCCACCGAAUAAGCAUGGAUAUAAUGUCCUAACUUCUUUAUUGAGAAGAAUAGUGCUUUCCAUAGUUUCACUAUUGGUGUAUAAUUUAAUUUGGCACCUGUUAAUGUUUGACUUAAAUAAUACAAGGCAUUUUCUUUUCCUUCAUCAUUUUUUUUUGGACGAGUAAUGAUCCUAAAGAUUAUUAUUGUGUUGCAAUGUAAGGAUGAGUGGUUGACUUGGCAUAAGAGCUCUUAACACAAGAGGUUUUGUUAGAUGUUCUCUAAUGCUUUUAAAAGCAUUUCUAUUGGCUUCAUCCCACUAAAAAAGAACACAUUUCUUCAUGAGUUAGUUGAAUGGUUGGCAUUAUCCUGCUAAAUAGGAUAUGAAUCGAUAGAUCUAAGCCAAAUGUCCUUGUGAGCUUUUCAAUUCAUACAUGUUUUGAGGCUCUAACAUUUUUUCGAUUGCCUCAAUUUUGGAUUGAUCAAUCUUAAUGCCAUGAUGUCGAACGACGAAUCCAAGAAACUUUCUUGAGGUAACUCCAAAAGCACACUUUAGUGGAUUCAUCUUGAGUUAAUAUUGCCAUAACCAUUUAGACACUUUCUAUAGGUCUUGAAAAUGGUUAUUUAUUUUCUUUGAUUUUACAACUAGAUCAUUGAUGUAAGAUUCAACAUUUUUUGGAGCAUGUCAUCAAAAAUAUUUUGCAUAGCUCUUUGGUAGGUAACAUUGAUAUUCUUCAACCCAAAAUGCAUGACUUUAUAGUAAAAAAUCCCUUUUGGAGUGCGAAAGGCUGUGAGUUCUUCAUCUCUUGGAGACAUUCGAAUUUGAUUAUUCUUGAUGAGCCAUCCAUGAAGGAUAAUGCUUCAUGUCCAAUAAUGGCAUCAACCAUGAGUUCAAUCAAGGGUAAUGGGAAGUAUCUUUUAGACAAACAUUGUUGAGAUCAUGAAAAUUAACACAUACUCGAAUUUGUUUUUUUUUUUUUUUUUAACAAGAACAAUAUUCAAGAUCCAAGUUGAAUAUUUCACUUCUUGUAUGAAGUUAGUUUCAAUAAAUUUGUUGACUUUAGCUUCCUUUUGAGGAAUUAGUUUUGGACAAAAAUGGCGUUGUGCCUAUUUUACAAGUCGAGCAUCAUAUUUUCUAGCUAAGUGACGAUUUGCUACCUUCAAAUCUAAUUUGAGCAUCUCUUUAUAACUCCAUGCAAAAACAUCUUUAUAUUCUAUCAAGAAGUCAGUAUACGAUCUUUCUUCUUCAAGAGUCAAAAGGGUACUUAUGAAAAUUAGGUGAACAUCACAAUUGUUCCUCGAUUAGCGUCUUUAAAUUUGUUGAUGGUGCGUUAUGCCCCUUCCUCUAAUGAAAAACCAACAUCCUUUGUAUUAUCUUUAAUUAAAGGUUCUUGAUUUCUUGGUUCUUGAAUUUCUAUAGGAUUCACAAAGAUAACAUUUUCAUUUUCCUCAAUAUCCUUGUGUAUUAGAGCUUAAGGCUUUUGUUAGUUAGUUAAGACCACAUUGUGCCUUUUAACUCUAAACCUUUCUCCAGAGGUUAUGCUCAAGAGGGUAUAUAUGCCGCUUCAUAUGAGAUGGAACUAAAUUUUAUGUUCAUCAAAAUCUUUAAGAUUGAGAUGUUGAUUUUUUUUGUCAACCUUUUUCUUGCUCAAUUUAGGCCCCGACUUAGAAUGAAUUGAGCUUGGUGAGUUUUUGGUAGAAGGAGUUGUUGCCCAAGCUUGUCGAAGACUAAUACCCUAAUUGAAGACUCACUAAUUUGAUCAAAGAUAGAUUGUCUAGUACUCAAAGUUAGAUCGCAUUCUUUAUUAUUUACUUUAGCUUUGAUAUGAUGGGUGCUUUCUCUUUUUAUUAAUAUGUGUGAAGAAGUAGAAAUAAAUCCUAGGAUGGCUUUUAAAUUUUUUAUCUUGUACCCUUUUUUCGUUAGCAUUUUUUGGGUUUUGGUAAUCCUUUGUGAUUUUUCCUCAGCCACUAAGAUUGGAUAUUUUCCUAUUAUGACCAAGUUUUGUUGGUUAAAGCAUGCCUUGGCUAGUAGUUUAUAGGCAUUAGGAUCAAAUCCCUUUGGAUUAGUAUGUUUUGUAGGAAAAUUUUCAUGCUUUACUUUGCGACUUUGUGAUGGUUUAAUAGACCCUUCUAGUGGAGGUUUUAAGGGCUUUAACGCAGCCAACUUUGUGAGUGGAAGAGUUGGUCUGUCUAAAUUCUUGAUUAGGGUCAUGUCACAUUCUACAAAAGGGGAUUUCCCUUCUUUUGUUCUAGACUUAGGUAUAUACCAAAGUAUCGAGGUAGAUCUUGGAGAUUUUUCAAUUUUCUUGUUAGGUGAAUUUAAUGUCCUAUUAUCUUCCCUAUCCUUUUGUUGUUGAGGUAUCACUAGCUGACCCUUAUGUGGUGCUUUACUUUUAAUAAAUGUAUUCUUCAUUAUUGUUAGAAUAGCCUUAGGUUGCACUUCUUUUGGGGUGUUUGACUUAGAGUACAAUUUAGCAUCAUCAAAGUAUGAUCCAUCUUUAUUGAAAGGCUUGCAAUCAACAAUAAUCUUCUUUUAACCUUCAUCUUGGUAGUACUUAAUGCAUUAAUUAAGGGUGAAAGGAACAACUCCAUACUCAUGUAGCCAAGGUCGCCCUAAAAGCAUAUUAGAGGAUGUUUUAGCUUCAAUGACAUAGAAUAAAGCACUUGUAGUCAAUGUAUUAUAUCAUGAAACUAAGUCUAAUCAUAUUGAUAGCUUUCUAAUAUCAUCGAUGGAAAUUUUUAUAUCACAACAUCCUGUUAUAUCACAAAAAUUUCCAUUGAUUGUGAGGCUAGUAUGUUAGUUGUACAUACUUGAUUUUGAUCAUUUGAACUUUCUUGAACAAUUGUUCAUCUUAUUAACAUUUCCUCUUCACUAUUAGAGGAUUCCUUGCCAUUGUAUACUUCAUAACAUACUUUCACCAUAUCAGCACAUUUUGGAACUCUUUUGGCAUAAACUCCCAUAAGAUGACAAGACUCCUUAGCUUUUGUAAUUUUACCAUUACUUGGUCAUUAGGAUUCAUUGUAAUUUUAUUUCACUUUCUUAGGAUUUGAUUUUUUUUUUCUCUUGUAUUUUCACAAUCUUGGACUUAUGCUUGAUCUUUCUUGGUUCUGUUGAAGGUGGGCUUAGGUGGAUUUGAUUUCUUGUUUCUCUAGUGAGUUACAAUAGUUCAUGUUUUUUCUUGAUAUAUAAAUUAUUUCAACUCUUGAUAAAUAGUUAUUUAUUCUAAACCUAUCAUAAUGGGUUCUUGUAUGCUAUGAGGAACUUGAAAAGGCACUGAUCAUAUGAAGUUCAAUACUUCAAUAGGGUCAAAUGAUACAAAUUGAAUUGUAUUAGCAAGAUUGAUUUCUUUGCCACAAAGUUGAGAAAUUCUUGAUAUGAAGUAAGAAGUUGUUACAUCUUCAAGGUCAAUAUUUCCGUGUCGGUUCAAUUUUCAUUAUUUUAUCUUUCAAAACAAAACAUUGUUCAAUAAGGUGACUAACAAGUCGAUGAUAUUUGUAAUAUUUUUUUUAUCAUCUAUUCGACUAACCUCCUUAGGACAUUUUUAUUUUUGGAAGUUUAAUUAACUUAAGGAGCUCUUCGAGCAUUCUAGGGGUAUCAAAGUCAAGGAAUGGAUAUUUCUUGUCCUGCAUUUCUUUUUAAGUAAGCUUUCUCUUACCUUUAUCUUUCUAAGUACUAGUGUAAUCAUCCUCUCUUUUAUUUGUUUUGUUUGGGGGUCUGAUUGAAGUUGUAUUUGUUGUCAUAGCUUCCUUAUUACUAGUUUUAAGAGAAGCCUUGCCUCAUUUGUGAUUGUUGAGCUUUUCUUUGUUUCUCCUUAGGUUUUGGGCAGGUGGAUCCAUGCUUCCAUUAGUAACAAUGCUAAGCUCCAUGUCAUGUACUCUUGUUGACAAUUCUUCAAUGGUUCUUAGUCUUAUCCCUUGAAAAAUAUAGUGCAUACCCCAAAUGCAUUCCUUGUGUACACAUCUUAAUAUCUAAAGCUUUAGUUAGCUUAUCCCUACAAUCAAGACUUAGGUUUCUUCAUCUAUUGAUAUAAUCAAUAACAAGUUCAUCCUUCCAUUGGCAAGUAUUUGUGAGUUCUGUCAUGCUUACAAUGUGUCACGUACUAUAAAAAUGAUUGAGGAACUCUCGCUCAAGUUGUUCCCAAUUGUAUAUGAAGUUGGGCUCGAGAUCAAUGUAUCAAUCAAAUGUAUUUCCUUUUAAUGAGAUAACAAGUUGCUUGACUAAGAGAUCUCCUUUAGUGCCUAUAUUACUACAAAUUUCCAUUAAAUGAGUGGUAUGUUGUCUUGGGUUCCUCUUGUCAUUGAAUUGUCGGAAUUUUGGUGGUUGAAAGCCUAUAGGCAUUCUUAAUUGCUCAAUCCUUUGAGAAUAAGGGUUAAUGUAAGUAUGAGAAGACAAAACACUACAUUUUUGCUCUUAAGGGCUUCAAGGAUGAAUUCUUUUACUUUGGAGAAACUUGAAGAUUCAUAAGGAGUUCUUGUGCUUUAGAACUCUCAGAGCCAUGAUAAGGAUUUUAUUUCAAUGAAAUCUUGUGGAUGGAUCAACAACCAUUUGGCUUGAUUCUUACAUACUUUUAAUUUUGCCCAUAAGGAGACCGAUUUGGGCAUCCUUUUUGUUCAUGGUUUUUGUAAGGACUUUAUUUUGUUUGACCAAUUGAGCAAUUUGUUCUUCUAGUUGCAUUGAGUUUGUCAUCAUGACUAGCAUGAUGGUAUUAGAAGAAGUAACAUGAUCAAUCGUUGUUGGUUGUAUUGCUUUUCAGGUCUCACAUGAAGAUGUUGGCUUAGAUCCACUAUUGGACUUAAUGUCUUUUUUAGUAGAAAAAGUCUUUAGAGUUUCCUUUUGAGACAUUCCACUUGUUCAACCAUGUUGUUUUCCUUUACUCGCAAGAUUUCUAAGGAGAUUCCUAGGUUUUUGGGAGAAGUUGCUUUAGAACCAUAGUUGUUUUAGGAAAUGAAGCAACUUUCACUUUGUUUCAAGUCAUGGGACCAACACUUUAGUUCCAACUACUUUGAUUGGAUCAAACUAAAUAGAUUUGAUUCCUUGAUGACUAGAUUUAUUUUUUUGUGACUUCAUAUGAUGUAGUGUAGAUUUCUUGUAAUUAAGGAAGAGAUAAGAGAUAGAGUUUUCCCACUGGUAGUGGUAGAGAUAUGUACACACAAAUUUCCUCAAAUGAAGCAAUUAUGGAUAAAGUUUGUAAAUUUGAUCAUUUGAGAGGAUAAUCCCAAGUAUGCCCUUUGGUUCUCCUUACAAAGAUAAAAACACCAUUUUUAAGCAAUUUAAUGCUUAAUUUUGGAUCAAAAGGGGUUUCUUUAACAAACAAUAGAUUAUGAGGUAUUCCGAAAAAAAAUAAAAAAUCUUCAAGUCCUCUUUUUUUCAAGAAAUCUUCAAAUUUUCUUUGAUUCUUCAAGAAAUCUUUGAAUCUUCUUCUAUUUCUCAAGAAAUCUUUGAUUCUUCUUUGUUUCUCUAAGAAAUCUUCGAAUCUUCUUGAAGUCUUCAAGAGAUCUUGAAUCUUUAAGAAAUUUCUUCAAGAACUCUCCAAAUUUUCAGAACUCUCCAAAUUUUCUUUACUCUUUCGAAAUGUCUUUUAGAAUGAGAGGAACCCUCUAUUUAUAGGAUUGAGAAUUUUAUUUUGAUGUGAUUUCUAAAUUUUUUAGAGAUAAUUAUAUUAUUUAUUAUGAUAAUUAUCAUUUGUUUUAAUUAUGAUAAUUAACUAAUUAUGAAAAUUGUAAUAUUUAUUUUAUGUGACAUGUCAAUAUAUUAUUAGAAAAUUAUUAACACAUGAAAAAUAACUUAGUGAAAAAAUUUAUUUCUACGUACACACACGUAUAAAUAUUAAUACAGAUAAAUUAUUUUUUAUUAUCAAGGAUUUAUUUCAAAAUUUUCCAACAAAAUGUAUCAUAAAAAUUUGAAGAAGGGACAUGUCAUUCGACCUUGAAAAUCUUCUUUUAGCCAUAAAAUUUGAAACAAGAAAGGCACAACAAAUUAUCUUUUUCUUUUUUUCUCAUUCAAGAAAACUUUCUUCUUCACCAACGUUAAAAUCUGUACUCUUUCCCAAACCUCAUUCGUUAUGUGCAUGCACAAUCUUAAAUAUAUAAAAAUAAACCCACAUCAUAUGAUUGAUUUUCAUUGCCUUCCCCUCUUAGUUACAAUUAUGUAAUUAUCCUAUUUAUUGUUAUUUUUUCUGCAGAAUUUUAGCUUUAAAAUGUUAUAAAGUUGAAUUAAAUAAAUAAAAAAUAGUUAUUCAUUGGGCGGUAGCAACUGGGCAUGCCGGCUGGUGGGCAUGUGGUUGAGGGGGAAACUAUGCGGAUGGAACCCAUAGGAGUGACCCAAGUUGGGAAAGCUGUCCGGUCCAAGUGGAUAAACCAGCUUCAUCCAGAGUCAGAUCUUAUCAUUGAAUAGUAUUGGUCCUAUUGGACACAAAAUAAGUCAAAAUAUAGGACCUCAGAGUCUCUGUAUUAAACCAUAAGUCCCUCUAUACAUGUGGGAAGAACCCAAGAAACCACUGUCGGACUAAUAAUAUAAACCAUAAGUUUGAAUAUAUAAAUCCCACUUGCGAUGUUGACAUAUGGAUACCACAAAGAAGUUUCAUUCCCCCGACUUGGAACCUCAUCUGAAGCCUCCUCUUUCUAUCUAUCGUGUUAUAUAUAGCUCCACCACACUCUCUCCUCUCCACUUACUCUCACUCUCUACUUCUCAGUGCUCAUCUCCAUUGAUAUGGCAGAAGAAGUUUCAUCGGUUCACUUCAUUCACCAACAACUUCUCUUCGACUUUGAAGCUUUCGAAAGCUUCGUCUCUCAUGUAAAUGAUCCAUCCCAAACUUCAACCUCUGAUUCGAAUGCUUCCACCUCAGAUAUUAAUCCGCUCUCUAAUUACUUCAACCCCCAUGAAGAUGAAAACAACCCCUCUCUCCUCCACUGUUCUACCUCUGCUCCGUCUGGCUUUUUCCAGUUUCAAACCAAAUCCCCCAAAACUUCCACAUUAAGUCAUCGGCGACCUCCACUCAGCAUCUCAGUCCCUCAGCCCACCUUUUCUCAGUCACCGGCGGAGUCCGAUUCAGGCGAUAUCAGGCAUUACAGAGGCGUGAGGAGACGACCAUGGGGGAAAUUUGCGGCGGAGAUUCGAGACCCGAAUCGGAGAGGAUCGAGGGUAUGGCUGGGGACAUUCGAGACUGCCAUUGAAGCCGCCAGAGCUUAUGAUCGAGCUGCUUUUGAGAUGCGUGGCUCCAAAGCUAUUCUCAAUUUCCCCCUUGAAGCUGAUAAUUGGUCGGGAUCUGAUCCACCAGCGAUAUCUGGCCGGAAAAGGGAGAGAGACAGUGAGACUGAAGAGAGACAACAAGUGGAGAUUAAGGUUUUAAAGCAAGAGGAGUACUUGCCCGAAUCCGACAGCACGCUGGCGGCGGCCAGUCAUGGGGUUAGUCCGUUAACUCCGUCAAACUUUAGGGCCAGCUGGGAGGAGAGAGAGAUGGAGGGAAUAUUCCAUCUGCCACCGUUAACGCCGUUAUCACCCCAUCCUUGGAUAGCAUAUUCUCAGCUUAUAGUUUGAAUCAAAGGAGUUUACCUUACCAAAGACAUUGAAAUAUUACUAGAAUUCUUACAUAUUCUAUGAACAAUAUUGAAUUUGUUUAUAUCUCACACUGUUCCUUUUUGCCGUCCUCUAAAUCAAUCAUUACAAAAAUACUUCGGCCAGGGCUUAAAAUACUAGCUGAUGCACAUAGGUGACAACUUUAUAAGAUGAUAUAAGUUUUUUUUUUUUUUUUUUAAUUUAUCAAAUUAAUUAAUUAAUAAUAAAAUAACAACAACAAUAUUUUAAUAGGGUUGAUAGAGUAAUUUUUAGCUGGUCCAUUAGCAUGCAUGCAUGCAUGCAAGUGGAGUAUGAAAUGGCAUAGGUAUCUUAGUAGUGAACUUGGUAUUAUUAUUAUUUUUUUAAAAAUGAAAAUUAUUUAAAAAGGAGAAUAUUUUUAAAUAAAGACAAUUAAAUUUGGAUAUAAUAGAUCAAAACUAUGAAAUGGCAAAGGAAGAAAAGUUGAUACUAAUUUUAGGCCUACAAUGGGGAAACCUAAAAUUAUGGGAUCAUAAUUUAUUCUGAUCUAAGAGUCUUCAAUAUCUUCAAUAUUCACCCCCAUAAGAUGGCAUGUGUAAAUCUCUAAAACCCAUCUUAGAUGUCAAAUUAUGAAACCUAUAUGUUGGUAAAAAAUGUCCACCAAUUUUUGUUGCAAAGGAACAUAAUACUAUGAACUACAACCCUUCUUUAUUUUCUCACGAGCCAAGUGACAAUCAAUUUUAAUAUGCUUUAUCCGCUGAUUGAUAGAAGAUUGGACUGACAGGAAUUUGUAAAGUAGCUUUAUUAUGAUAGUAAAGGUAUGUCGGUUAGAAGUGAUCAAACUUAGGUCUUUAAGAAAGUAACAUAGACACUUAGUCAAAUCUAAAUCACAAUAACCAUGUAAUUGAGUUGAUAAUAGAAUAAUGUCUUGCAUGGGUCUCACUUUGGAUAACACAACAUUCACAUAAUAUAAUUAAAGUGAGGCUAUCUCGGUUUGUCAAGGAAUCGGUAUAGUGUUUGGACAUAUAUAAUAGGUGAUAUAAGGCUUGGUGACCGAGAGAUAGACUAGUAACCAAUCAAGCGCCUAUAUUGUGAAGGAUCCAAAAGAAGUUACACAGUUGAUUUGCUUAACUUUUGCGUUUUGUUUCAUAGGUUUUUUGAGACAGAUUUGUUCCAAGAAGUCCAAAUUUCUUAAGGCCAUGCUUAGUUUUGAAUGGUUUGAGGGAAAAUGCAAGAGAAAGAAAAUAGAGAAGAAAAGAAAAUAUAAAGAAACAAAAGAAUAUAUUCAAAAUCAAAAAAUUGUUUUUACUUAUUUAACAUUUCUAUCUCAACAUUAAAUAAUUUAAAAAUAUACAACUUUCUUACUAUUUUUAAUUAUAUUUGAUUUUCUUAAUUACUAUUUUCUAUAGUAAAACCCAAUAUGAAAAAAUUAUUUUCCUUAUCAUUUAUUUCCCUCAUUAUUUUCUAGGAACCAAACAAAGUCUAAGUAUUUCGAGGACAUAUUGGGUUGACUUCAAGUAAAUCUCAUCCUUGGAAAAGUGCAACUUCAAUGCCCAAUAAAUAUUAUGAUGACUAAGAUCUUGAGUUUAAAUUUGAUGUGGAGAUAGUCUUUUGUGGUCUUAAUUGGUUUAGGAUGAUCUCUUGUAAUAAUUAUGUCAUCAACAUAAUUGCUUAGUAAACAAAGAGUAAUAUGUCUUUCACAGCUUGUAUCUUACAUGCAACAACUCAUAAGGUAACUUAGCAAACCAUUGGUGAAAUGUUUAUUUUAGACCACUAGGAGACUUUUGAAGUCUACAAAAUGUAUUCUUAAUUUCUAACUACAUGAACCCAAGUGGGAGUUGCAUAUAGACCUCCUCAUCUAAUUCCUAUGGAGUUAGGUUGUGAUGGGGUUGUUGUUUGGACUCCCUACAAUGAAGAAAGGUGUAGGGAAACCCAAAUAUCUCCAUUCUCCAUCCUAAACUCAGGUUAGGUGCAUGAAAACUCCUAUGCAACAAAAGCAAAAAAUAUAUUUUAACAUUAAAGGACCAGAAAAAAAAGCUUUUAGAAAAAUUUUCCUUUGAUUUGGAUGUUCCCAAAUUAAACCUAUUUGAAGAAAAUCAAAUGCGAAGUUUUCGGAAGUCUUGUAAACCCACAAUCUUUUGACCAAUGACUCAACCUUGAACCUUGGCACUCUAAACAUUUGAGUGUUUGAGAGGAUGGAGGCUAAAGCUUUCUCUAGUCUCUAAUGGUGGAAGAUGACUGAUUGGAAACCCUAACCCCUUAGGGAGUAUUUAUUGGAUUCCCCAUUAGGUUUAAGUGACUUGAGUCCACAUAGGCUUUUACUUAAUUUAGCCCAAAAGGGUCCUAAUUGAUUAAUUAACCUAAUAGGCUUAUCCAAUUAAUCAAUUAGCUCAAUCCAAAAAUAUCAUUUCACUAACCCCUGUGCAACCUUAUGUAAUUACUAAAAGGCCUUUAUACAUAUAAGUGAACCUAGAGUUGAUCAAAUUCUUAUAAACCAUGUCAUUAAGGUAUAUGAACUUAAAUGGGGACCACUAGGACCCACAGGAUAGUACUUACUCCCUCAUAAUCCAAUUUUGAAGUUGAAUCAACAUCCCACUAUAGAGAAUCAAUUGCACUCCAAUAUCCUAUGUAAAUAAUUACGAGAUGAAGCUUUGGUUCGUGACUUACUAUCCAAUGCAUGCAAACUCCCCAUGAGUUGGUUGUAUAUAAUUUAAAAAGGUAGUGUUAUCACUUAUCAAGAUUACCUUUCCAAUCCUUAAGUUAUAGAUCCCACCUAUUAUGUGGUCAAUUGACCUACUCUAGCUUCAAGGAGCAUAUGUCAAAUUUCCACUAAAGAAAAUGCUAUGGUCAUAGUCUUCUAGAUCAUAUGUCCUUUGGAUCACCUAUGGGGAUAUACUAUCUCACUCCCAUAUAUAUCAUUAUGCCUCUAUUGAGAAUAUUUGUUGAUACCAACUUCCAUUAACAGUGACCAAAUCCAUAAGGAUGUAUGACCACAUUAGGGUCUCACUUAUAAGUCAAAGCCUCUUAUUAAUUUUAGAACAUACUCAAUACACUCUCAAGGUUGAGAGUUCAUGUAAUUUAGUAGAUUGGUAAAUCAUGACAAUUGGUAGCCUUACAUCAUGAUUUACUAUAUGUCUUGUCUACUGUGUAACCAUAUACAUUGGUUCACUAACCAUGGGAAAACUCAUCCUGAUGGUCAAAACAAGUCAUCCCUCUAAUUAGGAGGUAGUACACUAUAGUUUCUACUAAAUUGUCCAAAUUCAUGAACCGAUUGUAAAUUACUUACCAUCUUGUAAGGAACUCAUGACUUGUAUUCUCUAUGCAACUCUUGAUAUACCCAAGUCAUGAACAAUGCAAGUGAUAUGAGUGUGUAUGCUAAACUAACAAAUUAAUGAAAAUGAUAUAAUAUAGGGAAGUCAAGAAACAUAGAUAAAUAAAUUUAUAAAUGAAUUUCAAUCUGUUAAAUCAUAUCAUAUUUUCUAGGGCUCAAUCCUAACAAAAAGGUCAUCCUUAUUAUGGAAGAAGUUAUUAAAAUGGAAUAGAAGAACCACAACAUUCACUAAACCAUCUUGGUGUCGUAUUUGUGAUAUGCUAGCUCUAUGUGGAAAUGAAGAAGAAAUACAUUGAUCUCCGAUUAAGUAAUAAGUUUAAUCAAUGAAGGCAAAAGCAAAGGGAGUUCAAGAGGUUAUUAAAUUAGUAUAGGGUAUAAUUUAAUAAUUGGAAAAGCUACUAUAAUUGAAGAAGUAUGAGAUAAUCUAUGUAAGGUAAACCAUUAUUUUUAUUAAGUAAAUAUUUAGUCUUAUAUGCUAGUAUAAUACAUUUAUAGUAGGUUGUAACUAAUAUGCAUUUGAUAUAGGUCCAUAAAUUUGUUGAAAGGUUAAAAAAGAAAGGAUAUCAUUUUAUGAGAAAUUUUGUACCAUUUAUGGGUACACUACUACAACAAGGCUAAUGCUUAUCUUUUUGAAGGAAGUCCUUCAACUAUUAUUGUUCAAAACACGUCUGAUUAAGAAUUCUAGCUAAAUCAUGAGGCACCAUUGGGUGAUCAUGGUGAUAGGGUAGGUGUUACUCAUGCUUUGAAGCAUCAAAGUCAAUCCAUGCAUACGGGCCCACAUCUUUCAGAUGUGUCCCCACUAAACAACGAGACUCAUUUUUUUUUUAUUUUAGUGAAAAUUUGAUUUUUAAAAAAAGUUGGACUCACCACUUAUUUUUGUUUAUUUUUAAAAAAGAAAGCAAAAUAAGAAAUAAAACCCUAAGUGACUUUUUUUUAAGGAUAAACAUGUCCACGAAAACUGAGUCCAAGUCUAGAGUUAGGUUACUUAUUGGGAUGGUACCAUAUGAUAACACUCCUCUAAGCCCUAAAGAGGUCUCUACUAAAUAAGUGGAGAAACAAUUAACUAUUAGACCAAUGGAUACCAAGAGACAAUAAUAAGAAUACAACUAGACAAUAUAUCGUAAUGAUAAACAAAAGCAUAGCAAGCAUAUCAAAGGGAACAAGCAAACAAAGAAGGGAAGGAACAUACCUUAAUAAUGCUCGAAAUAGGGCAACACGCUUAUAUAAGGAAAAGAAAGUGUUAGUUUACAAGCAAAAUAAGGGAUAUAAUAUGAAAGCUAGAGUCAUCCAAUAUAUACAAGGUGUACACAAUCAAAAUCAAGCAUCAAAGAUAGCUAAACUAGCAUCAAAGUGGAUCAAAAUAUACUAAACAUGCAUAAGGAUUAGAACAGGACAACAAGCAGGUAUUUACAUAAUAGAUCCAAAUAAAAUAACUAAAGAGGAGAUAUGAUAUAAAGGAAGGCUUUUCUAAUAUGUAUAAGAUGUUUAUAAUUUAAAUCAAAAGUCAAAGAAAGUUAAAGCAUGCUAAGAGAGACUAAAUUAUCAAGUUUAUAUAAGAGAUAUAGAAGUUGGACAACAAGUAGAUAGUUAUAAAAUAAUUAGAGAUGAGAUAAAAUAAAAACAAAAAUUCUAAAACAUACUCAAAGUGUCUAGCUAGAACACAUCCCAACAUCCUAAGGAACUCAAAUGUGCAUAAAUGAAUCCAAAUAUAACCAAACAUCAUAGUACAUAGGUAUAAGGUAGAACAAUAAGUGAUGCAAAGAUUGAAUUAUUUGACAAGCAUAGAGGUGAGAUAAAAAAAUAAUAAAUUUCUACAGCAUAUUUAAAGUGUCUAUAACAUAUUAAAAAUUUCUAUGAGGCCCAAACAUGCACCAAUUAUCCCAUAAUUCAAAGAAAAAUUUCAUAACUCUAAUUUUUAUUUAGAAUAUGUGACUAAUCCAGAUAAUAAGUUUCCUUUAUCUUCACAUGGUAUGUUUAUAAAAAAUUAAAGUAUAACUUACAAAAUAAUUUGCAUAUGAAGAAUUAAAAUGAAUAUAUUUUAGACAAGAAAAUAUUAUCUUAUUAAUUUAGGAUAUACCAAUAUGCCGAGUUUCCUUUCUCCAUAUCGUGAUGAAAGAUAUCAUUUACAUGAUUACAAGGGAAGAGGGUGUCAUUCUCAAAGUUUAGAAAAGGGCUUUAAUUAUAGAAAAUCAUCAUUGAGGAAUGUCAUCAGCAAUACUUUGAAGUGUUAAAUGCUCAAGUCCUAAAGACUUUGCAGAUGUAAAAAUCAUGACGUCAAAUACUGUAGAACUAUAAUCCAUUAAAUAUGAAGAAGAGGAACACAAAUUUAUCUGGUUGUUGCUAUUCCUAGAGAUUUACACCCUAAAACCUAUCUCUAAUCUCACAUCCGCAACGUAGCACCAUGUGUGCUCUUUAAUGAAUCCUUAGUGCCUUGAGGGGAUGCAAAUCUCUCUCAUGAACUUAAGAAUAAAAAUCAUAAACUUUUUCAUAGUUUUAAGUUAAACAUAAAAAAUAAUGACUUAAAAGUUUAGGCACAUUGGUUCUUAAGAGAACUUUUCCAAUAAACAUAUAUAAGAGAAAAUUUAGUGAAAUCAAUUUAGAAAUCAUAUUUUAUCACAAAAAAUAAUUUAGAAACUUAAGAAUUUUAGAAAAAAUUUGAAAAAUUUCAUAUUUUAAAUUCAAAAAUAUUUGAAAAGAUUUUUUUGUUUAAAAUUCUUAAUUUAAAUUGUUUUCCAAAUUUCUUAAAAGAUUUUUCUUUUUUUUUUUAAUUCUCAAUUUAAAAUUUUUCCUUAAUAAAUUUUAUUCCUAAUUUCCAUAAAUCCACUCUAUGCCUAUUAGAGUCAUUAUUCUCACUUAAUUCAACCAUGCAUACCUAUUGAAUCUUUGGUUGGUUUCGCACCAACUUUGAAUCUACAAAGAAGUGUAAACAUAGGAAAGUAUGUAGAGUCCUAAACCAGGAUGAUUGACACAAAAUUGCCAACUUAUAAUCUAAAUAGCCUAAUGCAUUAACAAUCUUCCCCUUUGGCAAUUUUUUGAUAAUAUAAUAUGAUUUGAUAAACUCCCCAAUACUCUAAAAUGUAGUUUACAAAUCGCUCAAUAUCACUUUUCCUAACCAAACAUCCUAUAAUAUGAUUUUCAAUAUUUUCAACUUGUUCAAAAUUCUUGAAAUCUAGAACCUUUGAUCUACAUACACUUAAUCAAUAAAACUUGUGAAAAGCAAUGUGUGAGAAAAAAAGGAUAAACCAAAUUAGUCUAAUCACAAUCUAUUAAUCUAAAAACAAACAAUAACAUAUUAUGAAAAAUAUCAAUCCCCAAAUUGUCAAUCAUAUACCAAAACAAUAAUAUGAAUUUCUCCUCCCUUUUGUCACAAAAAUGACAAAGAUAAAGAAAUAAGACAAUUAAAACCAAUAUAUCCAAAAAAGAGUUUUUUUUUUAAAAACAAAAAACAAACAAAGGAUGUUAAUUCACAUCCUUAUAAUUUUCAAAAUAACAUUAGGACUUAAUAUAUUAAAAUAGUCAUAAAUAAUGUAAAUAAUAUAUUAAAAAACUGAUGUAAAUUUUUCGUAAAAAUGAUCAAAAGAAUCAGGUUAAUUCCAAUUUAGACUCUAAAAUUUAUCAAGAAUAAAGAAGACAUAACAAGAAUAAAAUCAUCCAAAGAAUAUAAUCUCAAGAUCAUCAAGUUAUUGUUCUAUUAAAGUUACAUAGUUUAAAAAUCCAAUUGCAUUAUUAGAUCAUGCUUAAUUGUUAAUCAAUUCAAAAUGCAUUUAAUUUGAAAAUAGUCCAUUGGAUUUCUGUUUACUAUGAUAAAGUGUUGAUUUUUAAAGCACAACUUUACUCUUCUUCAAUUGAUGGGUUUUUUUUUAAUCAAUUUUUUUAUCUUUUUCAUUUUACUUUUUUUUUUUCAUAGUGGAGACAUUUUACCAUAAAUAGAGAAAUCAUAUUUUCAUGCAUAGGUAGUGUUUUUUUCACUAGAGGGUUUUCCCAAUUUUGCAAGUGAUGAAUUUCAUAUUGUUUAAAUAAAUAUAAUUUAGAUUUUACCAAGGUAGACCUUUUGACUUUAGGAAACAUUUUUGAAUCAUAUCAAAAAUGAUAUUUCAAAUCAAUUUAAAAUUAAUAGGUAUAAUGCUCAUGGAUUCCCUGAAUUUGAAUCUUUACACAAGAAUCAAACUUAAGAAGAUUUUAUCAAAUAGUCAUAGCAUAUUAUCUAUUGGGAGAAUUAUCUUUUGGGGGUAGAUGGACCCCCAAAUUAACAAAAUGUCCAUAUAACUCUUCAAAUUGAGUUGAAGGAUAUGAAAUAAUAACGGACAAAUAUACCCUUUAAAAACACAUAUAAAAUAUUUUAUAAAAUUAAGUUAAAUAAAUUUUUUUCAAUAAUUUUUUUUUCAAAAAUACUAAAUUAAAUAAAAGUAGUUUUCAAAAAUAUUAAAUUAAAUAUUUUUUUUUUCAAAAAUAUUAAAUUAAAUUAUUUUUUCAAAAAUAUUAAAUUAUUUUUUUUUUCAAAAAUAUUAAAUUAAAUUAAAGUAUUUAAAAAAAUAUUAAAUUAAAUAUUUUUUUAAAUAUUAAAUUAAAUAAAUUUAUUUUAAAAAAAUAUUAAAUUAAAUAAAAGUAUUUUGAAAAAUAUUAAAUUACAUAAAAGUAUUUUUUUAAAUAUUAAAUUAAAUAAAAGUAUUUUUCAAAAAUAUUAAUUUUUUUCUCAAAAUCAACAAAGGGCAUUUUUGGAAAUACUGAAGGAUGAUAUCCUUCAACUCAAUUUUCAUACUUUCAUUGGGUCCUGGGCUUAAUUUGAAGAGUUAUAUGGACCUUUUGUUAAUUUGGGGGCCCAUCUACCCCCAAAACAUAAUUCUCCCUUAUCUAUUUACUUUAUUAUUAGAUUCUAAAAGGAAAUUAAAAUGAUCCUAAGGAUCACAAAUAGAAAAAUAAACACUUUAAAGGGUAACAGAAUUGAAAGAUCACUCAAACUAUGUAAGAAAAUAAUAAUAAAUUAAGUAACCACAAAAUUCAUCUAACCACAAGUAUGAAAAGUAAAAGACCAAGGAUCUUAAAAAAAAUGACUCCCCCUAAAGCAAUGAUCCUAAGUCUUAAACUCAUAAAUACAAAUAUAAUCCCCCUAACCAGGAGGAAUAUUUUGGCACACUAAUAACGAAGUCUUAAGAAGAAAAUAUAUAUAAAUUAAAAAAUUCUAAGGACUCCUAAAAUUGACAUAGCACUAGGGAUAAGGAUGAAACACUAAUGAAAGACUCUAUGCUAUAAAACAAAAAGUUCUAUUGAGAAGGGAAAGUUCCUAAAGAUUUUCCUAGAAGGUAAAAUCCUAAGAAAAUCUUUAUUUUUAAGUUCAACAAGGACAUCUUUCCUAAUCCAAAUUUGUCUAGUCUUAGGGACUCUAAUAGUCAAAUUUGAAUUAUUAACAUGGAAAUUAUGAAUAUUCAUCCUAAGCUUAACUUGGGUAAGAGCUUUUGAAACCAAUUAAAUAUUUUUUCUUUUCCUAUUAAAAUAGAUUUUAUCUUUUAAUAUCUUAGACUCAACUACAAGCUUGUUAAUUUGCCUAUAAAUUCUUCAAACUUCUUAAUAUGACACCUAUCACUAGUGUGACCGCUUCUAUGACAACAUGAACAUUUGUACAUAAUCUUAAUAGGUGUUUGGACAAGAUUAAUGCCAUAUUUUUAAUAAAAAUAGGGUCAAUUAUUGCAUCUUAAGCUUGAGUAUAUCAUUAAGAGCACCCUUCAACUAAGAAAUUGUAUGUCACCUUGUGUACACUUGGUUUUCUCAUGUUUUCUUUAAUUUUUUUUAUGUUUACCACCAUAUUUCAAGAAUGAAGGGUGAAUUGAACAUAAAAAUUGAAAUUGCAAGGAGUUCUUAGGUGUUAUCCUUGUUUAACCAAUAAAAUUUUUUAAAGUGAUUAAAGGGUUAGACUUGUCCAAUCAAGCUGAAACUAAUUUUCUUAGAUUCCUCUCUUUCCAAAAUUAAAUCUGAUCAGUUUUAGAAUUUUUAGAGGUUAUUUGCUUAACUAAUAAAUUAGAGAAAUGUGAGUGAUGCUCCAACUCAAGAGAGUGUCACCAAGGGCACCACUCCUUAGUUGUCAUCGCCUUAUUUUAAGGAGCACAUGAUAGCCCAUGAGUGAGCUUUUAUGAUGUUUAAACACAAGGAAAUGGGUUAAUUACAAUGGCUUACUCAUUGCAAACCAUCAUUUGACCUUUUUCACAUGAAAGGUCACUUAUCUCAUGUGAGGAGAAGUUAGAGCUUGCUUGGGAAUGAUAUAAACGGGGAAUGGGUAGCCAUUGAAGGUUUUUUUAUUUAUUUUUAUUUAUUUUUAUUUUUUAUGGGUGGGGAGUGAGGGGGGAAAGGGAGAGUUGUGGAUGUGCUUGCUCGAUUCUUGGAGUUUAUCUUGGGAAAGAGGAAAUCUUGGAUUUUUAUUUUAUUUUAUUUUAUUUGUGUUUUAUGUUUUCUUUACAUUAUUGUUUUGGUUAAGGUUAUUUUCUUGUUUUGAAUUUGGUUCCUUUGAAAAUGUAUUGGAUCUUUUCACUAUUAUUGAGUUCAUGUAAUUUCAGUUUUAAGUUCUAAAAUUCUUAUGUUUAGUUUUCUAAUCUCUAUUUUAUUCUUUCAAUUUAACUUUCCUUCAAUUUCCAAUGAGUAGUCACCUAGGUUGAGGAAAGAGAGCCCUAGGGAAUCCCCUUCCACCAUUAGAAUGACUUCACUCAUGAGGUUUUUAUAGUAUUUAUCACUUGUUAUUUGGAUCCCUAUUAUCUAAAUCAAGGCAAAAUUUCUUUGUUACUUAACAUUUGAAAAUUAGGGGUUCCUUUAGGUAUUCCAGUGCUUAAGGGUGAUACCCUUUUGACUUGAAAUGACCAUUAGUGAUCCCUUAAUACUACAAUUUAACAAAUAGAAUCACAUAGAACCUAAGUGAAAUAACCAAACAUUUACAUAUUUGGAAAUCAGAGUUUAAAGGUUCCUUUAAGGUAUUCCAAAAGCUUAAUGGUGAAGACAUUUUGGCUUGGAAUGAUAACUAUUGAGACCUUAAUAUUGAGAUUUUGGAAAAUAGAUGAUGUUUUAUGAAAAAUGAAUAUAUAGAUGGAGAUCUAGCAAACAAAUUGAGAUUUUCAAUUUAAUAUGAAUGAUUAUAUUGGACAGCUUCCGACCAAGAGAACCUUAGGGUAUCUUGGUUGAAAUAAUAAUAGUAAAGGUCAUUCCGUGGUGACAAAGGGGAGCCUAUAGGAUAUACCAUCUCCUCAACUAUUUAUUGCAAGUAGUUAAGAAACUAAUUCUUGUUAUUCACAAAACCACUUUCCAACCAUUUUCUUGCUCAAAGCAAGAUUUUAAGAAAACAUUUUAUGAUUGAAGCCAAACUAUGUGCUCUAAUGGAACAUGUUUGAUAUGAUUUAUGCACCAUAAGACACUCAAAUCAUCUAAAUUGACCCAAAUUAAUGCUAAGGCCCUAGCCAUGAGUUUAAAUUUUAUUUUGGAGAUUUAUAUCAAGCUUAAGGGAAGAAAAUGGUGCAAGUUGAAUCAUUUUAGAUUUUGAAAAAUCAAGAAAGAGUUAAAUGAGGAAAUGAGCGAGUCAAGACUUAUGGACUAUGAGGAAAGACAAGAAAAGGAUAUCAUAAGUUUGAAAGAAAGAAGGCACACAAACAUGGGAAAUGAGGCAUGAAGUAAGAUUCAUCAAGUUUGCAUGGAAAUUUAGAACUUAAAAUCUAAUGGCAACAUGUACUCUGAAUUUGAGGUGACAUUUUUCUGAAGUCCAUUUUAGGUAAGCUAUAUUACAUUUUUCAGGAAAUCAGGAAUCCAAUGCUUCAAACGAUGCAUAAAUCGAAGAUGAAUUGAGGAAGUUGUGCAUGUUUAAAGCAAACUGGUCAAAGAAUAAAGUUGAGUUCAAAAUUAACAACUUGAAUUCAAAAUGGUUUUUGUUCAUUUAAAACUCAAAGGAAUGCAAGGAAACACUAAGUUUGAAUCCUACUACAUAUUUCAAGCACGUGUUUUGAAUCCGAAAACAUGGAGUUUUUGCAUGGGCAGUGGGUGAAUUCGAAAUUCACUAUGAAUUUCGAACUCACCUUGUUGAUUUCAAAUUGGUCCUAUUUUCUCCCACUUUUGAUUUUGAAAUUGAUUUGGAACUCACCCAAAUUUCAAAGUCAACCAUUGGUGAUUAAGUUUAAGCCUCGAGACACGUCAAAACGAGUUCCAAAUGCCUUCACCCAAUUCGAAAUGCCUUAUACUCAUUUAAAACUCGUAAUUUUUGAAGCUUUUUAGGUUGUUCAUGACUUUUCCUUGUAAUAAGUGACCAAUGAGAGUGUGCCACAUGUUAGUUCAUUGAAGAUACUAUAUAAACUCUCUUAGUUCUAGGGUUUAGGCAUCUUAGAUCUUCCGCGGGUAGGAGUUUGACAUUUUACGGGGAAGAAGACGAGAACUUUGACUUGUUUUCUUUUCUUCUUUAUUAAAUGUAUUGUUUUUAGCUUCUUUUGAAUCAAAUUAUGAAUUUUUACCCUAUUAUGGAUUGUGAAUGUGACAUCACCUCCAUGAGAGGCUAAAAGGCUAAAUUGGGCCUUGGAGCAUGAAAACCUAAGGGCUAGAAACUCUUAGGAACAAUAGGUAAAUUGUUAUAAUAAUGAGAUUAAUUGUUGGUUGGGUUACAAUUUAUCAAUUUUUUUAUCCUAUCCUUGUGAAUUAGUUUAGGGAAUGAUACGGUAGGUUAUAACCAAAUACUAGUGAUUCUUGGUAACUCUUGAUCAUUAGUUAUCCUAAUCUUCUUAAUCAUUAUUUGUUGCAAAACAAAUGUAUAACGAGUAGGAAGGGUUAAAAAGUCAAACCUUAAACCAAUAAUCAAUCUUAUUCAUUUGAUGGUUUUAAGCAUUUGUUUUUUUAAAAAAAAUUAGGUUUCAAAUACAAUUUUGAGUUAUAGAGCUCAAGUUGAUCACGAGCGGCCAAGGAUCUCAAAACCUUAAGAUCACUUUACUUAAGAAACCCUUGUUAUCUCUAUUCUAUAACUUAAGUUAGAUUGUGGAAAGCCCAAGACUUGAAUCAAUUGAAUUAAAAAUCGAUAUUCAUUUUGUUAUUAAUUUAGUUCUUCUACUUAGUUUCACUUCAUUCACAUAUUAGCUUUCACUUUAGGAUUUAAAUAAAAGUGAUUCAUAUAUCCUAAUAUUGACAAAUUUCAUAAGUCAAUCCUUAAAGACAAUACCCGAGGUACUACAAAAGUCAUAGUGGUUGUUUCUUUGGUUUUUCUUGACUAGAGUUGCUACAUAAAAAGUAUUUUGGACAAUAGAGAAGAUCAUUAAUUCUCCUUCACCAAAUUUUCAUCCUCUUAACUUUUCCACUUCACCUACAUUCGAAGAUCACCUUUUUGAGGUUCGACACCCAACUCACCAAUUUUUUUUUUUAAAAAAAGUUACAACUACACCCUACGCUUAGGGAAUUGCCAUUUUAUUUAUACAUAGUUUAGUGUGGUUAUGACACUAAGACUUACCUUUUUGGCCUUAGCAAAAUCAGUCUUUCCACUACUAGGAGCAAUAGACUUAUCAAGAUAUCCUAUGCCUCUCUUGUCUCCAGUAGACUUCUCCUUACUAAUGAUUUCAUUCAAAAUCUUAGUUCUAGGGUGGAAGAUCUCAAAUUUAGAGGGAACCUCUUUUCUUUAUUCUUCAAUUUCUUAAGAUAGAACAUUAUUUCUCUUAAGUUGAAAUCAAUGUUCUUUCUCUAAAAAUCAAAAUUUUUCAAGAGAAUUUAUUUUCUAUUCUUUUAACACACCAUGCUUAGUUUUUAGUGAUUUAUAUGCAGUUGUUAUCUUGAUGUAUUUAUUCAAUAACAAUUGAUAUUUUUUACAUCAAUUUUCAAUAAUGGAGACAUUUUCAUCAAAUCACUAUCACUAUCAUUGAAGUAAUCAUUAUCAUUAUCAUAAACAACUAAAGCAAUGAAACCAUGAUAAUCAUUUUGAUUAUUCAUAUUCUCACCCAAAUUCAGAUUGACUCUUACUUGACUCAAAAUCACUCCAAGCUGUUUCCUUGACUUCUUUAUUUUUCUUGGGACAAACUUUUUCCCUACACGAUAAUCCUUUCUUGAAGUUAUUUACUUCAAGCGUUAAUGGCUCUUUACUUUUAUAACACUCAUAAUUUUCUUUUUCCAAGAAGACAACUUUAUUGAAAAGUGACAAUCUUUCCUCAUUCAAAUUAGCAAUUAUUUCUUGUUGUCUUUUCUAUUCAAGGUACAAAGAUUCACAAAAAGAUUCUUGCUUCUUGAGUAUUUUUAUUCAGUAGUUGAUUUUUUUUAUGCAAUUGUUCUCAAUCAUGAAAAAAAAAUUUCACAAGCCAAAAGGAUUUUUUUUUUUUAAAAAAAAGAAAAAAAUCCAUGAAAACAAGAUGAAAGAUAGGAAUAUAAGAAAAUUUUGAUUUGUAAAUUUCUUCAUACUUUGAUAACAAUUGAAAGUUUAUAGAUCUUGCUUUUGGAAUACCCAGAAAGUGGUGAAUAGAUGUUUGAUAUUUUUUAACCCAAAAUGAAUUAUUUUUAACUUUAUCUUUUGAUAUAAGGAAAUGGAAAUAAUAAAUAAUGCACAAGAAACAAAACCACCAACAAAGCCUAUCAUCUCAAAGAUUUUGCAAAUGUAAAAACCAUAGAGUUGGAGACCAUAGAGCUAUAAUCCACUAAAUAUAAAGAAAAAAAAAUAUACUAAUUUACCUAACAGUUGCUACUCUUUAAGACUUACACCCAAUAACCUAUACCUAAUCUCACUUUCAUGACGUAUCACCAUGCUUGUUCCUUAGUGGACCCUUAAUGCCUUAAGGGGAUGUGAAUCUCUCUCACGAGCCUAAAAAUAAAAAUCAUAAACUUUUUGAAAGUUUUAGAUUAAGCACAAAGAAUACUAACUUAAAGUCUAGGCACAUUCAUUAUUAAGAGAACAUUCCCAAUAUGCAUAUAAAGAGAAAAUCUAGUAGACUUAGAAUCAAUUUAGAAAUCGUAUUUUACCACAAAAACCAUUUAGAAACUUAAGAAUUUUAGAAAAUUUUGAAAAGAUUUCAUAUUUUAACUUCAAAAAGAUUUGGAAAGAUUUUUCUUUUAAAAUUCUUAAUUUACCAAAUUUAUUUAUUUUUUUAAAAAAAUUCUCAAUCUAAAUUUGUUUUUAAAUUAAUUUUAUUUCUAAUUUUCAUAAUUUCACUAUGUCUUUUAAUGUCAUUAUUCUCAUUUAACUCAACCAUAGUUACCCAUUGAAUCCCAAAUUGAUUCUAUAGCAACUUUAAAUCUUCAAAAAAGCAUAAAUCAUACGAAAGUACAUAAAGUCCUAAACCAAUGGAUGAAACAAAAUUAUCAAAUUAAUAUAAAUAGCCUAAUGCACUAAAAUAUACAUAAAUAUAUUGUUAUUGUUUAUUGUGCAAUUCACAACUUUAUAAGGAUGCAUGAUCAUAGAGACCUAUAAUUAAAGAGUAUAUGAUGGGUUAUCCUCAUUUAUCAUCCAAUAGCACACAAGUGGAGGAAAAUGUAAUCCUUAGCUGCAUUCUAUGGCUCACUUUUAUGAUGAGAUUACUUAAGAAAUAUGCAUGUUAAUUGAACAAUAAUUGACUCCUUUUGAAUUUUGUUUGCAUUUUCAAUUAUUAUUUAUAGCUAAUUUAAAGUUAAUUGGUAAAAUAACUUUUCAUUUCCUUUUUAUUUGUGUUAUUUAAUUAUUUAUUUUAGUUUUUAUUAUUUGUAUCAUUAUGAUAUACUUUAUCUAUUUUUUUUUUAAAAAUAAAAUAAUAAUAAUAAAUUUUAUAUAAAAUAUAAGAACUCUCGUAAAAAAUAAAAUAAAAUAGGACUUUCCAUUAUAUUCAUUAAAAUUGCUUUAAUUUUUUUUAAAAAAAUUUGAUAUUGUAAAAUUUUUUAAUAUCUCUAAUUUGGUAUAAUAAAAAAUUUCAUAUAUCAAGUUUUAAUUUUUUUUUAAAAAGAAAUUAGUAACUUUUCAACAUAAAUCUAAGAAUUCUUGUGAAUGCUUUCUGACCUUGGAUUAAUCUUUUGUACAAUAUAGACAUCUUAAAUGACUUGUAUGAUUUUUAGUAUGAAUUUAGAAUACAUCUGCAUGUUUUUGUUUUUUUUUUUAAAUUCGGUAUAUUCAUGUCAUUGUUUUCUACCUUGUUCUAGACCUUCUAAAACUUUUAGGUGGUUUUGUUUAAAUUUUGUUAUUUGAAUGAUUGCUUGGCUUUGUGGAUGAUAGACUAGACAUGUAUUAGAUGUUUUGUAGAAUUUUUUACAAUUUAAUUCACAUUAUAGAUUUUUUUUUAGCAUUUGUUUUGUGAAAGCUUCUAUUCUAACAUGUUGGAAAUUCUGUAUUGUGUUUAACUUAUAUUUUAACCUAGUAUUGUUUGACAUAUCUUGACUUCAUUUUGGAUUUUAUUCUCUAAUUUAGACAUAAUGAGGAUGUUGUUUGAUUUUUUCCAUGACAAAAUAGUGUCUUUAGAUAUUUGUUUAGGAUUUUUCAAGUGGAUACAAUUGUUCUUCCCCUUACUGCAUAUUUUUUUUUUCAUUUGUUACUAAUUUUGAUACUCGUAGCUAUCCUAAGUAUUAGUUUAAAUUUAACAAUGAGCUUGUAUGUAUGUCCUAGAUGAUAGAUGAUAUUCCUUUGGAUUUUGGCCCUUUGUUCAAUUAUGCAUAUGUCAUAUAUAUAAGUUUUUUGCAUUAUAGUUAUUUGUUAGCAUGAAUUGUUUUAACCCUAUUUCAUUACAUGAAAGCAUGUUGUAAGUUGUGCAUGCUAUCUAGGUAUUUCAUUACAUGAAAACGUGUUGUAAGUUGAUCUUUCUUGGUUGUGUUGAAAGUGGCUUAGGUGGAUUUGAUUUCUUGUUUCUCUAGUGAGUUACAAGAGUUCAUGUUUUUUCUUCAUAUAUAAAUGAUUUCAACUCUUGAUAAAUAGUUAUUUCUUAUAAACCUAUCACAAUAGGUUCUUGUAUGUUGUGAGGAACUUGAAAAGGCACAGAUCAUAUGAAGUUCAGUACUUCAAUAGGGUCAGAUGACCCAAAUUGAAUUGUAUUAGUAAGUUGAUUUCUUUGUCAUAAAGUUGGAAAGUUCUUGAUAUGAAGUGAGAAGUUGUUAAAAUCUUCAAGGUCAAUUUUUCCUUGUUGGGUCAAUUUGCAUUAUUUUAUCUUUCUAAACAAAACAUUGUUCAAUAAGGUGAUUAACAAGUCGAUGAUAUUUGUAAUAUUUUUUUAUCAUCUAUUUCACUAACCUCCUUAGGACAUUUUAUUUUUGGAAGUUUUAUUAACUUAAAGAGGUCUUUGAGCAUUCUAGGGGCAUCAAAGUCAAGGAAUGGAUAUUUCUUGUCCUACAUUUCUUUUUAAGUAAACUUUCUUUUACCUUUAUCUUUCUAAGUACUACUAUAAUCAUCCUUCAUUUUAUUUGUUUUGUUCAAGAGUCUGAUUGGAGUUGUAUUUGUUGUAAUAGCUUCCUUAUUACUACUUUUAAGAGAAGCCUUGCCCCAUUUGUGAUUAUCGAGCUUUUCCUUGUUUCUUCUUAGGUUUUGGGUAGGUGGAUCCAUGCUUCCAUUAGCAACAAUGCUAAGCUCCAUGUCAUGUACUCUUGUCGACAAUUCUUCAAAGGUUCUUAGUCUUAUCCCUUGAAGAAUAUAGUGCAUACCCCAAAUGCAUUCCUUGUGUACACAUCUUAAUAUCUAAAGCUUCAAUUAACUUAUCCCUAUAAUCAAGACUUAAGUUUCUCCAUGUAUUGAUAUAAUCAACAACAAGUCCAUCCUUCCAUUAGCAAGUAUUUGUGAGUUUUAUCAUGCUUACAAUGCGCCAUGUACUAUAAAAAUGAUUGAGGAACUCUCGCUGAAGUUGUUCCCAACUAUCUAUGAAGUUGGGCUCAAGAUCAAUGUAUUAAUCAAAUGCAUUUCCCUUUAAUGAGAGAGCAAGUUGCUUGACUAAGAGAUCUCCUUUAGUGCUUAUAUUACUACAGAUUUCCAUAAAAUGAGCAAUAUGUUGUCUUGGGUUCUCCUUGUCAUUGAAUUGUAUGAAUUUUUGUGGUUGAAAGCCUGUAGGCAUUCUCAAUUGCUCUAUCCUUUGAGAAUAAGGCUUAACAUAAGUAUGGGAAGACAAAACACUACUUUCAUCCUUGUUCUUAAGAGUUUCAAGGAUAAAUUCUUUUACUUUGUAGAAACUUGAAAAUUCAUAAGGAGUUCUUGUGCUUUAGAACUCUUAGUACCAUGAUAAGGAUUUUCUUCAAUGAAAAUCUUGUGGAUGGAUCAACAACCAUUUGGCUUGAUUCUUACAUACUUUUAAUUUUGAUUUUUGUAAGGACUUCAUUUUGUUUGACCAUUUGAGCAAUUUGUUCUUUUAGUUGAAUUGAGUUUGUCAUCAUGACUAGCAUGAUGGUAUUAGAAGAAGUAACAUGAUCAAUUGUUGUUGGUUGUAUUGCUUUUAAGGUCUCGCAUGAAGAUGUUGGCUUAGAUCCACUACUGGACUUAAUGUCUUUUUUAGCAGAAGAAGUCUUUAGAGUUUCCUUUUGAGACAUUCCACUUGUUCAACCAUGUUGUUUUCCUUUACUCGCAAGAUUUCUAAGGAGAUUCCUAGGUUUUUGGGAGAAGUUGCUUUAGAACCAUAGUUGUUUUAGGAAAUGAAGCAACUUUCAAUUUGUUUCAAGUCAUAAGACCAACACUUUAGUUCCAACUACUUUGAUUGGAUCAAAAUAAAUAGAUUUGAUUCCUUGAUGACUAGAUUUAUUUUUUUGAGACUUCAUAUGAUGUAGUGUAGAUUUCUUGUAAUUAAGGAAGAGAUAAGAGACAGAGUUUUCUCACUGGUGCCAGAGAUAUGUACACACAAAUUUCCUCAAAUGAAGAAAUUAUGGAUAAAAUUUGUAAAUUUGAUAAUUUGAGAUAAUAAUCCCCGAUAUGCCCUUUAGUUCUCCUUACAAAGAUAAAAGCACAAAUUUUAAGCAAUUCAAUGCUUAAUUUUGGAUUAAAAGGGGUUUCUUUAACAAACAAUAGAUUAUGAAGUAUUCUGAGAAAAAAAAUAUAUUCAAGUCUUCUUUUCUUCAAGAAAUCUUUAAAUCAUUUUCAGUUCUUCAAAAAAUCUUUAGAUCUUCUUUGAUUCUUCAAGAAAUCUUAAAGUCUUCUUUGUUUCUCUAAGAAAUCUUCGAAUCUUCUUGAAUCUUUAAGAAAUUUCUUCAAAAAACUCUCCAAUUUUUCUUUACUUUUUCAAAAUGUCUUUUAAAAUGAGAGGAACCCUCUAUUUAUAGGGUUAAGGGUUGAGAAUUUUAUUUUGAUAUGAUUUCUAAAUUUUUUAGAGAUAAUUAUCUUAUUUAUUAUGAUAGUUAUUGUUCAUUUUAAUUAUGAUAAUUAACUAAUUAUGAAAAUUAUAAUAUUUAUUUUUAUUUUUAUUUAUAAUUUUUUAUUUAUUUUAGUGACAUGUCAAUAUAUUAUUAGCAAAUUAUUAACACAUGGCAAUAACUUAGUGAAAAGAUUUAUUUCUACACACGUUUAAAUAUCAACAUAGAUAAAUUCUUUUAUAUUAUCAAGGAUUUAUUUCAAAAUUUUCCAACAAAUGUAUCAUAAAUAUGCUCUCAAAAUUUGAAGAGGGGACAUAUCAUUGGACAUCGAAAAUCUUCUUUUAGCCAUAAAAUUUGAAACAAGAAAGGCACAACAAAUUAUCAUUUUUUCUUUUGUGUUAAAAUAUAAUGAAGUUUACCAAUAUCUACUAUUUAAAAUUUUAAAAUGUUAUAAUGUUGAAUUAAAUAAAUAAAGAAUAGUUAUUCAUUGGGCGGUAGCAACUGGGCAUGUGGUUGAGGGGGGAACUAUGCGGAUAGAACCCGUAGGAGUGACCCAAGUUGAGAAAGCUGUCCCGUCCAAGCGGAUAAACCAGCUUCAUCCAGAGUCAGAUCUUAUCAUUGAAAAGUCUUGGGCAUAAAAUAAGUCAAAAUAUAGGACCUCAGAGUCUCUUUAUUAAUGCUUUGCUCAGAUACAUCACCAGCCAAUGUCUUGUGUGCUAAGAACUGGAAUUUUGUGAUCUUUCGUUGAAUUUUCUAAAGUCUCAUUUUCACUCAAAUUCAGAGUUCAUUAAAACUUGGACCAUGAAUAACAAGUAGGGUAGUGUAGCUUCAAACUAGAAGUUCCAUGAAUAACCACUUCAAUUCAUUUGCUUUUAGAAGAGUGUUAAUUCACCCAAACAUGGCAUAUUCUUAUAUCAUUGUAUCACUUCUACAACUACCUAUUUAGCCCUCAUCAGCUACAUUAAUUCUCCUGAAAUCCUCAUCACCUGAAUUAAGGCGUAUGAGUGAAACAUAAGUCCCUCUAUACUUGUGGGAAGAACCCAAGAACUACCCAAGAAACCACUGUCGGACUAAUGAUAUAAACCAUAAGUUUGAAUAUAUAAAUCCCGCUUGCGAUGUUGACGUAUGGAUACCACAAAGAAGUUUCAUUCCCCCAACUAGGAACCUCAUCUGAAACCUCCUCUUUCUAUCUUUCAUGUUAUAUAUAGCUCCACCACACUCUCUCCUUUCCACUCUCACUCUCACUCUCUCUACUUGUUUGCAGUGCCAAUACUCCACUACCUGCCAGUGCUCAUCUCCAUUGAUAUGGCAGAAGAAGCUUCCUCGCUUCACCUCAUUCACCAACAGCUCCUCUUCGACUUUGAAUCUUUCGAAAGCUUUGUCUCUCAUGUAAAUGAUCCAUCCCAAACUUCGACCUCUGAUUCAAGUCCUUCCACCUCAGAUAUUAUUCCGCUCUCUGAUUACUCGAAUCUCCAUGAAGAUGAAAACAACCCUUUUCUCCUCCACUGUUCUACUUCGGCUCCAUCAGGGUUUUGCCAGUUUGAAACCAAAUCCCCCAAAUAUUCCACAUUAAGUCAUCGGCGACCUCCACUCAGCAUCUCGGUUCCUCAGCCCACCGUUUCUCAGUCGCCGGCGGAGUCCGAUUCAGGCGAUAUCAGGCAUUAUAGAGGCGUGCGCCGACGGCCAUGGGGGAAAUUCGCGGCGGAGAUUCGAGACCCGAAUCGGAGAGGAUCGAGGGUAUGGCUGGGGACAUUCGAGACUGCCAUUGAAGGCGCCAGAGCUUAUGAUCGAGCUGCUUUCAAGAUGCGUGGUUCCAAAGCUAUUCUCAAUUUCCCUCUUGAAGCUGAUAAUUGGUCGGGUUCUGAUCCACCAGCGACAUCUGGCCGGAAAAGGGGGAGAGACAGUGAGACUGAAGAGAGACAACAAGUGGAGAUUAAGGUUUUAAAGCAAGAAGAGCCCUUGCCGGAAUCUGACUGCACACUGGCGGCAGCCAGUAAUGUAUUGGGGGUUUGUCCCUUAACUCCGUCAAAUUGGACGGCCGUCUGGGAGGAGGGAGACAUGGAGGGAAUGUUCCAUCUGCCACCGUUAACGCCGUUAUCACCCCAUCCUUGGAUAGCAUAUUCUCAGCUUAUUGUCUGAGUCGAGGGUUUACCAUACCAAAGACAUCCAAAUGUAACUAGAAUUCUUAUAUACUCUAUGAACAGUAUAUUGAAUAUGUUUAAAUCUUUUAUGGAUAAUAAAUCUCACACUCUUCCUUUUUAAUACCGUCCAAAUCAAUUAUCACAAAAAUACUUAAUUGAGGGUUUAAUUAAUAGAAACUAAUGUACAUAGGUUUCUUUUUGUCUAAUUUUUUUUUUUGUGUUCCUUAAGGAGUAAACCUGAUAAGUAUAGAAUGUCAUCUUGUUUUGCCACUUCAUUUCAUUACAAUAUUUUUCAGAAAUUUCUCUCAAUAAUUUUGGUAAUUAGUUUUUUUUUUAAAAUUUUAAAUAUUUUGAAAGAAAUGGUCGAAAAGGAGUUCUUUUGUCUUGAAAUCCGAAUAAUAUUCAUUAAAAAAAGUGAUUCUUUUGGGAAUUCAUCGAAAGGGGUGUUUAGAAUUUUACCAAUUGUGGAGAUAUCUAGAAACAAUAUUUUAUUAUUAUUAUUCUUCAUUUGAAGUAGACUCUUAUUCUUUUUCUAUAUUCUUUCUAGAUUCAAGGAAUAACUAUUCAAUCGCAAAUAAAAAACAAAGAAUAGAUUCAUAGGUUUGAUACCUUGUAAUAAAACUCAGGUUUGAUAGAACUAUGAGAUUGAGAGUCGACAAGUGAAUUGCGUUCAUUAACAAUUCAUAGUUGAACAAAAAAAUUGACAAAAAAAAAAAAAACAAAGAAAUCGUUCAUUUCCCUUCUAUGUUUUGCAUCUAUAGUAGUUUUGUCUUAGUGAAUCUCUUUAUCACUUAAUAAAAGUUUGGAAUCUUAGGUUACUAAUUGAUGGAAUACUAGGCAAUCAGAAACUUACGUGAAUCAUAUUUAAGAAAAGAGUACUCUAAAUUUUUUUAUAGAAUUAGAGGAAAUCUUGUUGUUGGACAAAAUGAUAAAGAAAUGCCUAGAAACACAUCUAUAAAAGCUUUGUAUAGGAAUCCAUAAAGAAACGAUCUAAUUGAUCAAGAUGUACAAUGAGGAUCCUAUCUAUACGAUUUUGCAUUUCUCAACAAAUAUAAUAUGUUUCCUUAUUCUAAGCGGUUUUUUCUAUUUCGGGUAAUGAAGAACUUCGAAUGGCCUUUGGAAAGUAAUUAGACAAAAACAACUCCUCAAAUUGUAUCAAACCAUCUAAGUUACAUCUUGAGUAGUCUUGAUCAUAUCCCACCAAUUGUCUGCUUCAUCCCUCAACAUGAAGGAAGCUAAAGAAACUCUCAUUUCCUUAGGAACUGCCAUUACAUCCAAUAUUUUCUUUAUUUCUUUCAACCAAUUCUCAGCUUCAAGAAAAUUAGGGCCACCUCGAAAUAUUGGAGGAGUCAGUGCUUUAAAUUCUCGAAUUAAGCUUAGAUUUUGGUAUUCUGAACUAGCAAUUGGAUUUAUUAUAGUCCUUCCACCAGUUCCAUUACCAUGAGAUAGUGGAGAUGAUCUAGUUGAUUGUCUGGGCCUUGUUGUUAAUUUGUUCCUUGCUCUAGGCAUUUUGUCUUAGAAAGGUACACAAGGGUUAGAUUAUCAAUACAUCACAGUAUAAGGGUUAUUCAUUAAAUCAAGCAUCCUUAAACAAUACAAUUAAAUCAAUUAUGUCAUAUACAAACAUUCUGAAAACUAACAUAAUACCAACUAUACCGUAGUAAUGGAUUCUCAAUGAUCAGGAAUUCAAACAAGCAACAUGAUCACAAUUAUCAUAGCUGGGCAUACUCACACCAAUACAACUAAGAAUGUCAUCAACACAACAAAGAUACAAACCUAACAUUCAUCAUUUAACCUUUCACCUUAAUAUCAAUAUAUCAUACACAGUAAAAGAGUGUAACAAUAACAAUGACUCCAGUGCACCUAUUAGGCUCCCCACCUAUUGUCCACAAUAGGCAUCUAAUCCCUUAUGCUCUAAUACCAAGCUGUCACACUCUGGGUUUCAAACUUAACAAUUGAUACUCAAAUACAACAUCAGUGCUUUCAAAAAAAAAAAAAAUUGGGGAUACAAAAAUUUAAAUGCUGAGUUUCUACUUUAUUUUUUGUGCAAAAAGAGAAUAUGGAAACCUGUUAUAAAGAGGUUUACAUCCUGUAUUAAACUUUGUAACUAUUAGUUAACAAAAUAUGAUAUGUUUCACAAAAAGAACUUAUACUACAUUACUUUACAUAUACCAAAACCUCAUGGUUCACUUUAGGUGGCCCAUACUACAAGUGUACAUGACAAAUAUACAUUACAUCAUUCCUUCAAAAAGAUUUUGUCUUUGUAUGAUACAAAGGCAAAGCCUUAAAACACUUUUAAUGGGAGCAAACAACAUCCAAUCAACAGAAAAGCAACGCUCAAGCAUUAUUUCCAGCAUAGGUAUUCUGACUUGCAUCUAAAAGUGGAAAGUGAUAAGGUGAGUUCACAACUUAGUAGGAAAGUUUAUAACCAUCCUAAGCAUACCCUUAAAAACCUUGAAAUUAAACGUAUAAUAGAAUGCAUGAUAAACAUUUAUAACCAUUAACAAAUAUGCAAUAAUGUCAAACAUAUAUGCAUGUGUUUGCUAGUUUCAUCUCUCCUUUUCCUCAUCCAUUAUUUCACAAAUGAUAAACUUCUAACCCCUAACAAUGUACACAUCAGAUAUCAAUGUUCCACAAGAUACUCGGUCAAUGUAAUAAUAUGACUAUUUUGGGAUAACCCAAGGGCAAGUCAUACCCCAUGUCUUCUAGGACUCAUACCCAAGGGCAGGACCAACCCCUUGUCUUUAGGGACUAAAACCCAGGGACAGGACCAACUCCAUUCACCCACAUCGAAGUGUCUUCCUCGAGGGCUUUAGGGACUUUCACCUAAGGACCCACGAUCCCACAUAAAUAAUAUAUCAAUGGAUAGGGUCUGCAACUUCACAUAAACACUUUCCACAUAUCAAUCAAUUCUCUAGAUAUCAUCUAUCAUUAUUCCAUAUCCUUCUUGCAAUGCAACCACACCAUGAACCAUUUCCUCAAUACUGAACCAUGAAUCUUCAUACCAAUAUACGUUCUAAUAUCAUUGUAACAUUUCAAUACAACAAACUGAGAUGCACUGACACAUUAAAACAUUUCAUGAAUCAUAGAAAUGACAUGGAAUUUCAAUAAAUCUUUCAAGGAAAGAAACCAAGAUUCACCAUGGAAUGUCAUAAAAUUCCCUACCUUACACUGACUUUCCCUUUGUGAUUCUUCUAUGCAGACGAUCUUUACCUAUUACAAGGAAUUGGAAUGAAACAAAAUAAUUUAGGUUUCCUAACCAUGAAAAUUUAUACAAUUAAAACUGUUAGGAAUAUUAGGCUAAUCCAACCUAUGGUAAUCACCCUAGAGGGGGGGGGGGGGGGGGGUGAAUAGGGUGAUGGUCUCUUUUUGCAAAUUUAAACUAUGCGAAAGUAAGAGACAAUUUAUAUGCAAGUAUAUAAUAAUCAAUAUAAAGACAAUUGCAUAUAAAUUAAAGAGUAGGGAAGAGAGAAUGCAAACACAAGAGUUUAUAGUGGUUCGGCGCAACCCGGCCUACAUCCACUCUCUUCUAGCUUCAAUCCCAAGCUUGAGGUUCCAUUAAUUCAAGGCUUCCAAACCAAGCCUUCAAGCUAUACAAUUGGAUUAUGGUUCCAAUUCACCCUCUUGGACUUUUGGCUCCAAGCACCCUUUACACUUCUCAAGAGAUAUCCCACUGUUGAAAUACUUCCUCUCGAAGGUUUACAAAUGAAUGAUUUCACAAAAAUCCUAGCACAAGAACUUUAAGCUCAAAUGAUACAAGAAAACUAGGAUUGAAAAGUGCACUAAGGAUAUGCAAGUUUUAGAACAAUGGUGCACUCAAAAACACUCUUCCAAGGCUCAAAUAUAAUCAAGAAAUAUUUGAGAAGAUUAAACUUUUUAAACAAUGAAGAUUGGAGACUUUUUAUAGAAGAGAAAAGCCAAACUAGCAGUUUGGGGGUUCGACCGGUCGAGUUAGGGGUCGACCGGUUGACUAGCCGUUAGCAUUUAAUGCUUGGUAGGUGACCGUUAGGCCUCAAUCAGACCUUAAACGGACCUCAACCAGACCUCAACCGGACCUCGAUCGGACCUCAAUCGGUUGAACAACCGUUUUGGAAGAAAGAGAAAGUUUUUUGCACCAUUGAUCGGUUGAGCUGAGGGUCUACCCAAGCCUUGACUGGUUGAGCUGUGGGUUGACCCAGACCUCAACCGGUUGAGUUGGGGGUCGACCCGGACCUCGACCGGUUGAGCUUGCGGUCGACCGGUUCCUCACCCGGUUCAACCGGUUCCUCACCCGGUUCAACCGGUUGAGCCGUUUUUUGGCUCAACAACCAACUUUUUCAACUUAAAACCUUUAAAAACAAGUUUGAAAGACAUUUAACACAAGGUUUUAGUUGAAAACAUGAAAUCAUCCAAUUCUUAAAAUAUUUAAAACAAAAUAACUCUUGGAUGAUUUUGGUGCAUAAGUAAAGAAUGUAAUGCAUGAAAAUCCUAGUGUACCAACAACCUUACAAAGAGAUCUUAUGAAGCUUGGGUCUUGAAAAACACUUCUCUUUGAGGUGGUCUUCUUCUUCAUGAUUUCUCCUUGGCUUGAUUUGUCUUUGUGAUUGCCAUUUUGGAAACCGUCUUGCCUAAUCACACUCGAAAUAUAGUCAUUAGUUCUAAACCUUGUUUUGUUAUCAUCAAAAUCAAUAUUAACCAAACCUUGGUUUCACAAUCUCCCCCUUUUUUAUGAUGACAAAACCAAGGUUGCUAAAAAGCUCCCCCUGAAUAUAUGCUCCUUUGAAUUUAGAAAAUAUUCAAGUUUAGAAACUUCAAGGAGUAUAUUAAGGAUGCUAAAAAAGAUAUAAUCAAACAUAAAUAGCAUAAAGAGCAAUUUAGCAAUUUGGCAAGACAUUUUAAACAUGAUGCAUGUAAUUAUAACCAAUAAAGCACAUAGCAUCAAUAUGAAUAGAAUUAUUGCUAAAACAAUAUUGACAUUUCUUCCCAAGUUAGCAACCUACUAUUAUUUCUCUCAUUUUUUGUCAUCAACAAAAAGUUUCAAUAAAGUAUAUAAGGGGAAUCACAUGAUAUCAAAAAUAUAAUUCCUCAUGAAAAGGAAUCUCCCCCUUUUUCAUUUGAGAAUAGUUUCCAAAUAAAAGAUUGUUCAUCCUUAGAGCAUUCCCAAUUUAAAGAAUGAUUUGGAAAAAAAAAAUAUGGAAGAACAUAUGCAAAGAUAUAUAACAUGCAUUGGAUAAUACUUUUAGGGCAUACAAGCAUAUGAUCACUUAAUUUUACCUAGGUAUAAAAAAGUCUUCUUUUUAAUCCAAACAUUGGUUUAAUAAAUAUACCAAUUUUAUCAAAGUGAUACCAAAUGUUAUAUUAAAAAAAUAUACCAAGUGUUAGCAAAAUGAUAUUUCAAAUUAAGCUUUAGAAGGGAUACCAUUACCAAUAUUAUCAAUGCAUUCUUUUCAAGGUAAGCAUAUCCUCCUUCUUACAUGGAUCCCUACAAAACAAAUUAUCCUUUGGUACCCAUAUCUUCUUGGGUCCUAGAGGGUUAGUCUUUCUUCCCUUUGGAAUCCAAAAUAAUUUAGAGUUUUGAAAAACAUGAGGAGAUUUUCUUAAGAUACAAAUAUCACUAAUGUGACCUCCUUUUUUACAAAGAUUGCAAAUAGUUAAAGGCGAAAAACUAGAGGCUUCCUUUACAAAAUUUUUUUUUUUUUUUUAAAAGCUUAUUGGCUAGCCUCUUUUUAUCAAAAAUGCAUUUUUGAUUUGCCAAAUUCAUAUCAAAAGUCUUUUGGCUAUUUGAGAAUUUUUAAUUCCUUAUUUUCCUUUUCAAAAGAGAUUUUUGCCUUCUCAAUGUUUUCAAAAUUUUCAUUAUGUUCAUUGAGCUCAUUUUGAAGACAAGAAUUUUUAAAAUCAAGUUUUUCAAGAUCAAAAUAUAAUUUUUGAAGUACAUAUUGAAAUUCGAAAUGGUUAGAGUUGGAGUUUACCUCAUCUUGAUGUUCUUCCAAAGCCAUAAAGCACGUGUUGGCAUCCUCAUUUGUGCAUUCUUCUUCUAUGGAGUCUUUAUCACUUUCACUUUCACUCUCUUCCUCUUCAUCAUCAUUUAUUGAAGCCAUAAAGGCUAUACUUUUCUUAUUUUCUUCAACUCUUUGAUGAUUGUACAAUUCUAUCUCAUAAGUAAUGAGUAACCCAAUGAGUUCUUCAAGUGAAAGCUUGGUGAGAUCAUUUGCUUCUUGAAUAGCCGUCACUUUUGUUUCCCAUUUCUAUGGUAGAGACCUUAAGAUCUUCAUGACUUUCUCUACUUCGGUGUAGGUCUUUCCCAAGGCUUCAAGUUCAUUCACAAUCACAAUGAACCUAGAAAACAUCUCAACAAUAGAUUCAAAAUCAUGCACAAGGAUAUUGAUUCUAGACUCUUUAACUUGAUUGUUUCCCUCAUAAGUGUUUUCUAAUAAUCUCCAAAUUUCUUUAGUCGACUUACAUUGCCAAAUACGAUUAAAUUCAUUUCUAUCAAUAACACAAUGUAAGAUAAAAAUGACUUUGGCAUUUAAUUGAACUUUCUUUCUAUCGAGUUCAUCCUAUUCAUGCUUAGGUUUUGGAACCAUCACUCCAUUUUCUAAUUUUGAAGGAAUGUGGGGACCAUCUUCAAUGAUAUCCCAUAAAUCAAGAUUAAUAGAUUGGAGAAACCAAGUCAUUUUGGUUUUCCAAUAGGGAUAAUCGGUUCCCGUAAAAAGUGGAGGUCGGGUGGUUGAAAAACUUUCAAUGUGGGAUGAGCUUGAUGGAUUAGCCAUUACUUAUUAGACGGUUAAGUCUUAAACAAGAAGUCUUGCUCUGAUACCAAUUGUUAGGACCUCAGGCGCUACCAACUCUCCUAAAAGCAAUUGUUGUUAGGAAAGGUGCAUACCCUCAUUCACCCAAGCGCCCACGAUGAACAUAAGGGGAGUUGAUGGACGCGGCCAACCCUCCGAUCUACUAACAAUAGCUUGUAGGACCUUAGACGCUACUAACUCUCCUAAAAGCAAUUGCUGUUAGGAAAAGCGCAUACCCUAGCCUUAUAGUGCAUUCACCUAAGCGCCCACGGCGAACAUAAGGGGAGUUGAUGGACACGGCCAACCCUCCGAUCUGCCAACAAUCUCCCCCCCAGCGACACCCCUGGGGUUUGAACCCGUGACCUCGGCUCUGAUACCAAAAACUUAUGACAUUUUCUUUUCUUACUAAUUUUUAACAAUUUACUGUUGCUAAUUUUUAAUUCUCAUAUUCUCUAAUCUACAUACACGGGUUUUCAAAUCAAAUUUGAAUUGAAUUAAACAAUCUUUACAAUGCAUAGUAAUAUUCCCCAUUUAAUUACUAAACACUAAUUGUUUUGAUUUUCCUAAAGCCUAACCCAUUAACAAGUCCCAAGUGUCCAAAUAACUUAAUUAAUCUCAUGCUUGACUAAUCUAUUUUUCAAUCAAACCAAACUAAACAAAGAUGUAUGCUGAUAUUUCCAUCAAUAAAAUACUCAAGUUAAAACACUUUAAACCUUAAUUAAUUCUGAUUUAUAACUAAAACAUAUUUCUAACUAAUUACACUCAACUUUUACAUAAACUUUACCAUUAAUUUGUUUCAAAAUAUCAUUAGGAACCCAACUAUACCAAAAUUACUAAAUUAAUCAACUUCUUUACCUCAAAUCUUUACUUUCUCUCUCUAGAUUCUCUCUCUAACCCAGGCUACUGCAGAGACAAGGCUCCAAAACGAGGUUGCAGGCUCCAAGGGUCCCCAAGCAGCUAAGCAAGUGGUGGCAGGCCAUAAGGCUGCCACCAAUCUCAACUUUCCAAAAUUACUGUUUAAUCCUUCAAGUUAUCCAAUAUUAAACCUACAGUUGCCUUUUAGUCCUUUAGGUUUUCAUAACUCUAAUCAGCCCCUAAGAACCUAUUAAGCAAGCUUAAGUCAUUAACUAAUCCCACUUAACCUUACUCCAUAUUUAAUUCAUAAUUAAACAAGAUUAACACUAAACUAGUUUUAACAUCUAAUUAAGCACAUUUAAAGUUAAGUACUAAGAUAAUCAUUAUUGCUUAUUUAAUUCAUUAGUAUUGGGUAUUACAUGAAGUAAGAAAGAAGGCACACAAACAUGGGAAAUGAGGCAUGAAGCAAGAUUAUUCAAGUUUGCAUGGAAAUUUAGAACUCAAAAUCUAGUGGCAACAUGUACUUUGAAUUUGAGGUGACAUUUUUCCAAAGUCCAUUUUAGGCAAGCUAUAUAACAUUUUGAAGUUCAGGAAUUUAGGAAUCCAAUACUUCAAAUGAUGCAUAAAUCGGAGCUGAAACGAGGAAGUUGUGCACGUUUAAAGUAAAUUGGUUAGAAAAGAAAGUCGAGUUCAAAAUUAAAAACUUGAAUUCAAAAUGGUUUUUGGCCAUUUAAAACUCAAAGGAAUGCAAGGAAAGACUAAGUUUGAAUCCUACUACCUAUUUCAAGCGCGUAUUUUGAACCCAAAAACAUGGAGUUUUUGCAUGGGCAAUGAGUGAGUUCAAAAUUCACUGUGAAUUUCGAACUCACCUUGUUGAUUUCGAAUUGGUCCAAUUUUCUCCUACUUAUGAUCUUAAAAUUGAUUUGGAACUCACCCAAAUUUUAAAAUCAGUCAUUGAUGUUGAGUUUAAGCCCUGAGACAUGUCGAAACGAGUUUCAAAUGCCUUCACCUAAUUUAAAAUGCUUUAUACUCAUAUAGAACUCAUAAUUUUUUAAGCUUUUUAGGUUGUUCAUGACUUUUCCUUGUAAUAAGUAGCCAAUGAGAGUGUGUCACAUGUUAGUUCAUUGAUGAUACUAUAUAAACUCUCUCAGUUCUAGGGUUUUGGCAUCUUAGAUCUUCCACGGGUGGGAGUUUGACAUUUUAUGAGGAAGAAGACGAGAACUUUGGCUUGUUUUCUUUUCUUCUUUAUUGAAGAUAUUGUUUUUAGCUUCUUUUGAUUCAAAUUAUGGAUUUUUACCCUAUUAUGAAUUGUGAAUGCGACAUCACCUCCAUGAGAGGCUAAAAGGCUAGAUUGAGGCUUGGAGCAUGAAAACCUAAGGGCUAGAAACUCAUAGGAACAAUGGGUAAAUUGUUAUAAUAAUGAGAAUAAUUAUUGGUUAGGUUACAAUUUAUCAAUUUUUUUUAUCCUAUUCUUGUGAGUUAGUUUAAGGAAUGAUACGGUAGGUAAUAACCUGAUACUAGUGAUUCUUGAUAACUCUUGAUUAUUAGUUAUCAUGAUCUUCCCUAUCGUUAUUUGCCCCAAAACAAAGGUACUAUAACAAGUAGGAAGGGUUAAAAAGUCAAACCUUAAAUCAGUAAUCAAUCUUAUUUAUUUUAUGGUUUUAGGAAUUUGUUUUAAAAAGGAAAAAUUAGGUUUCGGAUACAAUUUUGAGUUAUAGAGCUCAAGUUGAUCACGAGCGGCCAAGGAUCCCAAAACCGUAAGAUCACUUUACUUAAAAAAACCUUUGUUCUCUCUAUUCUAUAACUUAAGUUAGAUUAUGGAAAGCCCAAGACUUGAAUCAAUUGAAUUAAAAAUCGAUAUUCAUUUUGUUAUUAAUUUAGUUCUUCUACUUAGUUUCACUUCAUUCACAUAUUAGCUUUCACUUUAGGAUUGAAAUAAAAGUGAUUCAUUUAUCCUAGUAUUGACAAAUUUCAUAAGUCAAUCUCUAAAGACGAUACCCGAGGUACUACAAAAGUCAUAGUGACUCUUUCUUUGGUUUUUCUUGACCAGAGUUGCUAUAUAAAAAUUAUUUUGGACAAUAGAGAAGAUCAUUAAUUUUCCUUCACCAAAUUUUCAUCCUCUUAACUUUUCCACUUCACCUACAUUCGAAGAUCACCUAUUUGAGGUUCGACACCCAACUCACCAUUUUUUUCUUUUUUCUUUUUUAAAAAAAGUUACAACUACACCCUACACUUAGGGAAUUGCCAUUUUAUUUAUACAUAGUAUAGUGUGGUUACGACACUAAGACUUACCUUUGUGGCCUUAGCAAAAUCAAUCUUUCCACUACUAGGAGCAAUAGACGCAUCAAGAUAUCCUAUGCCUCUCUUGUCUCCAGUAGAUUUCUCCUUACUAAUGAUUUCAUUCAAAAUCUUAGUUCUAGGAUAGAAGAUCUCAAUUUUAGAGGGAACCUCUUUUCUUUGUUCUUCAAUUUCUCAAGAUAGAACAUUAUUUCUCUCAAGUUGAAAUCAAUGUUCUUUCUCUAAAAAUCAAAAUUUUUCAAGAGAAUUUAUUUUCUCUUCUUUUAACACAUCAUGCUUAGUUUUUAUUGAUUUAUAUGCAAUUGUUAUCUUGUUGUAUUUAUUCAAUAACAAUUGAUAUUUUUUACAUCAAUUUUCAAUAAUGGAGGCAUUUUCAUCAAAUCACUAUCACUAUCAUUGAAGUAAUCAUUAUCAUAAACAACUAAAGCAAUGAAACCAUAAUAAUCAUUUUGAUUAUUCAUAUUCUCACCCAAAUUCAGAUUGACUCUUACUUGACUCAAAAUCACUCCAAGUCGUUUCCUUGACUUCCUUAUUUUUCUUGGGACUAACUUUUUCCCUACACGAUAAUCCUUUCUUGAAAUUAUUUACUUCAAGUGUUAAUGACUCUUUACUUUUAUAACACUCAUAAUUUUCUUUUUCCAAGAAGACAACUUUAUUGAAAAGUGACAAUCUUUCUUCAUUCAAAUUAGCAAUUAUUUCUUGUUGUCUUUUCUAUUCAAGGUACAAAGAUUCACAAAAAAAUUCUUUCUUCUUGAGUGUUUUUAUUCAAUAGCUAGUUGAUUUUUUUUAUGCAAUUGUUCUCAAUCAUAAAAAACUUUUUCACACAAGCCAAAAGGAUAUUUUUUUAUAUAAAAAAAAAAUCCAUGAAAACAAGAUGAAAGAUAGGAAUAUAAGAAAAUUUUGAUUUGUAAAUUUCUUCAUACUUUGAUAACAAUUGAAAGUUUAUAGAUCUUGCUUAUGGAAUACCCAAAAAGUGGUGAAUAGAUGUUUGAUACUUUUUAACCCAAAAUUAAUUAUUUUUAACUUUAUCUUUUGAUAUAGGGAAAUGGAAAUAAUAAAUAAUGCACAAGAAACAAAACCACCAACAAAGCCUAUCAUCUCAAAGAUUUUGCAAAUGUAAAAACGAUGGAGUCAGAGACCAUAGAGCUAUAAUCCACUAAAUAUAAAGAAAAAAAUACACAAAUUUACUUGACAAUUGCUACUCUCUAAGACUUACACCCAAUAAACUAUACCUAAUCUCACUUUCAUGACAUAUUACUAUGCUUGCUCCUUAGUGGACCCUAAUGCCUUAAGGGGAUGUGAAUAUUCCUCACAAGCCUAAAAAUAAAAAUCACUAACUUUUUGAGAGUUUUAGAUUAAGCGCAAAGAAUACUAACUUAAAGUAUAGGCACAUUCGUUAUUAAGAGAACGUUCCCAAUAUGCAUAUAAAGAGAAAAUCUAGUAGACUUAGAAUCAAUUUAGAAAUCAUAUUUUACCACAAAAACCAUUUAGAAACUUAAGAAUUUUUAGAAAAUUUUGAAAAGAUUUCAUAUUUUAACUUCAAAAAGAUUUAGAAAGAUUUUUUUUUUUUAAUUCUUAAUUUGAAUUCCUUUCCAAAUUUCUUAUUUAUUUUUUUAAUUCUUAAUCUAAAUUUAUUUUUAAAUUAAUUUUAUUUCUAAUUUUCAUAAUUUCACUCUAUGUCUUUUAAAGUCAUUAUUAUCAUUUAACUCAACCAUACUUACCUAUUGAAUACCAAAUUGAUUCUAUAGCAACUUUAAAUCUUAAAAAAAGCAUAAAUCAUACGAAAGUACAUAAAGUCCUAAACCAAUGGAUGAAAUAAAAUUAUCAAAUUAAUAUAAAUAGCCUAAUGCACUAAAAUAUAAAUAAAUAUAUUGUUAUUGUUUAUUGUGCAAUUCAUAACUUUAUAAGGAUGCAUGAUCAUAGAGACCUAUAAUUAAAGAGUAUAUGAUGAGUUAUCCUUAUUUAUCAUCCAAUAGCAUACAAGUGGAGGAAAAUGUAAUCCUCAGCUGCAUUCUAUCGCUCACUUUUAUGAUGAGAUUACUUAAGAAAUAUGCAUGUUAAUUAAACAAUAAUUGACUCCUUUUGAACUUUGUUUGCAUUUUCAGUUAAUAUUUAUAGCUAAUUUAGAGUUAAUUGGUAAAAUAACUUUUCAUUUCCUUUUUAUUUGUGUUAUUUAAUUAUUUAUUUUAGUUUUUAUUAUUUGUAUCAUUAUGAUAUACUUUAUCUAUUUUUAUUUUUUUUAAAUAAAAAUAAUAAUAAUAAAUUUUAUAUAAAAUAUAAGAACUCUUGUAAAAAAAAAAAUAGGACUUUCCAUUAUAUUCAUUAAAAUUGCUUUAAAUUUUUUUUAAAAUUGAUAUUGUAAAAUUUUUUAAUAUCUCAAAUUUGGUAUAAUAAAAAAUUUUCAUAUCUCAAGUUUUUAUUGUUUUAUUUUUUUAUUUAAAAAAAAUCAGUAACUUUUCAAUAUAAAUCUUUAAGAUUACUUGCAUUUUAUAAAUAAUGUUAUUAAUUUUAAAAUAUAUAUAUAUAUAUAAUUUGUUCUCACUUGGGUGGGUUCAAUUAAGGGUGAGGAUUACGAUGAUGCGUCAUUAUAAUCGAUCCAAACCCCAAAGCGUAUAUAGCCUUUUCUAUUGGUUGUGGUCCCUUUUGCAUUCUAAAGAAAGCACCCUCUGGUCGUCUGUUUUGUUGGAGGUAAAAAAAAAUACAUAUACAUGCAUGGUCCCUCCACAGAUUAAAGAACGUAUAUUCAAACCCCACUUUUUUCAAUGGAAAGAAGCUCCAUUCCCCCAACCAGGAACCUCGUCCGAAACCUCCUCUCUCUAUCUAAGAUGUUACGCACAACUCUGUUAUAUAUAGCUCCACCACACACUCUCUUUGCUUGUUUAAUGUUUUAAUACUUCACUAUUUCUAUUCAUAUGGCAGAAGAAGCUUCAUCACUGCACCUCAUCCACCAACUACUCCUCUCCGACUUUCAAUCUUUCGAAAAUUUAAAUGAUCCAUCCCAAACUUCAACCUCUGAUUCGAGUAUUUCCACCUCAGAUAUUAUUCCGCUCUCUAAUUACUUCGAUCUCCAUGAAGAUGAAAACAACCCCUUUCUCCUCCACUGUUCUACUUCUGCUCCGUCUGGGUUUUUCCAGUUUGAAUCCAAAUCCCCCAAAGCUUCCAGAUUAAGUCGUCGGCGACCUCCACUCAGCAUCUCAGUUUCUCAGCCAACCAUUCCUCAGUUGCCGGCGGAUUCCGAUUCAGGCGACGUCAAGCAUUAUAGGGGGGUACGGCGUCGGCCGUGGGGGAAAUUUGCGGCGGAGAUCCGAGACGCGAAUCGGAGAGGAUCGAGGGUAUGGCUGGGGACAUUCGAGACUGCCAUUGAAGCCGCCAGAGCUUAUGAUCGAGCUGCUUUCGAGAUGCGUGGUUCCAAAGCUAUUCUCAAUUUCCCUCUUGAAGCUGGGAAUUGGUCGGGUUCUG
rnacentral:lncRNA from 1 species